rnacentral:lncRNA from 1 species
UUUGAUUUUCUGCAUUACUUUGUUUACUUGUUCUGCCCUGAAUCUUCAUCAGAACCAUUAAUCUCACAAGCUGUUGAACAUGUUCUGGAUAUCCUAAAAGGUAAAAUUCUUUCCUAAAUAUGUGAUCAAUCCGGGGUUAAGGAUGAAUUAAUAAAGAUUCCUAUUAUUCAUCUUAUUAAAAACUCUAAAACUCUAUUUUUCUUUUUAUCUAGAUGUUAAUUUGAUGGAUCUUAGGCCAUCUGUUAUUGCAUUGGCUGCCACAUUGAUGGUAACUUUUGAUGCUACAUUAACAAGAGAGAUCAUGGAUUUGCACAUAGGUGAUAUCUUAUUGCAGCUAAAUUUAGAUACUGUGAGUUUUCCUAGCAGUUCAUUAUCUAGUUUUUGUUUCAUGUGUGUGAUCGUAAAUAAACACAGUUUUAUUAUGCUUUUCAUUUUGUAUUCAACACAGGAAGGUGUGUUUUACUGUUACCAUCUAAUGAAGGAAAAAAGUAAAGAGAAGGGAAAGUUAAACACUUCUGUCUCAACUUUGACUUCCCAAUGGAGCUAUACAUCUGUUCUUGACCAUUCUGUCUCUUCUUCUAUAGCCAGGAGAAAAUUUGGUUUUGACAACAAAGAAAAUUGUCCUAGGCAAAGAUCACAUUGGUCUUAGCUUGCAGAGUUUGUGAUCAAUGAGUAUAGGAAAAGAUCAAUUGGUGUGUUGUAAUGAACUCAACUGUUUGAAAAUUUUCAACCUAGUAUGCGACUUGUAUUUCUGUUAGUAAAAUUCGCGCUAAACAAAUAGAGAUUGACGACGAAGACUAAAAGGAGUCCUACGAAAAAUCAAAUAUCAAUAAAGAAAACAAAAUUUUUGCAGGGAGUCGGAGACUAAAAGCAGAAUCAUCUAUGUUUAUCGGGACGAAAAUCAUAUUUGAGUGUACUAGAAAUAACAAUUUUAGUACACAAAUUUGAUUUUCUAUUCAUGACAAAAUUAAAUUGGUACAUUUCUGCUUCUGAAUGAAAAAUGCUACAAUACUUGGAAGAAUUCUUGUACAAACUCACUUUGAAUCUAACAAUGAUAAGAGAAAUCAUUAUCCACUACAAAAGUUCAGGCCUCAUUUUUUUUUUUUUAUCUUUUUUCAACCGACCUUUCUGUUGGCCUUGAAAAGUAAACAAAUGUAUAAAAAUAUAUAGUAUGGUUUAUGUGGUGAUUUGAUAGUAACUUAGUUAUAUAUUUGACUAACCAUAAUGUCUAUGAGACUCCAGUUUUCCACUUUCCUUCUUAACUUCUGGUUCCAACCCAAGAAAGCCUCUAAAAAUACCAGACCUGUCAUUGAAUGUACAAAGAAUAUAUGGAACCUUGAAACACUGUAACCACAGUAAAACCUUAAGCUUCUGUUUAAAAAAUAGAUGCUCCCAAGAAUCAGACUGGUAUCUGCUUUAAGCGAACUGCGAUUGGCAUGCCCAUAUAUCCAACCCCUAAGCAAAAGAUCCAUUGUACCAAAGAUAGAGGUGUUGUAUUUGCAAAGGUUCCCAAGUACUCAACUAUUAUGAUUUGGAAGACCACAGUUGCACUGAUGACAGCCACGAACACAUGAUUAUCCCAUAUGCCUUUAAAAACGUCUAUUUCCUCCAUUUCGCGAGAGUUUAUCUCAUUGAAAACCUGUCGGAACAAAAUAUAUGCCAAGGAAAAUUUAUCUUGCAAGCAAUGUUAUAAUCAUGGUUAUCGGUCUAUAAUCAUGGUUUACCUUUUUCCGAAUCGUAUUGUAUGAUACAUGAUUAAUAAAUGAACCGAGAUAUGACUUGCAUGUAUCGUAAAAUACUGAUAACUAUCGUUAUAAUACAAUAUAAUUUGAUUUUCGCUCAUUUUUCUAUUCAUUUUUUCCAUACAUGGCAAAUUGGUUAUGGGAACUUAUGUCUGUUCAGAAAAAGAGAUUGAAGAGGAGUUAUUCAGAAGGUUUUCUUUUACCUGACAGAAGACAAAUGUGUUGAAAAUGAGUGUGUUUAAGACAAUAUCAGCAUUGGGACCCCUGAGAAAAAAGACCCAUUUUCCUACUGACUGAAGAAACCAUAUGACCACAAACUGAUAUAAUGCUUGUCCUAAGAUAUUCCUCCACAUGACAUUGUUGAUGAAAUCUCCUUUCCUUCCCACUGGUUCACGCUUCAUCAAAUCAUCGGUUGGAGGUUCGGUCGCAAGCGCAAGUGCUCCCAGUGUGUCCAUUAUCAUGUUCACCCACAAAAGUUGAACAGCUGUGAGUGGUGCACUGCCUGAAGAUCAAAUACACAUAAACAAAAUCAUUACCAAAUAAAAAUGAACUUCCCCAUCUUGUAAAAUCUAUAUAAACAUAUUAUCUCAUCUUAUUAGUAUAAUUUUCUAACCUGUCAUGCAGGCUGAUGUGAAGUUCACUAGCAAUGCAACCACAUUUACAGUAAGCUGAAACUGCACGAAUUUCUGGAUAUUGAUGUAAACGGAACGUCCCCAUCUCGCCACCGUCACAAUUGUGGAGAAAUUAUCAUCCAGAAUUAUAACAUCAGCACUUUCUUUAGCAACCUGCAUAUUAAUAAUAAAAUUAGCAAAAUUUUAUGUUCCUCAAUUCAUAGUUUUCAAGAAUGCUAUAUGGACAAAGCUAGGCGAUUCAUAUGAAUUGCAUUUCACUCACCUCAGUUCCAGCAAUUCCCAUUGCAAGUCCGAUAUCAGCUUCAUGAAGGGCUGGAGCAUCAUUUGUUCCAUCACCAGUUACAGCCACAACUUCCCCGAACGUUGUUCGAAGCUGUUUCACCAAUGUAUGUUUGUCUAAAGGAGAUGAUCUAGCCAUAACCUAAAACAAUAUAAACAUUUUGUUAUUUAAAGCACUGACAAAUCAACCAUUUCCCUCAUUAUAUUAGACAAACAGAAUCAUAGCAGAAUGCAGAAACAGAAACAGUUUCAAUUGAAGAUGUUAUUUUGCAUAUAGGAAAUAUGAAGCACCUGAAUCUUGGGAAUGAGUUCAAACAAUUCCUCUUGAGUCUUCUCUCUGAAGUCAGGACCUUCAAUAGCUAUGCCAUCAUCUGUUAAAAUUCCACAUUCCCUAGCUAUAGCCUUUGCAGUAUUAAUAUUAUCUCCUGUAACCAUUCUCACCACGAUUCCAGCCGAACGACACUCUGCAACAGACUGCUUAACACCGGGGCGAACAGGAUCUUUGAUACCAACAAUUCCAAUACAAGUAUAACCAGAAGCAGGAAUCGGAUCUUCAGCAGCAAACCCGUUUUCCAAUUCCAUAUAGGCAAGGCAAAGAGUUCUAAGUGCCUCAUUAGCAAACUGGUUGAUAAUACUGUUAAGAUAAUUAGUUGAUUCUCCAUCAAGAGCAACAACAUCGCCGUUCAAGUCAAUAACUUUGUCACAAGCUGCCAGAAUUAUUUCAGAAGCACCUUUGCAAUGAGCUCUUACACUUCCAUCAGGUUGCUCCACAACUACUCCCAUUCUUUUCUUCUCAGAGUUGAAUGGCUCAACUUUAACAAUUUUGCAAGCUUCUCUCUCAGCCUUAGAAUCUCCACCUAGUGACAAACCAAAUUCUAAUAUUGCUGUUUCGGUUGGUGUCCCCAAUAUCUCGCGUUUGCCUUUUUUGUUAUACACAACCUCGCCUCCAGUGUUAUUAAAUAUCGACUGUAGCAACAAUUUCGCAGCAGAAUCUGGUAUGUCAGACGACGAACUAGAAUUGCUAACUUCUUUGCUAUUCAUACAAAUGCAUGUUUUCACAACCGUCAUUCGGUUGGUUGUUAGUGUACCGGUUUUGUCGCUACAUAUAGUUGUUGCUGAUCCCAUAGUUUCACAAGCUGCUAAAUGCCUAACCAAGGCUUUAUCAUUCAUCAUUUUCUUCAUUGCAAAUGCAAGACUCAAUGUUACAGCUAAUGGUAAACCCUCGGGAACAGCAACGACGACGAUUGUAACCGCAAUAGCAAAGUAUUCCAACAUCUCCAUUGCAUUGUCACCAGUCCAUCUCCAGAAGUUUCCUUCUCGGAUUUUGUGGCUCAAGUGUCCUUUAACCAAAACAGUAAAGGUUAUCACGGCAAAGACUAGUCCUAUUUUUCCAAUAAUGGUUGCCACUCCAUUCAGUUUCACCUGCAAAGGUGUUUCAUCGUCUCCACCUUCGCUAAGAGUUGCCAUCAAUUUACCCCAUUGAGUCCUCAUUCCAACAGUGGUAACCAACAUAGUGCACGAUCCAUCUUGGACUUUUGUUCCUGAGAGAAGAAAUGGAUUUUGUGUAGUCACCAUUAUUGGCUCACUCUCGCCGGUUAAACUUGAUUCAUCAAUCAACACUGAAAAUCCGGAAACAAACAGUCCAUCUGCAGGUACUUGGUCUCCAAUGUUAAGAUGAACAAUAUCACCGGGAAGUAAAUUGUAUAUCGACAUUUUCUGCCUGUAGCCGUUUCUCGUAACUUGAAUAGAAAUCUUUUUCUUCUCCUUGUCUAAAUCCUUAAACUGUAACGAUUGGCGAUAAUCACUUGUUGCUGUCACAAAGACAACAAGUAAGAUACUUGCAACUAUUCCAAGACCAUCAUGAGCUCCUUUCGGCCAUCCUUCAGUCAAUACGCCCACUAUCAGAGAAACAAAAGCACACACUCCAAGGAUCAUGAGGGUCAUGUCUUGAAGAGCUUCAUAAACAUAAAUCCAGAAGCUUCGAAGUUCAGUUUCGGCAAAUUUGUUGAUGCCAAAAAGCUCUUGUCUCCUAUGUCGCGAUUCAGAAUCGCCACCUAGUCCCGUGGUGGUUGAUGUUGAAAUCUUUUCUGCAAUGCCAUCAACUCCACCAUGAAACUUGAGUUUCUUUACAUCGUGGCCUUCCACAAUAGACCCCAAUUCUUCAGCACAGAUUUGGAAACCUGCAGCUUUAACAUCAUCUGGUACAACGUAGUCGCUCGGUUGAACACCUGCAGGGUGUAAAAUCAAUUAGAGUAAACAAAUUGAUUCAUAAAGUAAACCUUUUAGAAUGAUUCUUAUGAAUCUUGCCUUGUAUAAAUUGAAAUGCGGCUUUGGAAACCAACACCGCAACCCUUAGCUUCUCCUGCAUUAAGGAUAAUAAGAAAUUGAGAAUCCAUAAGAUCACAACCUUUCCUUCUAUGAGGUAUUAUUGUAAGGACACAAUAGAAGAAUCACAUUGUUUACAAGUAUUGUCUAAACAAAAAUGGUCCUUUUAUUCUAACACUAAGCAACAUUUACUACCAAAAAAAAAAAAAAAGAGAAAACACAAUUAGAGUAAUCUGGAACUAUGCUUUGAAAUUCACCAACCAAUCAUGAAAUCAAUGAAACAAGGGAGGCAAUGCAAUGAUCAAGUAACAUCAUUUUUCAAAAGAAAUAUUUCUUUUUUCAAAAACAUAUUGUCCUAAUAUCUUAAUUAUACUCCCUUUCUUAUCCAAAUUUUAGAAACUAAAGGCAUAUCAAUUUCAAUUUAAUACUAAUCAGAGUUUAAUACAUCCAGGACAAAAAUUAGGAAACAAAGAAACCCGACUUAGUGCAUCUUUGAAUUAAUGGCAAGUUUGGCGGAAAUCACAUUAUAUAAUUGUGAUUUCACAAAAGUUACACUUUUGAGCUUCCAUAAAAUCACAAUGUCAUCAUAAUUUCAUAAACUAAGUGUAUGUUCAGAUGACAAAUUUGACCAAAUGUCGGUGAUAAUGUGAUUUCGUCAAAGCUCCAAAAUGUAACUUCUUCCAAAAUCAUGGUGGCUCACCGUGAUUCUGCUGUCAUUCUCACCGUGAAUCCAAACAUGCAUAUAUAUUCUACGGUACAAAUAAAGAGUUAUUUACCGGUACAAAUUGAGGUGUACCGGUACUUCUGCUUCAAAUAUUUACAAUUUAACGAUUAUUUUAUGAAAUAAAGAGUUAUUUAUCAAUAUUUAUAUUUUAUAAGACAUCAUUUUAUAAGAGUAAACAUCAUUUCUUUGUUUAUAAGAAUCAUAUUAAAUUUUUAACAUUUUUUCAUAAAAAAUAAUAAAUAUUCUUUGUUAUAUGUAACAAAAAUUCAAAAAUGUAAAUUUUAUUUCGUCGACACUUUCGGUAACUAAGAUCUAAUUAUUGUAAUUGUUAAUGAUUGAAAACAAUUCUUUUUCUUCGAAAAAAUAAUUUGUUUCAAUAUGAAUUUGAUGAUUUGGUGUACCGGUACAUUCAAAUUUUUGCCAUAGAAUUUGCCAUAUAUAUAUAUAUAUAUAUAAUUUAUGAGAGACCUGAUUGGUGCGACGCAUAGCAGCAGCUUCGUAACGUUUGGAGAUGUUGGCAGUGAAACGAAAUCGUCUCUUGGGAUUCUUUACAACACCGCAUAGUUUCCUCCAUUUUUCAAGAGCUUCGUCGGUAGAAUUCUUGGACUUUACACCUCCAAAAUUCUCAUUUAAAUAACUCUCCAUAACGCUUUUGAUAAACUUUCCUCUCUUUAAUGUUUGUUAUUAUUAUAUAAGUGUUUCAAUUCUCAUGUUAAGUAACGGUGUAACAACAAUCAGUAGUAACAUUCUUAGAAAUUGUUACUAUUAAGGUUAUGGUUUUUUUGUUGGUUUGAAAGAAAAAGAAGUGAGUGACGUGUGAACCUCGUAAAAGACAGAAGGAAUAGGUUAGUUAGUUAGUUAGAGUAAAAGGAAGAGAAAUGAGUGUGGAUCCGAAAUUUAGUUUGUGUUGUGUUUGAGAAUAAAUAACGGUCUUUUAUUUCGGGAAACAAGUACGGAUGAACGAAAUUGGCGGGGUCAACGAACCAACAACACCUAAACCUAUAGUAUUUUUUUAAGUUAAUUAAAUUAAAAAAUUGUCAAAUAUUGAUUUUUGACAUAUUUCCAAUUCUUUUAGAUAAUAUAUAUUAUUCAAAACAUUGUUCACGUUAAAUGUAUUGAUAAAUGUACAUUUUUAAUUAUUCACUUUGUGUUGGCUAAUUCUUAUUUUAUAAUGGAAUGAGCCGUAAAAAAAGCAUGAAAAAAAUUAUUUAGGUUUUUUGGCUCAAUGAAAUUGGCCUAUCAAAAAAUGGAUUGCAUUUAGAGAUUAAGAACAAUCCCUGUGUUGGAAAUUUAUGGAAUAUACACACACAUACAAUUGUACACAACUAUUUUCUAUAUCUUUUUUUUGAAUAAUCUAUUUUUUUUGGUACAUAAUAAUCUUAUUUUCUAUAUUUAAAUGUUAAAGAAUACAACAUGAAUAUGAAAACUAAAAUUAGAAUAAACAUAAAUUCCAUAAAUAUAAAAGUUAAUUCUAUAAUUGAUAUAUCUAUGGAGCAGCAUAUGGAGUUCCCAAGACCUUAUCAAGUUGGGUUAUAGACGAAAAAUAGACAAUGGUUCCCAAAUAAAUGUUUGGUCGUCACCUUCGAUUCAAUCCCUUCCUGCACUAAAACCAUCAAUCAUUCCUCUUGCUCAUUUGAACUCACUGCUGGUAUAUAUAUGACUUAUUGAACCCGAAUUUGAAUCAAUGGAACAAUGAUAUUAUCAAUCUCGUUUCCUCUGUUACAGAAGUUGUUGUCAUCACUUCUAUCCCUCUCCACACACGUAAUAUGCAAGACACUCGCAUUUGGGCUCGCUCCCUGGACGGUUUAUACACUGUUAAAUCGGUGUACAUGUUAUGAAUUUAGAAGCAAAUUCAACAACGCAACCAUCAUACACAUCUCACAAUUGGACUCGGUUUUUGAAGUAGUGGAUUCCACCCAAGAAUUCGAACACAUCUUUGGCGUUUGGCUCACAAUUGCCUUCCCACUUGUUCUAGCCCAAUUCAAAAGGAGUUACUUAUUGAUGAUUCAUGUGUGCACUAUGAAGAGCAAGCUGAAACACAUUCACAUUUUCUUCGUUUGUCCAAAAGCGAUGAAAUAUUGGGAGUUACUUCGGUUGGAUAGUAUGUUCGAGACAUAUUAUGUAAUAUUGAUGACUUUAUUAGUCUAUAAUUUGAUUUUUUUGACAUGUUACAAGUUCAUCAACAAGCAACAACAUCAAUGAUUUUAUGGAGCUUUUGGGAAAGCCGUAAUUCUAAGUUUUGGGAAGGCGUUGACACGUUCCCCUCUCACAUUAUCUAGCAUGUCAACAACACACACUUCACGAAUGGUGUUGUAUGCAAAAAGCAAGGCAAUCAACUCGGAGUACACACCAAUAAGUCUCGUGGAUAAAACGGCCCAAUUCUACGGUUAAAUGUAACGUGGAUUGCACACUCUAUAGUAACAAUUCUAUUACAGGAUUUGGCUCUUAUAUUCGAGACUCAUCGGGAGCACUACUAAUAGGUGUCUCAAAUUGCACUGUUUUUACCUCUACUUCUUCAAGAGCUGAGGCAUCAGGUUUAUUUGAGGCUAUAAAGUUUUCUAUUAACCAAGACAUACCUUCUGAUGUUUGAAUUUGAUUGUAAAUUUGUUGUCGAUAAUAUUAACUCUCAUUCUACUCCAAAUAACAAGAUAAUUGAUAUCAUUACUAGAUGUAAGGAUCUAUUAUCAUCUCACAAUACCUUUAUUGUGAGUUAUGUCAGAAGACAAACAAAUAAAGUUAUUCAUAAUAUAGCUAGAUCCUCCUUAUCUCAUCCUGACCCUCAUAUUUUCUAUGUUGUACCCUCUUAUUUAUACCAGUUAAUUAUUAAUGAAAUGAUCUAGCUUACUUUUGCUAUAAAAAAAAAAAAGACAAUUGAUAUAUCACUUAGAAAACAGAAUCCUUUCAAUUAUAUUUAUAUAUUGUAUAAAUGUAUAUAUCUAUAAAAGAUAAUUGAUAUAUCACUUAAAAGAUAUAUCACUUAUAUUAUAUUAAUAUAUUUUAUAAAGAAGAAUCUUUUCAAUAUUUAUAAAGAAGACAUCAGAAAGCAUUGACUAAUGACAUUUUAUCACGCAUUUUAUAUUGAUAAAUGUACUUUUUGUAUGAAUGGAUGCAGUUUACCUCUUGAGCAACGGCGUUGUGGCUUGAUGUCAGGGUUGUAUUUAAAAUAGGGUGAAGAGGGUGACUAUUCUAGACCCCAAAAAUUAAGUAUGAAAUUGGGGCCUAAAAAAAUAGUUUAGGGGUUUAAUAAGCAAAAAAAUCAAAAACAAAAAAACUUAAAUUCUAAAGGAUGGUGUUGUUGUUAGUAAUGAGAUUAGUCCUUUAUUUUCCCAUUUAGAAUUUAUCAUAUGAUGUUACUAAAGGGAGUUCAAAUUCCUAAUUUACAACAGCAAAGUAGCAGCAUAUAACAAAAAAGAAAGGCACCCGAAACAGAGUUGCAACAACAUCGUAAAGAGAAAGAAGAAAAAGAGUUCGAACGACAACUUUGUCGGCGAGCAUGGUUAUGUUAUUUUAUUUGUUUUGUUUUAUUAUUUUAUUGUAUAAUAUUGCGGCGAAAAGGUACAUCUCGUAAUUAUAAAAGGAAAAAAAAAAUAAAAUGUCUGCUGGAUUUAAAUUUGUUUCUAAAGAAGUAGAAGAGCAUUCAAAUAAUGAUGAAAUGAUCGUAAAAAAAGAUAAUCUUGAACAAUCUAAUCAUAUAACAUAUUGAUGUGGACACAAUUAUUAAUGAAUAUAUAAAAGUACUCAUGAGAAUUGUUUUGUACGAACAUUGAAUAUUAAAUAAAACUUCGAUGUUUUUUGUAUGAAAUCUGAUGAUUUUAUUAGAUCAUUUUUUAACGCAAUAAAAGUUAUCAUUUUCAAACAAAUAAUUUUUACACUAUAAGAAUUCAAUUUUUUUAUACUCAUUAGCUAACACCCAAUUUUUAGAUUCGCCUUGGGCAACCAAAAUAUACGAAACGGAUGUUUGAUACGAGUUGCUAGAGGAAUUAAAAGGUCACCUGCCAUUAGAAGUCAUUAAAUUUAUUUAGUUUAAUGGUUGAAAUAAAUAACCUGUAAAGCCCCGAUACUUUAAAAUGGAUGAUGUUCCGAUACUUCUCGAUACGUAUCCGGAGAGUAUCCGAAUAUUAAAUUUUAUUUUUUUAAAAAAUAAUUAUCCGAUACUUUCCGAUACGUCCCGGAUACGCGAAGGAUACUUCUAUUUGUUACGAUACGCACAGAUAAGUGUGUUUUUUUAUAUUAUUUUGAUUUCUGUUUUUUUUGUAAUUGAGCUAAUAGAGUUGUCUUUGGAUGAACCAGAUUUGGAAGCUAGUUUGUAUCUUGUUGAUGGAAAUGGAGGAGAGGAUAUUGAGACGAUUAAUGUUAACUAAAAUAACUUAAUUCUUGAAUACUGAUGUGUUCUUUUUUCGAUAUAGUGCUUCUUUUUUAGAUCGAUAUAGUAUAGCACUAACAAUGUUCUUUUUAGAUAUAGUAUAACACCGAUGAUGCUCUUUUUGGUAUAUAUUGUGUAUGUAAUUGACUAAUCACCACUCUCUUAAUCGUCAAUAUUAUUUAUAUUUAUGUCGAUGUGUUACGAGCCUAUGAUUGAUUUCUUGUGUUUGUUAAUAUAUUUGCAUAUUAAAAAAUGGUUGUAAUACGACACCUAGUCUAGCAUUCCUUGUGCUGAUUAGGAUUCACUGUGAUUUUAAUAAAUUUCAUUUUAGUUUCUUAAAAAAAAAAAGGCUAUAAUUAUAUUGUGCAUUUAAUUAUAUAUUUUUUUUAUUAACGUAUCCCAGCCGUAUCGUAUCUUGAUUUUUGAAAUUUUUUCGUAUCAGCGUAUCGGUGCAGUAUCGUAUCCGUAUCGUAUCUCGUAUUCGGACUUCACAGAAUGAAAUUUGAAUAAAGUCAAAAGAGUUACCCUCAAAGUCAAAAAGACUAAAACAUAAUACAUGAAAGUGUCAAGGCAAACAUCUAAUUUUAUAAAGAAAUUACAUGAAUGCGUCACCUAAAUUAGGCAAGCAUUUAAUUUCAUUCAUAAAAUAAUUUUACUUUUACACAAUUACACAUGAAAUUUUACUAUCUUUGUCAAAAAAAAUAAUAUUGGAUUAACCGAAAUUAUUAUUAAAAAAAAUUAUUCUUUAUGUAUCUAAUUUUAAUUAUUAAAUGAAAUUAUUAGAUUAAAAGAUAUAGACUGUUAGUGUUUGCUUAGACUAACAUCCUAUUGUGCUUGUGAGCUUAGUUUAGUUGGUGGAAAAAAUACAUAAUAUAUAUGCAAGGUUCGAGAUUCAAACUCUGAUCCCCACAACAAAAAAUGACUAACAUCCUAUCACAAUUUUUUCAAUUUUUUACUCGUCUAGUCUUCUGUCUCAAUUCUUACAUGUCUUCACAAGGAUCUCAUCAAAAUAAAAUAUAAAAGUAAAAUUUUAAUUAUAUCAAUAUUUGUACGCUAUUGAAAUUGAUUUAAAUAACUAUAUUAAAUAAAAGCUUAAAUUUGGUCCUCAUUUUUUUAAAAACAAAUAAAGUCUUUUUUCUAAAGGAACAAAUAAAGUCUUUGACCACCACUUUAAAAAAACCGGUUUAUGUUGUUUCUUUCGUUGUUUUCUUGUUUAUGUUUCCCUUUUCUAUACAUAUUUUUGUAACUCUUUGUUCUUUUCUGGUAUACCUUGUGUUAGGAAGGACAUUUUGAUUGAGUAAUAUAUUUCAUUUUAACCUCUUUAAAAAAAAUGUGUUCUACUCUAUCCAUCUCAAAUAUAAAUUGUUUUGAACAUUUCAUAAUAUUAUGAAAUGUAAUCAAUUGUAUAAAUAUUGUGAGUUUUUUUACCAAAUUGUCCUUAAUAAAUGAUAUUAAUAAGAUAAAUUAAAGAAUUAAAAAAAUAAAAUAAAUGACUAACAUUAUAAUAGAAAAAAGUAACAUCAAUGUUUCAUCUGUAUUAUAAAACGACUUAUAAUUUAAUUUUUUUUUUCCUUUUCAAAACAACUUAUAUUUUGAUAUGAAAAAGUAUGAUUUAUGGUAUUUAAUUCCUCAAAUAGAUAAAUGACAAAAUUCAUAAUAUCUUGUUCAACUGCUAAUAAAUGACGAAAUUAAUUUUUUUUUAAGAAGAAAUGACGAAAUUAUUUGGUGGACGUGGUUGGAAUUAAAAAAAAAUUCUUAUGGCACCAACCAAAUAUCAAUGAAAACUCAAUAACAGAAAACGGUUACGGAAUCAAAAACUCAAUAGUCAAAUCUUCCUCACCAUUUCCUUCAAACUCUUAAUUCUUCAAUCACUAUAAACAUUUUGCCGCCUAAUUCUUCUUCCUCCGCCGUAAAUGACCACCGUGAAAUCACUUCCACCGUCACGUAGCACCGCCGUAUACCGUACGGUCCAAUGCCGACAAUUGCCGACGGAAAACCUAGGGUUUCCUACACUCUUCCCACUCAAUGCCGGUAGAUCGUGCCGCAGUCAGAGAAGCCUAGCACUCUUCUACGACCGUGCGAGAUUGAAGGCAUACACAUUGAAGCCAAUUCAGGCUAAGAACGAUUCUGAAUCGUCUUGCUCGGAUAAUAACAGUACUUCGUUUUCUGGUACUUUUUUUUCAAUUUCAGAUUCUUUUUCUUUUCGUAGGAUUGAAAAGCUUUCGAGAUCUGGAAUCUCGAAUCUUCAAUGUCUUUUUGUGAAAUGCUUUUUUUGCUCUGUAUUUGUAUUCGUAUUUUGUAUUUGUACUAUAUAUGUUUAGAGUCAUCAAGUAAUUUCAAUUUCAAUUCAUUUUAAACGAGCUUCAUUAUACAAUCGUAUUAGGUGAAUUGUCUCAUUCAAGAAUCUAGAACAUUAUUAUUAUUAUUAUUUUUUUAUGAUUUUAAUCAAAUUAAAUUAAAAUAAAUGUCAUUUGUUCCCACUGGUUACAUGCAAUGAUAUUAUAAUAAUAAUUAUUAGGAAAGAAAGAUGGAGUAGUAAGAGAUUCCUAUUGAACCAUAUAAAAUAAAAUAUGUACAGCUAUGUGGGUCACACAUUCACAAUUCAGUAACGUGUAGCUACAGAAACUUUGUAAUUUAUACUGUGGCAAUUGGCCAAAUAAUCAACUUAAGAUGGAUGCAUCUGUUUGCAGAUUGAAAAAACAGAUUCUCAAUUAGUUCUCAGGAGUUAAUAAGUGCUACCGUUUUGAUUAUUGAUUUCUCAGGUAAGAGUCAUGAAUCAUAAUCACAAGUAAUAGGAUGAGUGAUGAUUAGUGUUGUAUAGUUGUUUCUGUUUAUCGUUUAUCUUUUCCUACGUUUUCGUCCUCAUCUAUUAAGAUAAGAUUUGAGUGUUUCUGAGUCAUUUGGUUUCAGCUGUCAAUGAAACUGGAAAUCUGGUCAGCUUGGUUGAAUUGUAUUUUUAAAGCAAGCAUUGAAUUUUGAUGCAUAUGUACAAACAGUUGACUUUUUUUGGUCAUUCUUAGAGUAGCGAUAGGGUAAAUGAUGAUUACAAUUUUUGACUGAUUUAUUAUCUAACUAAGGUAAAAAUCUCCGCCAGAUGUCAAAUAUUGGGAAACUCGACGAACAUUUUGUGGCAUGAUUGUCCAGUUCAAAAAUGUGAUAGACAGCAGCUGCUUCAGCAAAAAGGAUGUGUUAUAUGGCUAACUGGUCUCAGUGGUUCAGGUUUGUGAUUUUUUAGGUAGUUAGUGUCCACAAUUGUCUGCUUUGUUUCAUGAAAUCAAGCGAAAAUAAAGCACAAUUGUGCAGCUAUAUAAGGUAGUGAAACUUUGCAAAAAUAAAGCACAAUAUAAGGAAGAUUCUUGUCCAACUAUGCUUACUUCUUGCAGCGCUUUAAGUCAUUUUUAAGUUGGAUUUAUCUUAUAUUUUGUUUAUUUUCAGUCAUAUUUGCGCCAUUUUAUCCAUUUAGUUUUUCUGUUUUGGCACUUGCUGAGUUGGUAUGAGUAUAGUGGUAAUAUUCCUUUGCAAAUGGCUGUAUCUUCUCAUGCAUUUAUCAUGACCAAGUGGUCAAGCAAGAAAAUCAUCUCAACAUUUCAGAAACAACUGUUCUUUCUACUCUACACUCAAUUCUCUCAACUUUAUCAGAAUUCAUUCUUAAUUAUGAGUUCCCUGCCUAAUGAGCUUUUAAUGUAGUCCUCCUUAAAAUCCAAAUUCUCAUCUCAAUUGUUAUUAGACCAUCAGGCUGGUGCUUACCCGUGGAUAAGGCAUAAUUGUCCUUGAAAUGCAGACAAAACUGCCAUACAGCUGAAUCUGCUAGAAUGAGAGCAGUCUAUUCAAAAAAGCGCAAUGAAUCUAACAUAAUGAAGGAAUUGGGUUUUGAUCAACUCAUGAAAAGCUUAUUGGCAAUGAGCGCUAUGCUCAGAACUCGAUUGAAAUCACUUCAAUGAAUUCCUAGGAAUUUUCAGCGACUACCGCAUUAUACUCGGAGGAUCUUGAUCUCAACCUAGAACUGUUUGUUAUUCAUCAAGGGCUCAAAAACUGACUUCUACAGAUUUGAUGGGUUUACCUAGAUUCAUCUGGAAGGAACAACCGCAAGCAAAUUAGGGAACCCACAAGCUGAAGUCCGAACGUGAGCCUGAUAAAUACAAGAAAUGCUUAGGGAAACUAUAAUUCGACCCAAAACCAGUCUUCUACCCGUACUUCGAAGAUCAAGUUUCCUCGAUUUGACGGAGUGGUUAUACAAGUGUGAACAUUUCUUCUCCAAGGACAACACCCACCUGAAUCCAAGGUACAGUUGACUUCAAUUCAUCUUGAUGGUAAGGUUUGGUGAUGGAGGCACCUUAAUUAUGUGAGGACUAGGUUUAAUAUCAUCCCAAACUGGCGACACUAUACCUCUGAUGUUAUGUAGUAUUUUGGAGACACACAGGAAGUGUGUGCAGUUUCCCUGAUAGCAGCAAGCAACACAUCACAUUGUCCUGUGCCCCGGGUCCAAUAAAUCUAUGAUGAAUAUCAAUACCAAUGUGCAAGUCCACAAAAUUAAGUCUAAAACACAAAGGACUGGGAGUUUCAAUGCAUCAGAAAUGGCUGACAAGAUGGAAAAAGUUGUAUUAUGUAUGUUAUGUGACGAACCUUUUACUAUUGUCACAAUUUUAAGCAUAAAAACACUCAAUUCUUAGUGAUAGAGAUGGAUAAGGAGGAGCUAAAGUGUAAAAGCAGUCCAUCGAGUUUGGAGACUGCAGAAAGAACAGUUGCUACUUGCUAGUGUCCAUAAAGACUUUGAUUAGAGUCUCAAAUUAUUGAACAAAGAUUGUAAGUGGCCCCUAUAGGUUGAAGAUUUGCUACCAUUAGUAGAUGAUAGUGGCAUUGCAAAUUAUCUCUUGGACCUUCAUCUAGUUAAGAUAUUAAGUUGUAAAUUAGAGAACAUUAGGCUAUUGACAGUCCAUGUGAUUGAUAAAAUGUUGGCAGAUGCCUCAUAUAGCUAUAGAAGGUUUUCUUGGCAGCUUCAACAACCUAAAUUUACGUCUGAGGUGAUGGUGUUGCGUUGGAGGUGCAGUGAGUUGGUUUUGGGAGCACAGUGGUUACCCAAGAUUGACGCAAUCAUAUGGAAUUUUUCAACGCUCCAAUUGAUUUUUUUUUUCUAGGGAGGGAGCUAAAUGCCUAACUCUGUUUUGAAGAUUUCCAAACCUUCCGGCAGCAAUUUAAUCAAUACAGAAAGCUUCUAUUUUAGAUGAUGCACAGUUAGUGCUUUGUCUGCAUAACUACAUCAGCAACCGAGUCAUUCUGGCUGCCAAUGAUAGUGGCAACUCAAUCAGCAUGGUCGUAUAGUAGUUACUAGUUAUAUGGAUCCAGACUUUAGGGUCAAAUAUGUUUUUAGUACCUAUAAAAUGAUCAACUUUCGUGUUUAGUUCCCAUAAAGUUUUGUUGACUUAAAUCCCCAGAAUAUUUUUCGUCAAUAAUUUUGGUCCCCAAAUUCCAUCACGUAUUGGUUGUGUUACUCCCAAAACCAUCAUAUAUAGUUUUUAAGAUCUUGGGUUCGCUCUUUGUUCUCCUUGGGACUAUGUUCAUGUGUGUGAUUUGGAGAAUUUGAGGAUUUUUUUUAAUCUUAAAAACCCUAAAUUCCAAUAUUUAAUAUUAUUUCAAUUAUAACUAAUAAUAAUAUGUGUUAAUAAAUCAGAAACCUUCUACAUCAUUACAAAAGUUCACGUGGCAAGUGUCGCGUGGACUUUUGUUAGCCACAUAGGCUGGGAAUUAAUAGAAGGAUCAAAAGUGUUGAUGAAAAAUAUUUAGGGGACUAAAAUUCGGGAAAAAUUUAUAUUAUAAGGACUAAAAAUGGAAGUUGAUGAUUUUAUAAAGAAUAAAAACAUAAUUAACCCCAGACUUUAUUAGCAAGGCUUGAAUUAACUAUCUCAGCUCUAAGGGCCAUCAAUGAUCAAUUCCGAUGCAUGCCCUCAUAAUUGAGAUGUUCUCAGCUUGCUCCUAGUCCCCAAGCUGAUUUUAUUUCAAAAGCCACACUCUGAUGUUGUCCACCUGUCACAGUUCUGAGUUCCCUGCCUCAGAGUAUUGGGUUUUAUUGGAAUCCUCCCUAAAAUUGAAAUUCUUGUCUCACACUGUUACUUAUCCCUGAUAUGUUAAAGUAAAUACAACAAUUGGCAAAUGGAUUUCCUGUUUCUAAAUUUUUCUCUUUUUGAUAUUGUAUGAAAAUUGAAAUCCGUGAGUUUAAUUUAUUGAGAGAUGUCAGGCUAUUCGAUUACUUCUCAUUCUUUUAGAUACCAUAUGCACACCCUUGAGUUCUGCACUCACUAGUAAUUUUUUUUUUUGAAGAAGACUCAUUAGUCAUUAAUUUCAGGAAAAAGUACUCUUGCAUGUGCUUUGAGUCAAAGCUUGCACUCCAGAGGAAAACUGACUUACAUCCUUGACGGUGACAAUAUUCGGCAUGGUCUAAACCGUGAUCUUAGUUUUAGAGCAGAAGAUCGUUCAGAAAACAUACGAAGGAUUGGUGAGGUUCUAUUUUCUUCAAUAAAUAUAUGUACACUGGAUUUCUUGGCUUCAUAAAUGUUUCCCCUAUAUGUUCCAAUUAUAUCGUGUUUUGAAAAUUUCAGGUGAGGUUGCAAAACUCUUUGCAGAUGCUGGUCUUAUUUGCAUCACUAGUUUGAUAUCACCCUAUCAAAAGGAUAGAGAUGCUUGCAGAGCACUACUGCCAGAAGGGGAUUUCAUUGAGGUAUGUUCUCGUUAUUGUGGUGAUCAAAAUAAUGCAGAUAGUUUGGCAGGUACUGUACAAUUAUAAAACAAAUAGGGGUUCUUCAUAGCUAAUACAAUUGCUCACUUGUUGCAGGUUUUCAUAGACGUGCCACUACAUGUGUGCGAAGCUAGGGACCCAAAGGGCCUAUACAAGCUUGCUCGUGCAGGAAAGAUCAAAGGUAUAUUGGUAAAACUUUUCGUAUUGGUACUUGCAAUCUAAUUUGGUAUCAUCUUCCAAUAAGGUGCUAUGAUCUCGUACUGCUGUAUUUGUUAUUUUAUAAUAUUAGCAUCAGCAGUUCAGCUAUAUAUGCCAUGCUUAACUUUUUUUAUUUCUAAUCAACAUUGCGGAGUACCUGUUCCUGUAUUGGGGUUGAAUUGUGUAUUUGUAUGCUGUAGGUUUCACUGGUAUAGAUGAUCCAUAUGAACCACCUUGUUGCUGUGAGGUUUGUAUUUUGUAUUUUUCAUCUUAGUUAUGUCAAAGAUGAAGAGAAUAGCAAUAGGAAAGAAUUGUUACACUAAUUUUUUUCAAUACCAUUUUGACAUGGUCAAUAGUGCCUCAUUAUUACCGUAAAAAAAUAAAAAAAAAUAAAAAAAAAACUGAGUCAUCAUUUACUGGUUUAAAGAUGGUGUUUAAAUAAUAUUGCCAAAUAAGAAAAUAAAUAACUGACUGACUCAUUAUUGAAAUGUUUUAGUUCUACUUGCUUUAAUCCAACUUUGAAGGGAAAACUGUUGUCUUUUGCUGAACUUUCGCCUCUGGGAUUCUAUUCAAUGUCUUUUUUCUUCCAUUUAAUUGAUUUCGCUUUUUGUUUUCAUUUGUAAAGUUUGCUUCCCUUAUUUUGCAGAUAAUAUUACAACAGAAAGGAAGUGACUGUAAGUCCCCUAAAGAUAUGGCAGAAACAGUGAUAUCCUAUUUGGAGAAGAGUGGACAUCUGCAGGCCUGACUUUUCUUUAGAGGGGCCUUUCUUUUUUGUUUGCUAUAAUGGGGUUUUAAAGGGUCCUUUCUCGUAGCCUGUAGUUAAAUUGUGUUGUAGAUUUUGGCACAUAAAAAGUUGUUCCUUCCAGCUGCAAGGAAAUCAUCGUUUCCUGCACAUCUGCUUCUGUACUAAAUCAUAAGAUGGAGAGCCAUGGGGAAGGAUUUAUAAGUUGGUGCUGAUUGACAUAAGCACAUAGGAAGAAAGGAUUUAGUAUAUGUGAUUUGUGUCUUUUAGCCAAUAUUGGAUGUUUGGAAUGUAUAGCGCUGUGUAGGUAUGCAACUAGGGAGUUCUUAUGAUUUCUGUGUGGUACCGAUGCCUGGUACUGCAUAGGGAUUGAGAUUAUAUUGAGAUACAUGAAAUGUACUAGUAAAUUAUUCUUCAAAGUUAACUAGCAUUGGUUGACUACUCUUAAAAAAAAAAAACUUUGAGUUGACUUUUACACCUUUGAAAAUUGUCUAGCUAAUAAUUCAAAAUGCUAUAGUGGAUAGGAAGUUAGUUUUUAACAAAAAAAUAAAAUAUUGUUCUUAGAGGAGAUCCCGAGUUUGGGGUGCUGUUGAAAUGGUGAACAAAAGUACUUAUGCUUUGGUAAGCCUUACUACUUUCUUGGUUCUUGUUUAUUGGCAUUGAAGUUUGAACAACACAGUAAUAACCUGUUUGUUUGUACCAUGACAAGAGUGUGGGCGUGCGUUGUAUGCGAAGAUACACUUUGCAACUUCUAUUUUCACAUCAAAAUUUGUCUUGAAACAUGAAAAUCAAAACAUGGCCAUAGUUCCAAACCAUACAAAGACAGUCAGGAAGUGCAGAAUCAAUAGUUAUGAAAUCAAGAUCAGUAAAGAAAAUUAAUAAAUUAGAAUGCAUUCAUUGCUAAGAGCGUUAUGUUCUCAAAAGGGCAUGAAUGAAAAAAUUCAAGGAUGAUAUAUGUUGUUUUAAAGCCUUGCCUAUCGUGAGCAUUGAACAUGUUACGUCACUCAACAAAUUUUCCCAGUGUUUGACUGUUUGGUUUGAAAAAAUGACUGACUCGUAGGUUGAACUGGUUGAUGGUCUGCCAUCUUCACUUAUCUAGUCUAGAAGAAGAAAAGAAAAUUGGGUGUAGUAUUAACAAGAAAAGCUUCCGUAACAAUUCAUCUCAUACCAUAUCACUUAUAAAUAAAAAUUUAAUAAGAUUUGCUAAAUGAUUAAGAGUGAGUUCCUGGAGUACUAGUUUACAUCAGAAAGAGGCAAAAAAUACAAUAUCACCUCGUCUUUGCAUAUGAUUAUAAGCAGACAAAAAGCAGAGAACAAAUGGCAUGGUUACAGACACGGUAGCAGACAUGACAAUAUGAAAAGUAUUAGACCAUCUCCUUUCUUGAAGAGCCCAACGUGUAUUGACAAAGUGAGUAACACUAUCCACCAUCAUUGCUACCACAUUUUUUAUCAUCAUUGAACAUCAAUGUGUGCUUGUUGAAGAGGAAUAAGGAAUAUUGUUGUGAUGAUGAUUGAGAAAAGUUAAGUAUAAUAAAGGAAGAGAAUCGAUUCUAGGUUUGUGCUUACGGGAACUGGCAGUUUAUAAAGAGACGUUGUUUCCGGGAUGUUUCCUCAAUUUUAUCUUUUGUUUUUGAGGGAAACGGUUUUUUUUUUUAGAGUAACUUAUACAAGGGGAGGUUAUUUAUUAUCAAUAAUUUCAUGUAAGUGACGAGGAUGCUUGUUGGAUAAAUCAAAGCAGAAACAAUUUCAGUACAAUUUGUUUUCAAAUUUUAGGAAAAAUUUGUUUUAAAUUCGGCUACGGUUUAAAUUUAAAAAGAAUUUGUUUCAAGUUUACUAGAUUUAUCCAAUUAAUUGUUUUGAUUCAAGAGGAUGAGGAUGAGAGUUUUAUUCUAAAAUAUUUAAAAAACAUGUUUUUUUUUUGACAGAAUUUUAAAAACAUGUUUGUUUCGUUAACAUUAUAAUAUCCUCGUAAACAUUAUUGUAGGAAGGUUAAUUCCAGUAGUUGUUACACUUAAAAUUAUUCUCAUCUUUAUGAGAACCUUAUUCCCAGCUUUAUAUUUAGGAAAGUUUUCUUAUUGUCAAGAAUAUUUUAUACUAAGGAAUCAAAUUUAAUAAACUUAUGACAAACAUUUUUUUUAAGGAGAACUUAUAACAAACAUAAAAAUACAUAUUUAUAUCGUUUUAUUUUCAAGAAUUUACGAAAAUAACUUGAAAAAACCCCUCUAAAAUAUAAUAACUUGAAACAAGUGCACCUUAAUUAAUAUGAAUUCAGUAAAAUAAUAGAAACAUCACAUAUCCGCAUGUAUCGAUUUUCCACCGUCUAUUCCCGAUGUAUCUAAAAAGUACGGGACACUUGUUUUUUUUUAAAAAGUAAGAUUUAAUAUCCAAAUACUCUCCAAAUAUGUAUCGGAAAGUAUUCGGUGCAUGAUACGUAUCAAAUACCGAGAUACCAGUACGUUAUCCAUUUUUCACUUAUGAGAAAUGAAUUCUCUCGUCUAAUUCUCAUGUUCAUGUCAAUUGUCAAGUAUAGGUGCUCUAGCUUUAUUCAUUUAAAGUCUCGUAACUAUUGUUGGCGUGUAUAUUGUUUUUUUUUUUUUUUUUGAGUUGUGGUGCAUCUAGCUUAGUUAGCACCUCACUCCAGCUAAACUAUCUUGUAUGCACUAAACUAUUGAAAUACCAUUGUUUAUCCUACGGUAUUAAUUACAUUUUGGAGAUUUAAAAAUUUGGAGUUAACCUUAGACAAGCUGCAAUGCAAAUUUUUAAACUUGGACAAGCUGCAAUGCAAAUUUCAGCCUUUGAUGUUUGUUCUUGUCUAGGUGAAGUUGCAAGCAGUGACAGCCAAAUUAAAAGAAAAAAAAUAAAGAAAAGCUUCCAAUUGUUCUUGUAUGCGGUAGAGAAUGCAGAUUCUAAAAAUUCUUAGACAACCUACGGAAAUUACAUAGUUUUGGAUUUAGUGUGUUGAAAUUAAGUACUACAAAUCAAUCAGAAAGAUAUAGUAUUUCGGAUCAAACAUAAAACACAUACAAAAACAUGAUGUUUCCAAGAAAAAACAAAAUACUGAAAACAAAGGGUUACAAUGAAGGAAGGUGAUAGGUCGGAGGAUUCAAAACCAACGACAGGAAGACAAAGACUACAUACAGUGGGGAUAAAGGCCAAAAUCUGCAAGGGGAGGUGUUUGUCUUCAACUUCUUUCUGUAUGCAGGGGUUGAGUCUUUUCUUGUAAAAGGAAGGAGAGUGUGGGAGUAGGAGCUACAAAAUUCUGUAUGCUUAAAAGGAAGGAGAGCGGAGAGCGUGGCAGGGGCGAAACCACGCUGUAGGAUGGAGGUGCUCGAGCCUCCACAGCAACACACAUAAGAGUAUGAAAAACUUAUUGACACUCAUUUUAUGAUCAACAAUGCCUUGCACUAAUAAAACACUAAUAAAAACUAAUGUCACUGAUAAAAAUACAAGAUAUUUUUUUAUAGCUAAAUAAAUAAUUUAUAACUACAUUGUUUUGAGGUACAAAAAGCCACUAACAAAUCAACAAUUUUUAUCAUCAAGAUACACAUAAAUAGCAUUGAAGUAAAAACUAUAAUAAUUCAAAGCCAACGUCAGUAUUGAUGUUUGACCUGCAUCUCCGAAGACACUAUCAGUGUUUGAUUUUGAUCUUAGCCUGCAUCUCCUUGGCCAUGGACGGUAACCACCUUUCUCCCCUAAUUUUUUUCAAUUUCUCAAUUCUUUCCUCCUCUCUCUUGGCUUUAGCUUUUGCUGCUGCAUCUUUAGCUUCUAGUCUAGCCAAUGAUUUCUUGUAUGCAUCAUUUGCUGCAGCAAUUAAAUCAUUUCCAUCUACAGCAAUAGAUCGAAUCCGUCUUCUAAACUGUUGAGGUAGCAAAUAGUCAUUAAGAAAACAAACAAAAUACAUUAUAAUCAAGCAACACACACAGACAUCUAUGGAUUAACUAGUACACCUUCUUUGAUUUCUCAUCAAUAUCUUCUCCCGGAACUAGUUUAGGUCGUUUCAUUGGCGGUUGGGGUUCAUCUGCAGCCAUAUAGAUGUAAGCGUAAACAACAUAUGCAAAUGUGGUUCGGUAAAAUAGCAAUAUAAAUCACAAAAUUGAUAAUUUUCCAACCCCUUACACAAUAUUUAUUUAACUUAAAAGUAAAAAAUCAUCUCGAAUUUCCAUCAAACCCAUACUGUAACCAGUUUGUGUGAAUGUGAAAAAUAAAAAUCAGUUUGGAGUCUGGGUUGCACACCAUAUCAUGGCAACAUGUUGCAUCAAAUUUACGGUGUUUGUGUUUAGUUCCUCAAACCAUUAAUAUCUAAAAAUAUAUUACGACAAGUAAACUACUCCCUCCGUCCUAAUUUAUAAGCAAAAAACAGUAAUUCACACUUAUUAAGAAAACUAACACUUAGUGAUUUGAGGUAUAAUUUUUUGUGUUCUCCUUGGAAUAAGUUUCAUGGAAAGAUGUAAAAAUAAUUCUCAUUGGUUAAAAAUUAUGGAGAAAAUAAAAAGGAGAACAAAUUGAAUGCAAUUUGCAUUUAAUUUUACAUUGGAAAAGAUGAUUUGGUUGAAAAAACAUAAUAAUAGCAUAAAAAUUAGUCUUUUUUGCUUAUAUUUUGAGACAAAGAAUAUGAGAUUUUUUUGCUUAUAUUUUAGGACGGAGGGAGUAGUUGUUACGGCCUGUCAAAAAAAAAAAAAGUUGUUACGACUUAGCACCAACGACGGAAAAGCCUCCAUUCACUUCACUGAAAUGGGAUUUUGUAGAGAAUUUGACAUAUGGUUACUCCAAACCAAAAUCAAUUUUGUCUCUAAUAAAAUAAUGCUUUUGCUGUUUUGUUUGAGUUGAAAAUUCUAAACUAAGUUUUACUUCAAACUUAUUUUUGAGAAAAAAAAAAUUCUCAGCAUAUAUUGUUUAACUAAAUUAAUUUUUAAUCAUAAUCAACUAAUAUCAUCCCAAAUCAAUGUCACAAACACUGGUCCAGUCCAAGUAAUAGCUUGGACCAUUAUUCAGGGUUUAGUUGGCAAUUCAGUAGUAAGUUAUAGCAUAGGUCCCCAAAGCAUGCUUUUCUGGAGUGACUUAUGCACAAUGAUAACCUCUCAGAGUGGUUAACAAACUAGUCAACAGAUUAUAGAAAUGCAGUACCACAUUGCAAUAUAACAUGCAUAAAACAGUGUAAAACAAGUAUCAUCUUAUGAAUUCUGAUGACAACAAUCAAACAAAAGAUUCCAGAAUGAAUAAAGAGAUGCAUGGCAUGCUCAUCUGGGCUCCACUUCUUAACCACAGACAAAGGGCAGGGUGUGUAAGCAUAAGUACUAUUCUGAAAGAUAGAAGAAAAAAAAAAAAGCACUUCUGCUUUAGCUUACAGCCCAAUCAGUGGCUUUUACCCAAUUCAGCUUUUUUCUUGUUUCAGAGAAAUUUGUAUAUAAAUGUCAAAGAACAAUGGUGACUGGUUAGUGGUUUACCUGCUACCAGAAACACUACAAAAAGCCAACUUUUAACAAGAAAAAUAGGAACCAUUACCAACCAGCAAAGUCCAAAACUAUCCAAAAUCUAAAAUCAAUUUUUUUAUAGCUAUAUAUCAUAGAAUUGAAGCUGAUCUUAACAAGCCAAUUUACCUGCAUGAUCAAAAACUAUUCCUGGUUUAGAAUGUCUAAACAAGCGAAUACCGCAAUCAUCGACAUUAGGAUCCUCAUCUAGGACAGGAAUAGGUUCUUUCACUAUCUCAAUUGUAUUUUCCAAUAUGUCAUCCAAAAGCUUUAGUGCCUGUCAAUAAACAUAAAUCAUCUAAACCAAAAACCAGAAGAAAAAAAAAAGUACAAUACAGAACUAUUAAUGAUGAACAAUAAUUUGCAAAAGAAGAAAAAAACCUACAAACGUAAUUCAAAUUCCACUAAACAAAAAAACAUGAACUUGGUAAUAAAAACUGAAUUUUGUUUUGUGGGCAUUGGUAAUCACAAAAAAUACCAAAAUCCUAAUUAUUUUUUUUUGCAAAAAUUAAAUGAAUAAAUAGGAUCUUAAUUAGAAAUUUCAACUUAAUUAACAUAAAAAUGAGAAAUUUAGAAUUGGACCUUAAGUUGGUAGUGCUUAAUCUUUGGGGAUUUAGGGUUUUGAUUAUCAUUAUGCUUCUUCUUGGUGUCAUUGUUGUUGGUGGCGGAAAAUCCAUUCAUGAAGGAAGUGACAUAGGAGGAUGUUCCAGCAACGGAAUCAAUGGCUGCUUUCCAUGCUGCGUCACCGUCUUCAUCGCCACUGCUGCUACAGUAGCCAUUGUUGAGUUCUUCUUCUGCCAUUGUUUACUCUUUCAGGUUUCGUUUCAUGAGAACGUUGGUGAGUGAGAUGAUAGUGAAAGAAAAUUGGGCUUUCUUUGGGCUAUGGUUCGUUUUAGGCCCAAUUUGUAAACAAUUGAAUAGAGAAAGUUGCUCAAUAGGUACUUCAAUUUUACUUUUGACCGGGGUUGUAAGUUUUUGUGUGUAAGAUUUGAUCGGAUCAUAACUCUCGAUUGACUACUUUUAAUCAAGUGAGAAAUUCUGAGGUGAAAUAGUAGACUUUUACUAUGAGAAUUUAAACUACUUUUUUUUUUUUACACUUAUUAAAGUAAUUGUAAAAAACAACUGAAAGCUAGAAAAAAAAAAGGAAAAAAGCCAAUAAUUCUAAACAAAUUUAAGACCACUCCUAACUUUAGAGUAGUCUACUUUCAUAGAGAGUUUAAUAUAAUUUUUAAGUUAAUAUUAUAUCAGCAGUGUUAUAUGUCCCAAAUAAUGUUUCGGGAAAUUUCAGAGUGUGUGUAUUUUCUAGUUUUAUAAGAGAAACUUCAUAAGUCUUGUGGAAAACAUGUGGGAGAGGGGUGAAUGCAUGUGGACCAGGGGUGAUAAUCAGUCAAUCAAAAUUAUUCGCAAACAAUUUUUGAUGGAAUGUUUCGCUUUACUUAACAAUAUCAAGAAUUGCUCGCGAAUAAUUUUGAUUGGCUGAUUAUCACCCCUGAUCCACAUGUAUUCACCCCUAGCCCACAUGUUUUUUACAAGACUUAUAAUUUCACUUAUAAAACUAGAAAAUACACACACUCAUAAAAUUUCCCAAACCAUUAUUCGGCACAUGCACCGCUGGAUUAUAUAUUUAUGGUUUGGAUGUAAUCAAAGUAAAAGUCAUAUUCAGUUGCAAUAACUAUGACCAAGAUAUUGUCUUUAUCUGAAUCGAACUUAUUGUCUCCUGAAAUUUUAGCAUCAAAUGAACUGACUUUGUGUUGGUUUGGUUUCACACGUUCAUCUGAUUUUUCACCGUGAUUUCCACAAGAUACAAAGUAUAGCUUCCAUGUUGGUGUGGUUUUCAAACUUGGUUUUAAGGGAUGCCGAACGAAACACGUUAUUGGUUUCAUCACUUACAUUGCCUACAUUAUGCACAUUAUCUUCUUAAUAUCAAAUACCAAACACCUUCCCUAAGACGUCUUUGGUAUUUGCAGACUGGAUAAAGUUAGAAUAAAAGGUACAAUAGUUUUGUGAUGUUGCAAUACGGGACCUAGUGGCGGGUGUAACAUUUUGUGCAACAUUUUUUCCUUCUUCUUAUGUCUUUUUUUUUUUUUUGACAGUGACCGGGGUUUAAACACCGAACAUUACAUAUAUUAUGCAUUAUCUGAACUAACUGAGCUAAGCUCACGAGAACCUUCUUAUAUUUCAUGAUUAUUCUCAAGGACCUCAUUUGGUGCAUCACAUUUUUGUGUAUCACAGGGUUUAUCAUAUAAAAUAAGUAUUGGCAACUCUUUUAAAAAGAAAAAAAAAGUUGGGCCAUGCAUUUAUAUAUCAAUCAAUUCAAACUCCUUAAUUUGGUUUUUUUAUUAUUAUUACUGACAAUAAUUUUCUUGUUAAGAAGAUCCUAUAUUAUCAAUUCAAAAGCUUCAUAUUCAUACUAGAACCAUGAUGAUAUUCAAAAAAACAUUUAAUCCAAGUCCAAAAAUUCCUUGAUUAAGAGUUUUUUAUUUUCUUUUUCUUCUUUGCGUCUUAAAGAUAUUGAAUAGAAAGAACUAUUUUUCUUUCCAUUAAAAUUUUGAAAGUGAACAUUUAAAUAUCCUUCAAAACACAAGUAAAUAGAUUUGAAACAUAUAAAAUGCAGUUAAUCUUUUUGAAAGAUAAACAAAUGAAAAUCCAAAUUGUAUUCUUUGGGUUUAUAAUGCCAAAAUUUCAAGUCGGCUCACUCGUCUUACCCCAAUAAAAUGAAUUCAGAAUUUGUUUGACUCCAUAAGAUAAAGAUAUCAAAAAUAAAGGAUUUCUCCAUAAUGGCCAUGUAUGGUUGACGGGUAUUUUAAAAAAAGGAUUGGCUUAUUUUGGUAAAUACAUCUAACCAACUCCAAUCCUUUUACCGAUUAACAUCUUAGAAGACAUAAAAAAAAAAAUAUAUGUUUUAAAUAUAAGUAAAAAAAAAGUUAAAUAAAGUAGAAGUAUUUGGUUCAAAUUUUUAAUCAAAUACAUUAAUUUUAUUAACUUUUUUGCUUAUAUUUGAGAUCGAAGUAAUAUAUUAAAAAAAAAUUGUUAUACUUUUAGAACAUUUACCACACCUUUCAAAACAUAGUAACUAUUAUUUCAUCAGCUCCUAUUUACAUAUCGUUUUUAGACUCUUUUACACAUAUCAGAACAAUCAAUAAGCUUUGUUACUUUUAAAUCCCAUUAUUUCUCUUUUAAAAUAGACAUAAUUUAUUUUUUUGAAGAAGUUAAAAUAGAAAUAGAUAUAAUUUAUUAUUUCACUUCAUCUAUUUCCCUUUGUAAUAAUAUUAUAUAUGAUUAUCGAUAUUAAUAUUAUUGAUAAUUCUAUAACUAAUAUUGUAUUGAACUAUAAAAAUGAUCGAAAAAUAUUUGUAUACUAGUUUGAACACCCGUGCCAAGCACGGGCUAGAAUUUCGGCAUAUCUAAUGGAGAGAAUAUUGUGAUGUAUCAAGUGUCAAUUAAAAUUCCCGUGACUUAGUUCAACUGGUAUGGACAAUGCAUAAUAUAUGGAAGGUCUGGGGUUCAAACCUCGGACACCACAAAAAAAUAGUGUCAUUUAAAUCUCAUUGGAUAAAAUAUUGGAGGUCGAAGAACAAAUAAGUGGAAAAAAAAACUCAUACUAAAGCCUUAAAAUUUUGGAAGAAGAUGCGACAUCAUUCUCACCUGUGUGGUUGUUUUUUCUGCAAUGUGUCGAAUCACACAAGUGUUGUCUCCCCCGUAAGUUCCAAUGGUGAUAUCAUAUACGCUUCAACAUUUUUGGGGAGUGGAAGUGCUUCGUGGUGGUGGAUCGCGGACACAAAGAGUAUCGUAUUUAAUUGAGAGAUGGUAAUGUGUCAAGUGUGGGUUAAAAUAACAUAUUGAAUGCCAUAUAAUAGAUAUUGAAUAACAUAUCAGUGGAAUGACUCAUAAUCUCUUAAGAUUUUGAAUGUAACUGUGAUGUCAAUCUCACUUGUGUGCUUGCUUUUAGUCUAAUGUUAUGAUACAAUCCAAUACAGGUUCCCACAAAAGUCUCAACAUUAUUAUGAUUUGUUUUGUUAGUGUUGUGGUGUCAUUUGUUAAAUUUUGUAUCUUAAAUUUUAGUUUUGAGAUGUCAUUCGCUUCCAUGCAAUUUUUUUAUUCAACCUCUAUUAUUUUAAAUUUCUUUAGUUUUAGUCUUUGGUCUGAUUUGACAAUGGGAAAAUGUAGACGUGUUCUACUAAGUUGACAAAAUACACUUAUUAGAUAUUUUAAAUUGAUGUGACAUUUUUUGAAUGAAUCUAUUAUUUUGGUAGCAUGAUUACCCAUUAAUUUUCAACACCUUCAACAAAUUCAUAAAAUUAUCAGCAUCUCAUUCUAUUCCCUAUACUCUCACGAAUAAAGCACACACUCCUAAGUUUUUCCCUUAUUAUUUCUCUCUUGUACACAUUUCUUUUUCAUCUUCUUUCUUUUUCUAAUUUACUUUCUCUUUUCUCUUGAAAGAAAGGAACAAAGACAUCCUCUAUGAAACUAUCACCAACCACAUUUUUUACCAUGUUGUGCCUUUGAGCUUAUUUGAUUAUCACAUCAUAUCACAAAUACAUACGGUCUCACACCUGAGGGGUAGACGUUAAUGUGUCAUGUAUGAUUUAAACUUCUACAUUAUAUGUAAGAGUAGACAAUAAGCAAACAUAUAAAUGAGAUGACUAAUAUAUCCAAUGUCUUAAGAUUUUAGGUUUAAAUGUGAUGUGAAUUUCACAUGUGGGAUUUCUCUUAGUCAAAUGUGAUGAUCAAACUCAUUGUAGGCACUCUAAGAACUCCAAACAUCAUGAUGAACUGUUUUGAUAGUUUUUGGAUUUCAUUUGCAUAAGUUUUUUGAUAUUAAAUAUACAUUUUUGGAUGUCAUUCACUUUCAUUCAAAUGUUUUUAUUCAACCUCUAUUAUUUAAAAUUCUUUCACUUUUGCUCUUUGGGAGAUCUAACAAUAAAAAAAUGCAUGUGUUUUGCCGAGUUGACAAAACGAUAUUUUAAAAUUAUGUGACAUUUUUCAAUUGAGUCUUUUUUUUUUUCUGUUGGUGAAAUAACUACUCAUAAAUUUUUAACUCCUUCAACUAAACCAUAAAAUUACCAAUAACUCACUUUAUUUUCAAUACUUUCACGGACGAAACACACACUAUUUUUUUCUUCCAAUCAUUUAUCUCAUUUUCAAAUUACUUUUUCGUAUUCUUUCUUUUUACAAUUUCCUUUCUCUCUUUUCAUGAAAUUUAGAAUCAUAAACCUCUCUCGAUGAAAUCACCAUGAAUCCACCUUUUUAAUCAUGUUAUACUCCCUUCGUCCCGGAUUAACUGAGUCAUUUGUUCAUUUCAUACAUAUUAAGAAGAACGUAUAAAUGAAGGAGAGAGAAGGUUUUAAGUGCUCUUGUUAAGUAUUGGUGCAUUCUCCACUGUUAGAAAUGCAAAGUGGAAUAUAUUGAAUUGAGAGUGAUGAAAGUAGUAUUAAUCAGUGUUAUAAAGAGAAAAAAAGUAAUUAAUAUUGCAUUGAAAAAUGAAAUGACUCAGAUAUUUUGGGACACUUUGUUUUUGCAAAUGACUCAGUUAUUAUGAGACGGAGUGAGUACCUCCGCCCGACCUUAUUUGGUUGUGUCACCGGAUCAUAGACGCAUAGUCUCACAAUUAAGAGAGAUAUGUUAUUGUGUCAAUUGUAAUUUAAAUUUUCACAUUAGAUGCAAGAGUAGAUGUUGAGACACUUAUAAAUGAGAUGACCAAUAUAAGUAGAUGUUUAAUUUUUAUAUUGAAUUUAAAUUUUUUGUUGUUGUUCACUUCCGUGUAAUUUAUUUUUUUUAUCAAUCCCUAUUAUUUUAAAUUUCUGUACCUUUUGUCUUUGGUGAGAUUUAACCAUAGAAAAACUCUAAUGUGUUAUGCUGAAUUAACAAAAUGUGUGCUUAUUAGAAUUUUUUAAAUGUUAUCGUGUUUUUUUUAAUUAAGUAUAAUUUUUGGGUAAAUUAAUUACUCAAAAAUCUUGAACUUCUUCGACUCGCUUUAUUCUUUAUAAUAUCGUGGACAAAACACAACUUUUUUACAGGUAUCAUUUAUCUCAAUCUAAAAAUAAUAUCUAAUUUUCUUUCUCACUUCUCAUGAAAGAAAGGAACCUCUGUUUGACCCUAUUUGACUAUGUCAUAUAUUUACGGACGCGGGAGUCACACAAUUGGGGGAGAAAUGCUAAUAUAUCAAAUAUGAGUUAAAGUUCUACAAUUGAUGGAAUAGUAGAUGUUGAAUAACAUAUAAGUGAGAUGACACACAUAUAUGUCCCAAGAUAAUUUGAAUGAAGAUAUAAUAUUAAUCUCACGUGUGUCAUUUCUCAUAGUCUAAUAGGAUGAUACAACCCAAUGCAAGCUCUAUGGGAAGCACAAACAUUAUAAUGAUUUUUUUUUUUUGACAAAACAUUACAAUGAUUUGCUUUGUUAGUUCAUUUGUUUAUUAUUUUAUCUUUGAUACUUUGAAUGUCAUUCGUUUUCAUGCAAUUUUUUUUUAUUCAGCCUUUAUUAUUUCAAAUUUCUUCACCCUUUUUAGAGUUUGGGCAAAUGAGAAAGCUAGUUAUGAGAUAUCAACAUAGAUGAGAAGUCGUAACUUUCUCUUGAUGCCCUUGCAUUUUAUUCCUUUAUUAAAAAAAUAAUCAUCUUUGGUCAUUUGUGGGAUCUCACAAAAGGAAAACAUAGAUGUAUUAUACUAAGUUAACAAAGUACAUGUUUAUUAGACAUUUUAAAUUGAUAUAUUUUGAAUAACUCGAAUAUUUUGGUAGUAUAAUUACUCAAAAAUCUACAACUUCUUCAACAAACCCAUAAAAUUAACAUCAACUUAUUAUUUUACCUUAUUACUUCUCUAUGUUCAAAUUUCUUUUUCUAAUUUACUUUCUCUCUUCUCGUGAAAGAAAGAAAAAAAACAUCCCUCUUUGAAACUGCCACCAACCCACCUUUUUUACCAUGUUGUGCCUCUGACCUUAUUAGGCUAUCACACCAAGUCACAAAUAUAAAGAGUCUCACACUUAAAAAGAGAUGUUAAUGUGUCAUGUGAGAGUAGGUUGGAUGCAAGAGUAGAUUUUAAGCAACGUGUUAGCGAGAUAACCCGUAUACAUAAUGUCUUAAGGUUUUGGAUCAAAAUAUGAUGUCGGUCUCAUUUGUGAGGUUUCUCUUAGCCAAAUGUGGUGCUCCAACCUAUUGUAUACUUCCGCUGAACUCUGAAUAUUAUGAUGAAUUGUCUUCUUAGCUUUUUUUAUGUCAUUUGCUUGGAUUUUUUUAUUAAAUAAAAAAAUAUUUAUGUUUUAAAUAUAAGUAAAAAAAAAGUUAAAUAAAGUAGAAGUAUUUGGUUCAAAUUUUUAAUCAAAUACAUUAAUUUUAUUAACUUUUUUGCUUAUAUUCGAGAUCGAAGUAAUAUAUUAAAAAAAAAAAAUUGUUAUACUUUUAGAACAUUUACCACACCUUUCAAAACAUAGUAACUAUUAUUUCAUCGGCUCCUAUUUGCAUAUCAUUUUUAGACUCUUUUACACAUAUCAGAACAAUCAAUAGGCUUUGUUACUUUUAAAUCCCAUUAUUUCUCUUUUAAAAUAGACAUAAUUUAUUUUUUUGAAGAAAUUAAAAUAAAAAUAGAUAUAAUUUAUUAUUUCACUUCAUCUAUUUCCCUCGGUAAUAAUAUUAUAUAUGAUUAUCGAUAUUAAUAUUAUUGAUAAUUCUAUAACUAAUAUUGUAUUGAACUAUAAAAAUGAUCGAUAAAUAUUUGUAUAUAUUUGCUAAGUGCAGCGAAUAAAAUUUCCCGAAUUUAUCAGGAUGUAUAUAUUUGUAUUACAUAGCAUUAUUGCCACAUGAAUUCCACUAAUUCAGCCUUUUAUUCGGUUGGACAAUUAUAACUAGGAAACAGUUUCGUGAGUGCCUCGUGAUAAUUUCUGUUGCGAUGAAUAGCAUCACUAAUAAAUACUCCAUCCGUUUUUAAAUAUAAGCAAAAAAAUAAAUUUUGCUUACAUUUAAAGACGGAGGGAGUAUAAUACAAAAUUUGCAUAAAUUAAAAAGGAACGAGAGUAUAUAUUAUUCCUUAGCAUUUUCCAAAAAGUUUUAUGGAUUGAAAACUUUUCUGAAUGGUAAGAAUCUAGAACACCAUUGACUAUUCUUUGCAUUGGGAAAAAAUGCACAGGAACCAUAGGUACAAGUAUGUUCAAUCUGUGAGAAAGCAUAGGUUUCGCAGGAAUCAUUUUGUCUAAAGUGUGGCUAUCUCCUCUUAUCCUCUCUUCAGGAAGAACAUGUUGCAAUCAUACACUACUAUGUUUUGUAGAGCUCAUCAGAAUUUUCACAAUUUAGUCGAUGAUGGACUAGCAUGGCUUCACAAAUCACAAUGGCAUUAGAAAAUGGCAAAUUCACAACUUUAUUGGUUUAAUGGCAGAGAUUACAAUUUACUAGAAUGUUCUGUUCUGCUCCUCGCUUUCUGGGACGUUAACUAUCCAAUCGAUUUAUGCCACUCAUGGAAUUUUAUUCCUGUUCUGUUGUCUUGUCUGGCGUGAGUACUAAAUUCCGGCAAGGUUUGUCAACAAUUCAACUAACCUACAUCUAGCUUGAUCAUUAUGUUGUUAUAGUGUUACAACCUACUCGUAUCCACAACCACAAGCAGUCUUUGCUUAGAUAAAAAAAAAAAAAAAAAACUUAUAAUUAUCGGGGGAUAUAACUGAGUCAUUUGUAAAAAACAAAAUUUUUUUUUAAAAUAAUUGAGUUAUUUCACUUUUCAAUACAAUAUUAAUUACUUUUUCCCCUUUAUAACUCUAAUUAAUAUUACUUUCAUCAUUUCCAAUUCAAUAUAUUCCACUUUACAUUUAUGAUAGUGGAGAAUGCACCGAUACUUAACAAGUGCACUUAAAACUAUUUUUCUUUCUACUUCAUUUAUACAUUUUUCUUAAUACGUGUGAAAUAAGCUUUUGGCUCAGUUAAUCCAGGAUGGAGGGAAUAAUAAACUACUGAUUUAAUACUUUUUAAAUUAUCACAUUUUUUCUAUAAAGCAUAUGAAUAUAAUAAUUAAUUCUUAGAAAAAAAUUCGUCGAUUCAAUUUCUAAAUAUAUGAAAAUUCAUCGAUUUAGUCUUUAGUUUCUUAAUACUAGAAACCAAAUUGAUGGAUAUGAAGUUCGAAGGUUGACUCUUAUAUAUUAUUAUAUUUACAUAGUUUAAUUUAAUGAUUAAAUUGAAGAUGAGAUGAAAUAAUUUAGAGACUAAGUUGAUUGUUUUUUAUUCUACAAAAUAAAUGGUUUUGUAGAUAUAUAAUUUGUUAAGGAUGAGAAUGGAAAUUUGUUAGUAGUGCAAUUCAUAUGAUACUUUAAUUUCAGCGUCCAAAUUCAUAUUACUAUACUACUUCAAGGUCACGAUAAUGGUUUUAUUCAUUCUACAUGGAUGGAAGAUGAGCAAAAUGGAUGAAAGAUGAUCAAAUUUACCAAUAGGAUGAGUAAGUACUUCUUUUUUUUUGAAGGAAGGACAAGUAAGUACUUCUACAAUGAUGAUUUUGUGCUUAAUAUGAAGGAACUACACAGAAAAAGUAGGGAAAAUUAGGAAAGACAACAAGUCGGCACUAGAGAAAACUAUAAAAAUUAUUCUUGAGCUUAUUGUUGUUGUUUUUUGUUUUACGAUGAGUCAAUUGUUUAGGAGAGAUUAGGUUGAAUUUUAAAAGAUGCCACAUCACAUUGAGGGGCAUGUACAUGUCACAAUGGUGAGGUAAACGUGUUUGUAUACGGUGCAACCUUCCAAAUGAAAAUAAUAUAUUGUAAAUUUGUAAAGAUCAAUUGCAAGUGAGGCAUUGACACUUCAACCACUUAUUCCUAUAUAAAAAAAAGUAAAAACUAAUCUUGUAUAGUCCACAGUAUCAAGUUUAUAUUUUAGAAAUUCUAAGGAAUUUAUUCAUUUGUUCAGUUUACACUAUCGUUGUUAAAUCUAAUGUAAGAAUAAAUUAACUUGUUUGCAGUUGUGCAAACAUUUUAGAAAGUCUCUCGCCUGCGUGCUUGAGCAUAUAAGUAUCUUGGUGAAACAUUGAGCACUUAGGAAGUCUCAGUCAGUUCUGAUUGAGCAAGGGAAAGUCUUAAGCAGUUAUGCUUAAGCAAUGGGAAGUUUCUUGGAGUUGUCUUUGGGCAGGAAGUCUUUAGGUAAAGUCCUAGAGCAUAAAAGUGUCUUGCAGUUGUGCUUGAGCAAAGAGAAGUCUCUUGAAAAUGUCCUUGAGCAUUUUGUAAUCCUUUAUGAUUAUAGUGAAAUUCCUUGGAAGUGCAAGUGGACUGGACUACUCCUGGAUUGUAGAAGGAGUCAGUAUAAAAUUGUUUUAUGUCUACUUUCUUUUUCUCUAUCUCUUUAUCUGCGUGUUUUGUACUCUAUAUGUUGUAUUCAUACUUUAUAUCAGAAUUUGUAUACCUUAGAUUCUGAUCAAGUCUUAACACUCAGAAAAAGAAACCAUUAAAAGGCAACACAAUUCAACCUCCCCCGCCCCCUCUUCUGUGUUUUUCUCACAUUCACAAAUGUGUAAUCUUGGGCAUGCAUGGUUGUGUUAACAAUUACACAUUGGAUGAGAUAUGACUUGAGUAUAAGUUUAUAAAUAGUGGAUAGUUUUCAGGGGAUGAGUUAGGUUUAUCGGUAGUCCUCACGUUACACGCUGAUAUUGAAAAGGGGUGAGUUAGGCCAACGACUUAUAAAUACAUUGUAAGGACACAUGUCAUUAAAUGUCAAACUCUUAACAUACCUUCUCACGCCAAAACUGAACAUCUGAAGCGUAAUUUGAGCGAUUCAAUAGUGAUAUUUGAGUAGCCUAAUAGCAAGUGACCAAUAUAUCUUAAAUAUUAUCUAAUGCCAUCAAGAGUUUCUUGUUAUGAUAUUCAAGAAACUCAUGCAAUGCUGAAAUUGGUACACACAUCCUCUUAAUCUUUGGAGGAGGGUUUGUAGGUCAUGGUUCUAUGCCAUUUCUUUGAGGGCUAUUUGUGUCGAGUGGUAUUUUUUUUUUUAGUUUUUAAUGUAAGUAAAUGUUAACAAAUGCCUUUAAAAAAUUGUUUAAGCAACUAAAAAUAGUAUUCCCUCCGUUUUAAAAUGAGUGUCGUUUUAGCAAAAAAAAAAAAAAAUCAAAAUGAAUGUCACUUUCAGUUUCCAAUGCAAUAAUAACUUUUUCUUUUCAAUUGUACCCUUCAAUACAAAAUUUUUCCAUGGAGUGAUGUCAAACUGCCGUCGUCAAAAUGCUAUUAAUUUGGUGUUUGUUGAUGGUGUUAAUGUCGAAGGCGUUCAAAAUAUCAGGGCUGCGGUUUACAACCACUUUUCUUCUCAUUUCAAAAAAGUAACAACAUUUCGGCCUAGUGUGGAAGCACUUCCAUUUCGUAAAUUAUCACUUCGGGAGGCUGGCAAUUUAACUAAACCUUUUUCUCAUGAAGAGGUUAAGCAAGCGGUCUGGGAUUGUGAUAGUUUCAAGAGCCCGGGACCAAACGGUAUUAGCUUUAAUUUUAUCAAAAGAUUUUGGGACUUGGUAAAGGAUGAUUUUAUGCAAUUCUUGGUUGAUUUUCAUCGAAACGGAAAGUUGAUUAAAGGGGUAAAUUCUACUUUUAUCGCCUUGAUUCCGAAGGUUAACAACCCUCAACGCCUCAAUGAUUACAUGCCUAUUUCAUUGGUGGGUUGCUUGUAUAAGGUGUUAGCGAAGGUUUUAGCUAACAGGUUACGUAAUGUCAUUGGGAGUGUGGUUUCUGACUCUCAGUCAGCUUUUAUUAAAGGGAACUAAAUUUUAGAUGGUAUCCUGAUAGCUAAUGAAGUGGUAGAUGAUGCAAGACGUAUGGAUAAAGAACUUCUACUGUUCAGAGUAGAUUUUGAAAAAGCAUAUGACUCGGUGGACCUAAAAUAUCUCGAUAUGGUGAUGGUAACCAUGAAUUUUCCAACUCUUUGGCAGAAAUGGAUUUCAGAAUGUAUUGGGACAGCGAAGGCGGCGGUUUUGGUGAAUGGGUGUCCAAUGGAAGAAUUCUCUAUUGAGAGGGGGCUUCGUCAAGGGGACCCUCUCUCCCCUUUUUUAUUUUUGUUGGCAGCUGAAGGUUUUAAUGUCUUAAUGAAACAAAUGGCGGGCGCACAAUUGUUUAAUGGGUUCCUAGUUGGUCGAGUUGGUGAGGUGAAUUUGACACACCUUCAGUUCGCUGAUGACACUUUAAUCAUUGGUGAGAAGAGCUGGUUGAAUGUCCGUUCCAUGAGGGCGGUGCUUAUGCUAUUUGAGGAAGUGUCGGGAUUGAAAGUGAAUUUUCACAAGAGCAUGUUGACCGGGUGAAUAUAUCUGAGUCUUGGCUGCGGCAUCUGUAUUGAAUUGUCGAAGAGGGAAGCUUCCUUUUGUCUAUUUGGGCUUACCUAUUGGCGGGGAUUCUCGAAAAUUGAGUUUUUGGAAACCUGUUGUCGACCGUAUUGUGGCACGUUUGUCGUCUUGGAGUAAUAAGUUCCUUUCUUUUGAUGUUUGACUGGUUCUUCUGAAGUCUGUCUUGUCCUCUCUUUCGGUUUACUUUCUUUCCUUUUUCAAAGCCCCUGCAGGUAUAAUUUUCUCUAUUGAAUCUAUUUUAAAAAAAAAAAAAAAUUGGGGGGGGGGGGGGGGGUGGUGAGGAUCAUAGGAAAAUGGCUUGGAUUGAUUGGAAUUCGAUUUGUUUACCAAAGGAAGAAGGGGGGUUGGGGGUUAGGAGGGUGAGAGCUUUUAAUUUGGCAUUGUUAGGAAAAUGGUGUUGGACGAUGUUAGUGAAUAAAGAGGGGUUGUGGUAUCGAGUGUUAAAAGCUCAGUAUGGGGAGGUUGGAGGGCGGAUUAGGGAAGGGGAUAGAUACGCCUCAGUGCGGUGGAAUAUGAUUUGUAGAGUGCGUGACGGUGCAGGUGAAGGAGUUGGGAGGUGGUUUGAUGAGAAUGUUCGUAGGGUGAUUGGCGAUGGGAGGAACACUUUAUUCUGGUAUGACACUUGGAUAGGGGAGAUUCCGUUGCGGUUGAAGUUUCCUAGGUUAUUUGAGUUGGCGGUGGAGAAGGAGAGUAAGGUGGAGGAGAUGUGGCGGUUGGGGUGGGGCGGUAAUGGAAGGGAGUGGGUUUGGAGACGUCGUCUGUUUGCAUGGGAGGAGGAGAGUGUGUUGCUCUUUUAUGUAACAUUGUUUUGCAAGACACUGUUCAUGAUUCUUGGAGGUGGAUGUUAGACCCGGUUCAAGGAUACUCAGUGAAAGCAGCAUACCACUUUAUUACAGACACAGGCGUCAUGGCUGACAGGUCUCAGGUUGAUGAUGUUUGGUUUAAGUAUAUUCCGUUAAAGGUGUCUUUAUUGGUGUGUCGUCUCCUUCGCAAUCGGCUUCCUACUAAAGAUAACCUGGUUCAACGUGGGAUUCUCAAUCCAACAGAUGGUAUGUGUGUGGCUGGUUGUAAUGUUUUAGAAUCAGCUACUCACCUUUUUUUACAUUGUAAUAUUUUUGGUGUUUUGUGGUUCAAUUUUCGGUCCCUCUUGGUGAGCUUCGACAACAUUUUAUUCAAUUUACUAGGAUGUCAGGUUUGCCUAGAUCUGCUCAUUUAUUCCUGACAGUUAUUUGGUUUGCUACUAUUUGGUGACUUGGAAAGAACGGAAUACUCGUGUGUUCCAAAACACGACAUCUACUUCAUUUACCCUCAUUGAAAAAGUUAAGUUGCACUCGUAUUUAUGGUUAAAAUCUAAACAGACAUCAUUAGCUUAUUCUUAUUAUGAUUGGUGGAAACAUCUGCUUCAUUGUAUGGGUGUGUUCUUGUAAUUUUGUUUCUUGAUUGACCAUUUAAAAGGCAAUCUGACUCUGUAUUUUUGUAACGUUGGUGGUGUUUCUUUUUUGCGUACCUUGCGCGAGUGGAAAUACAUUUGAGUAUAUAUAUACCAUUUUGAUUUGUUCAAAAAAAAAAAUUAUGUUACACUACUUCCAAAGUAUAAUUGUUUCUUUAAUGAAAAACAAAUCAAUAGUUGAUUAGAAUAAUUUGAUAAAAUUGCUAUGACAUUUGACUAUUUUAUUCAAUUCCUUAAUAUGUAUGCAAUUGGCUAAAGCGACACUCAUUUUGAAACGGAGGGAGUAUAAUUUUUGUAUAGAAAUGUGUAAUUAUUACUUUUACAUGUAUUUGAUUUAUGCUUUUAAGAUAAAAUUCCAUUUAAUGUAAAAUAAUGUCUUUAAAUGUAUCUGUUUUUAGGGCAAUCGUUAGCCUAACUCUUUAACGUAAAAUAAAUUUAUAUUGAUUAUGCAUAUCUCAACUUGCCUGAAUAUAAUGUCUUUAAAAUGAUUAAAUUAAAAGUUUUUGAAUUAUGUAAAAUAAAUUGAAAAAAAGUUGGUUAAUAAUUUGGUAGAGUUUGGAAAGGCAUUAGGAGGCAGGGAACGUGAGUGGGUUAAGUUUGUGCUACUGCUGCAGCUAUGAAAUGAUGAUGAUAGUGGGUUUGUUUGAUGAUAUGAUGACUCACGCCGGCAGCUUUUACUCUCUCAAACCUCAAUUGGCAGUUGGGCACGCCUGCUCCCACUCAUCCAAUGACUUCUAUUGUAUAGUUUUCUCAAUCACUAAUUCUUUUUUAUUUUCUUCUUUAAUUUUAUAUUUAUCUCUAAAAAAAGAAUGAAAAGCUAAUCCACUAAGAUCUCUUCCCUGCUAGCUUUUCCUCAUGCUUUUUUAUUUUUCAUCUUUUUGUCAGAGAAUUCUUCUAUUUCAAAAAUAAAGCAUCAACUAGCUAGGUCAUGCAUCCUAUUCUAUUUUUCAAGUUUUUAUUGACUGAGAUAGUAACCACUUAUCUCAGUCAAUUCCCCCUUCUCUCUUAGCCUUUUCUUUUUUUAACAAAAAGAAGCCCUCUCCCAAUAAAAGAAUAUAACCUAGAAAAGAAAACCCCACUUGCAUAUUCCCAGCACAUCAUCGAUUACGCAAAAAGGAAUGGAAAUAAAAUUAUUGAACGAGCUUGUGAAAUAUGCUAUGUAUAUGAUCUAGCUUAUAUGCAAUGAAUAUGAAUGCAAUAGAAUUAUGAUUCUCAAAAUUGUUGAGUUAAAAGAAGUUUUCAUAAUUGUAAAUAUCAAUCAAACUUGUCUCUAAUAUUCGCAAAUUAGUCAAUACAUCCGUAAAAUUGUAAAGUAUAUAUCACUGAAAAUAGUCAAGCUAACAAUUUUUAUUGUCGAUAGAAAUAUAAUGUGACACGUUAAUUAAAUCAAAUAUACGAUUGAUCUUGUACCUUGAUCUCACAUCAUCAAUAUCACCACAUCAAACGUUAAUAUUACUAAUAAAAUAAUCUUCACUCUCCAUAAUUAAAUUAUACGAGCUCUAGUCAUUAAACUACUUGACAAAAAAAAAAAAUCUUCACACAAUUGUAACUAAUAACGAAUUUCAUCAAUGAGAUUACCUACAUUUCUUAGGUCAAUUAAUCAUUAAUAAACUAUCAUCGAUGGCGAAUCAUUGUCCAAUGUAACAUCUAGUUAACAUGUAACAUAAUAAUACAAGUUAACAAAUGAACUACCAUUAUGAAUGACAAUUUACAAUUUCAACAAUGUGUUUGCCAAUUUGAAAAAAUAAGAACUAUUUUGAUUUAUGUUUACCAUUUUGAGAAUCAACUUACCUAUUUAUUAUUAUUUAAUAUAUGAUUUCCUAAAUUCAAACUUUAUUGCUUCCAUUAUAAAUACACACACUAUUUAACAAGGCUUUCUUUCACUUACAUAUUGUUUUUUACUAUAUAUUUAGAAAAAUGAAGCUAUUUUUGCAAGGUAAAAAGAAUCUAUCCAAAGUUUGAAUAAACUUCUAAUCAUGAUCUCCAACGUACAGUACCCCAACUCCCACAGUUAAAAUAAAAACACAUCACUAGGGCCAUCCAUUGCUUGUGCUUAGAAGCAACUAUAUUGCUGAUUUGGUGUAUGUAUCUCUUUGGUUAAAUGGAUACGCUGUUUAGGCUUGUCAAUUUUCAACAACAACAACAACAAUAUCAACCUGAUCCUUCCCUCAACUCCACCACCACCUUAACAACUUCUAGCAGCUCUAGAUCCUCAAGACAAACAACAUAUCAUUAUUACAACCAACAAGAAGAAGACGAAGAAUGCUUCAACAACUUUUAUUACAUGGAUCAUAAUAACAACAAUGAUGAAGAUUUAUCCUCAUCUUCUUCUAAACAACACUAUUAUACUUAUCCUUAUGCUUCCACUACUACUAUCACUACUCCAAACACUACUUAUAAUACUAUCAACACCCCCACCACAACUGAUAAUUACUCUUUCUCACCCUCCCAUGAUUACUUCAACUUUGAAUUCUCCGGUCACUCUUGGUCACAAAACAUCCUCCUUGAAACUGCACGUGCAUUUUCCGACAAUAACACAAACCGAAUCCAACAACUCAUGUGGAUGCUAAACGAGCUUAGUACCCCAUAUGGUGACACAGAUCAAAAACUUUCAUCUUAUUUUCUUCAAGCUUUGUUUAGUCGCAUGAACGACGCGGGAGAUAGAACCUACAAAACCUUAACAACCGCGUCGGAAAAAACAUGUUCCUUUGAUUCAACGAGGAAGAUGUUGUUGAAGUUCCAAGAAGUUAGUCCAUGGACAACGUUUGGACACGUGGCAGCUAACGGUGCUAUCUUAGAAGCAUUGGAAGGUAACCCUAAACUUCACAUAAUUGAUAUUAGCAACACUUAUUGCACUCAAUGGCCAACACUCCUCGAAGCGUUGGCCACCCGCUCUGAUGAUACGCCUCACCUUCGUUUAACCACUGUAGUCACUGCAAUCAGCGGUGGCUCGGUGCAAAAAGUCAUGAAGGAAAUUGGUUCAAGGAUGGAAAAAUUUGCUAGGCUUAUGGGAGUGCCGUUUAAAUUCAAAAUCAUUUUCAGUGAUUUAAGAGAGUUGAAUUUGUGUGAUUUAGAUAUUAAAGAAGAUGAAGCUUUGGCUAUAAACUGUGUAAACUCUUUACAUUCGAUAUCCGGAGCCGGAAACCACCGUGAUUUGUUUAUAUCUUUGCUUCGUGGGUUAGAACCUAGGGUUUUAACUAUUGUUGAAGAAGAAGCUGAUUUAGAAGUUUGUUUUGGUUCGGAUUUCGUGGAAGGUUUUAAAGAGUGUUUAAGAUGGUUUAGGGUUUAUUUUGAAGCACUUGAUGAAAGUUUUUCAAGAACAAGUAGUGAGAGGUUGAUGCUAGAAAGAGAAGCUGGGAGAGGUAUUGUUGAUUUGGUUGCUUGUGAUCCUUAUGAGUCAGUGGAGAGACGUGAAACGGCGGCGCGGUGGAGGAGGAGGUUGCAUGGUGGCGGGUUUAAUACGGUGUCGUUUAGUGAUGAAGUUUGUGAUGAUGUUAGGGCUUUAUUGAGAAGGUAUAAAGAAGGGUGGUCGAUGACAUCCUCCGAUGGUGAUACCGGAAUAUUCUUGUCGUGGAAGGAUAAGCCGGUGGUGUGGGCCAGUGUAUGGAGGCCUUGAGGUGGCGCUGACGUGGCAUGGGUGAUUCACACGUGCUCUAAAUUUUAUUGGCACGUGCGUUUGGGAUUCAUCAUUGGUUACUUGAGAGUAAUUUUCACUGUUAUAUGGGUUCCUUUUUCUUUGAUCAAAAUAUAUAAGUUUGGUAAUUAAUUUAGGGGAGUAUAAGAGGAUUGAUUAAAGGGAGUUUGCUUGUAUUAAAAAAGGAAUUAACGGAGUAAAAUAUUUUUUUGGGUUACAUUCUAUGAUUUAUUUUUAUUUUUGUUUACAUAAGCAUUCUAUGAUUUAUUUUUAUUUUUGUUUAGAUAAGAAUAGGGUGUGGAGUUUGAUAUUUAAUUUGUAUGGAUUAUGUAUAUUAUAAAUGAAUUUUGCAUCUUAAUUUUCCGCGUCAUAAAUAUUAAAUUUUAUUUUUUGAAGGUGAAUGUCAUGUCGAGGAAUGCUAAGAACAAUCUACACUCUCUCCUAUCUACUCUCUCAAUAUUAAUUUGGUGAGGAAUGUCAUGUCAUAAAUAUUAAUUUGUUUUUGUCAAUAAGAAAAAGUUUAUGUGAGUUGAGUUUGAUACUCGGUAGUAAAAAUGUUGUGUCAUGAAUGUUUGACUCACAUUCCUUAAAAAAAAAAUGAAUAUUUGACUCACAUGAUUAUCACGUAAUUUUUUUUUUUUAAUUUUUGCCAAGAUUAUCACGUAUUAACAUCCAAAAUCAAACUAACAAAUUAUAAGCACAUUAUCAAUUGAUCUGAAAUUAUAAGCACAUUAUCAAUUGAUCUGGCAUAUGAUAAGCUUAAAAUUUUGGAUGAAAUUCUAUCAUUUAGUAUUGUUACUUUGAUUUUAGUUAUUAUAUUUUUUAUUAAAAAUUGAAGUAAGAUUAAUCUAGUUUUGAUUUCUUCUAAAAAAAAUAUUUUUUUAUUUGUUAAGAUUGAAUUUAAGAAUCGGAUCUGAUUUGAAAUUUAAAUUAGAACUAUCAAAUAUGAAAUUAUAGGAUUAAAUUAAUUAUUUGAUCGGAUAAAAAAAUUGAAAUUUAAAAUAAAAGAUUUUAAAUGAAGGUUAACAUUUGAAGGAAAAAAACUACACCAAAACUUAAGAUUCACUUAAUUUAUUAGACCAACCUUCUUGAAUCUCUCAUAACCAUAAAUAUUAGUGCAUGCAACAUAUUAUUUCUUUUCAAAAUUUAGUCCAUGCAACACUUUUAACCUAAAACACUAUAUCCACCAACCUUGACAAAGUGUAUUUAUUUUCACACCAUGAUAAAAUACGAUUGAUUAUAUUAAUUUAAUUAUUUUCACAAUAGCAGUUAUUAAAUUAUAGUCCAUUCAAAAAAAAAAAGUUAUUAAAUUAUAGUAAAUAUGGUUUGAUUUUCAAUGUGUAGUAAAUAAAUAACAAAAAUAUAUGGAUAUACCCUCUCAAAAACCAAAAGAUAUACAGAAUACAUACAUAAAAUCUUAUCUUUAAGGUUAAUGUGAGUUUAAUAAAUAAAUAACAAAGUUUUGAUGAAAUAUUAAGGUUUUGAGUUUGAGCCUCACCUCACCACACGAAUCUUAGUACGGUAACCGAGUGGGUUUAUGAUUGUGGGGAAUCCAUAGAAAAGGCAUUAGUCCUUAGUGGGCAGCACGUUAUAUGUUUGAGAUGGACUGUUUUAUUAGUUGCCAAACCAAGAAAAAGUGAUGCUCUUUAAAAAAAAAAAAUCUUUCCUUUCUUUCUUUUCGAUUCUUCCCAUCCUCUCCAAGUCUAAAAGUCUAUCAUCUUUUAUAUAUUACCACAUAAUUUUAGUUACCCUCUUCAUGCCCCCACAAUAGGCCCUAACGUUUCAUUGAAGCAAGAAUUUUAUAUAUUAUAUAUGUUGGCCAUGGAGUCCCUUUUGCUCAUGAAAGCCAAACAAUUGUAAUUAAGUACAUACAAUUUUAAAAAAAUUAUUAAUAGUGGGUACAUCUUUUAAGGGGUUGUUGCAUAUCUAAAAAUUGUGAUGGUAUUUGCCUCCUCUAACAUAACAUAUCAACUCUUCACUUUUGCACCUUUUCCCACCCUCAAGUUAUAAAACAAUAUAAUUGCUUUGCUUUAGUGUAUUUUUAAAGUUAGUUUUAUGCAUGCUGGCCCAUACCUUCUACAUGUGUAAGCUUUAGUCUCUUUUUCCAUAAAAUUGACAACGACCAGCUUAUGCCUUUUAUGUUUCUAUGGGACCAUAUUCUUGUAGAAAGCUUACUCUAUGUGUUUAUUUUCCAACGCAUAAGUACUUCAGGGUUUUGUCUCUCUGUCUAUUUUUUCCAUUUUGAAACAAAAUCCCCACAUCCUCAAUCCGACAAUAAUAGAAUACUUUCAUUUUGUAAAUUUCUUUUUUACUUUUUAAUAACCCAUGGUAAUUAGGUUUUUAACACCCAAUAUGGUCUCACAUGUAUCCCCAUAACUUAAAUCACUUGAACUCGCUAUGAAACUAAUGAGCAAGUCGAACUCAAAUUAUUUUUGUGGAUGAAUGUCAUUUUACCAAUUCUCCCAACACUAUAUUGGUAGUUUCAUUUUAUUAUUUUAAUAAUAUAAAUUUAAGCAAUACUUGUAGUUAUUUGUUGAGGGAAGAGGUGGAACCUGGAGGGUGACACAAUUUUUGGGUCUAACAAUUGAAAUUAGGGCUAAUAUAUGAGGGACAUAUGUCGUGUAUGAUGCAUAAGGUUGUGUUGGAACACUAUAAGGGACAACAUAUUGUUUCGGAUCAUCGAGUAUAUACUAGUGUUUAUAUAGUGGAGGUAUUGUUUUUACGACCCGAAACAUUAAAUUUAAUUAUUAUUUCUUUUAAUUUUGUUUCGGUAUACGUCAUCGUCAUGUAAUAUAUUUGCACGCGUCAGCAUACACUUGGCACAGGCCAACGCAUGUUGACACACGCCUGUGUGCGUCCUCCCUAAGUCAACUCUCUCACUGAGUGCUCAUUUAUGAGACGAGAUCAGAUCGUUGAUUUUGUAACGGUCAAAUGAUCAUAGCCAUUGAAUUUGUAACUUAUCUGUAUGAUCCCUCGCCUAUAACUAGAGUUCAUCUCCCUCUUACUUCUACUCACACCAAAAGUUCUCUUUAGUUGUCAAAGAACUUUUCUCUCUUCUCCCUCCUCCAACUUGUGUUGAUGAGCUAUUUUUUUUCUCCUCCCUUUUUAUCUUCCAUCGGAUUUAAAGAGUGUUUUUAAGACCACAGUCCAUUCGUGAUAUAAUCUCCCUUCGAAAGUAAGAAUGGUCUUAAGAGCAUAGUCUCUUCGAUAAAUUAUCCCUUCGAAAAUAAGAGUAUUCUAUAGAUCAUAAUCACUUUCGAUAUAUAUUUUUCCUUCGAAAAUAAGAAUGAUCUUAAGAAUAUAGUCACUUUCAAUACUUUAUGCCCUUGAAGAAGUUGGAGGUUAAUCAUGGAAACACCAUGUUGAAGUGGUCUAGUACCAUAUUAGAGUGGUCUUAGCACCAUAUUUGAAGGUCUAUAUCUAGAACGGAUCCUACAAUGCAGUAAGACUAUAAUACAGUUGUAGUUGUACUGUUUAUCUUGGAGGCGUCGUAGUUUAUAGUCUGAUUGCACAAUUUUUGGGUAGUGCUACAAAAUAUCUUAAAGAGAACAACUUAAUAUGCGACUCAACCUAGUAAUCUCUUUGGUGACCAAAAAUAUUUUUGAACUAAUUUUAACUAUUCUUCAAAAAAACUAUUCUUCCAACAUGUUGUUUCUAUCAUUGGAUUAAUAAAAUAUUAAAUCAAAUAAAAUAUGCAUGAUAAGAUUUAAUGAUUCAAAUAAGUUUUUGCAUGGUGCAAUACUAAUUUAUUUGUGUAUAUUAGACAAAACCUUGAAAUUAAAAUAAAAUUGAUGUGAUAUUUACUCAUUUUGGAUCACACUUCUUGUUGUUGCUUUGUGUCAUUGAAAAGAACUAGCACCAUAUCUAGGGCCAUUAUUACUUGGAUAGCAAUUAACAACGCAUUGGCUUAGCCAAAACCAGGCCCGCUAUCAUGCCUUCCUACAAUCAGCUAAGCAAAUAUCCGUUUAACAUCCAAAUUUCCUUUUCAAAAUUAAGGGGAUGAACCAAACCAAGGGAGAAACUACGUUAGUUAAACUAAAAAAACGCUUCUCAUUACCAUAGUGAAAACACUAAUAAACAUCAUUAUACAGAAUGAAUAUAGAUUAAAAAUUUCUCCAAAAAGGAGAAAUUGGACUAAGAUUUCAAAUAUCUUAUAUGUUAAGAACACCAAAAAUAAGUGUUAUAAUUUAGUAUAAGUAUUUAAAUUCCCGUAAAAAAGAGAUGUAUUAACAUUUUAGGUGUGUUUUUUUACUCAAACACAACUACGUUAUGUCAUUCAGUAUAAUAGAUUCAAUACAAGGUGGACUAAAAUUAAAAGGGAAGAACUAGCAUAUAUCACUAACUUCUUGCUAAGCCUUGAUCAACGAAGUUUACUUUUUAGGCCGACCGACAAAAUUAGCUUGCUAUUGAAUUAAACUUAUCUUGUCUCGUGAGCAUAGCUCAGUUAUUAGGACAAUGCAUUAAUAUAUGCAGGGGCUGGGUUCGAAUUCUGGACACCCCACUUAUUCACCUUAUAAGGUGAAUUCUAGCCACUAGGCUACUUAACCAAAAAAAAAAAACUUACCCUAAGGUGUGGAAAAUGUAUAAAUAUAUUCUUAAAGUGUCUUAAAUGGCACCAUUGUAAAACAGGCUUACAAUCUACUCUCUUUGGUCGCAUUUAUAAAUAAAAAUGAACUUUUUAAAUUUAUUGAAUAACUAACGUAUCUUGUAAACUAAAUACAUUAAUUAUUCAAUGAAUCUAAAAAGUUAUUUUUUACUUAUAAAUGUGACCGGAGAAAGUAAUUUCAUGUUUGCAUAAAAUAAAAUAAAAACAAUCUAAUUAUAUGUACACUUUAUUCAAAUUCAACUAAGCAAGCCAUUAAGUGCUUGUUUGGUUUUAUGUUGAGAGGCUUCAAUCACACGCCCAUAUGGCUAAACGCAGUUCCAUAAGCUUGUAAAGAUGUCUCGGUAUCAAUGGUUAAAUAUGAUCAAAUUAUUGGAAUUGAUUUUAGUUGAAGCGCCACUUCAUAGCUUUUGCGUUUGAGAGAAAUCGAUUCUCUAAAAAUGUCAAUAUGCUUUAUAAGCAUUGCCCUUUCAAAUAGUUAUAUAAAAUAGAAAUAAAAUCCAAUUUUAUAAUAUUUAUUCUCAUUUUGGUAAUUAUGUAUCCAAAAUCGAUUUUGAUUCAAACUAUCUAAACAUAAAUCAAUUCACAUUUAACUCAUUUUUAAUCAAAAUCAAUUCUAUGAAAAUCAAUUCUCUUAUGAUCAAUUUUCUCCACCUUAAAAUCAAACACAUUAAAUUGCUUCAAUAAGUCUCUAAAUUGAAAACCAUUAUUUUUUAUGAGAUAAAUUAACCUUGAUGAUUACGAAUGCACAUGCAUGUGCCAAAGCAUUUUGUUCCUAAAAAACAUUUGCACUUUAAAUGCUUACUUGCAGCUUACUCCAACAUUAUGUUGCUGCGGAUUGCUCUCCCUGGGGCUCCUAUUAAGAGCUAACAACCAUGCAUGAAGCAUCUCUUGGGUUAGACAAAGGGAUAUAAGAAGAUAUUAAAUAAAAAGAGAAAAUUUAUAUUUUAAAAUUAAGUUAGCAUAGCAUUAUUUAUUAUAAGUAUAAUAAGAGUUUAGUUUUUAUAUAUGCACAUUUAGUAUAAACAAUAACAUCUUUAUAAUCAAUCACAUUUGAAAUUGUUGAGAUGUUUUAUAAGCUGAUUGAGUUAAUUGUUCAAAUUGAUUCUAUAAUAUACGCGGUGUUCGAAAAAUGACACUGUAAAUAUGAGAUUCUUCUUAUUUUUUUACCUUAUAAUAUAUUCGUAGUUUAAAAAAGUGAUCUAGAGGUUAAAUUUUUUCAUGAUUUUUUCCAAACAUGUUUAGGACGUUAAAAUAUGGUUUUAAAAAAAAAAAAGAUUUUUUUCGACUAGAGACAAAUUAUUAUGAAUUUUUAUUUCCCAUAAUUAUGAGUUAUUUAAAAACUCCAAAAUUUGAUAAUGAUGGUUCUUAUGAUGUCCUAACCAUUCCUACUAAAAUAGCUAGGGAAUGAAAUUUGACCCGUGAGUAUGCGUUUACUCGGGAAAAAAUUGCAGUUUUGCAUACUUUGGUUGAAAAAUAAAAAUAAAUUGAAACUUCUUUGAAAUGUCUAUGAAACUUUGAAGAUCCAUUUUUUUUAUAUUUUUAUAGAUGUCUCUGCAAACAAUCAUCUCAAAAUUCAAUUUCUAGGUCGAGAUUUUCAUUGUUUAGUUUUUCAAGUUUUUUAAGCUUUAAAAUUCAUAAUUAAUUUGUUCCUAGUCAAAAAUUUCAAAUUUUUUGUGUAAAGCCAUAUUUCACGUCAUUAACAUGCCUGGAAAAAUUCAUGAAAAAAUUCAAUCUCUAGAUUGAUUUAUUUGUUUUCUCCACUGCUAAUGAAAUGCUCUCUUUUUCCCAAGUCCAUCCUUAGAACUUCUAAGUUAGAAGAAUAGCAACCAACCCCUAUAAUAUCCACCUGAUGAAGAGAAAGUGAGGGAGUUUUUCUGUCACAAGGCUAAUCAUAUGGACAUUAUUGCAGAUAAGAAGGAGGAGGUAGAUGAAUCAUAUUGAAGGAUGAGUUGUUGGAAUAUAGAUGAAGCAAAAUAUGCAUCCUAAGAUUAACAAGGUUCAUAAUAUUACAAGAGGAAAAACAAGAUUGCAUUACAUGAUUAAGAAAUUAAUAUUGUUUUGGUCAAAUGCAUCUAAAGGUCCUUUAAGUUUUUUCGUUUUUCCCAAAGUGGUCCUUUAAGUUUUAAAAGUCUCAAACAAGUCUUUUUAGUUUUUGAAUCGUUUCAAACAAGUUCUAUUGUAGAUAACAUAGUUGGUAAUUGCUUCAUUGAACUCAUCUUUGGUACCAAAUCUGGCUCCUAAAACCCACUUAAAAUUAAUCAUCUUUUUAGGCAUGGCAAAUGGUGGAUAAUCCUCUUUGUUGCUAUCAUCUGAAUCAUUAUCAUCAUCCUCUAAAAGGACUUGUUUGAAACGAUUCAAAAACUAAAAGGAUUUGUUUGGGACUUUUGAAACUUAAAGGAUUUGAUUGGGACUUUUGAAACUUAAAGGACCAUUUUAAAAAAAACGAAAAACUUAAAAGACCUUUAAAUGCAUUUGACCUAUUGGUUUCUUCAUACCAACCUCAAUAGAGUAAAUUAUUCCCAUCCUUAUUUUGUAUAAGUUCCAUAAAUAAAAAGUACUUACUUAUAAAUUCUAGAAGUCAUCAAAACUUAUCUUUUGUUGUUGCAUGUGUGAUUCUCUUUCAAUCCAUCCAUGGAUCACACAAUGUCUUGAUAAAAAUGCUUCUUAAAGACAUCCAUAUGGAUCUCUUGUAGACAAAUAAUAACCAACAAAGAACCAUCAUCAUUGGGACUAGGAAGAAGCAAUGAAUCUCCAUCAAGUUCUUCAUGUGUUCCUAGCCCCAUAUAAACCUCCUUUCCCCACCCAAAAUCAAGUCCAUAAAUUGGCAAUGACAACCAACUAGUCACUCCUAAAUUAGGAUUCCAAUAAAAAGGCCCCUUCUCACCAUUCCCUACAACUUGAAGAUCUUGGAACUUAGUCAAAUCUUCUUGCUUCUUAAAGUACUCAUUCCCCAACCUAAUAUACUCAUCGUUCACUUUCUCAACCGCUUCCCUUAUCCUACUUGAAGCAUACCCUAAGGGUUUAGACAUUAAAUCACCUGCUAGACUAGUAGCCAAAACAUCUAAAAUGGCAUUCCCAAAAUACCCUUUAGGUAAAUUAGGUUCCACACGACGCCUCCAAUCAACACAAACACCAAGCGCGGUUGGUUGGUCAUUUUUAUGCUCUCUUGCUUUACAUGCACUUCUCCAAAUAUGACCGGUUACUGUUUCAUACCUCGAAUAACCUCGACCAUUACUAGGUUUAUUCCAACUCUCAUUUGCGGUUUUUCUCAACUUUUCAACUUGUGUUUUACUCAAGUUGAUUAUAGCCACCGUUGUUUUUUUCUUCCUUUCUUCAACAUUAUCCAAAUUUCCUAACAAUAAAGGAAGUUGAUCAGGCUCCCAUUUAUUAACACUGUUACAACGUUUUGGCGACAACAUGUUUGUAUCGAGAAACCUUGGCACCAUUUUCAAAGGCUCACCACGUGCAAUCCGAGCCCACUCAAAAAUGAAAUGCAACGCGCUUGGUCCAUCAGCAACUGCGUGUGAGAUUAACAAACUAAUACUAACUACACCGCAAUUAAAAUUUGUGAGUUGAAAGAUAACCAGUGGAAUAUCUUCCAUUGGGAGUGUGUAAUCAAUGUGUGGGAUAAGGUAACGGUAAUAUUCCGAAGAAGGUGAAAAGUCACCUAGUUCGGAUAAUGUUAACGAGGAUUGUGCUUCGAUGAAUUGAACACCCAAUGAGUUGCAUUCGAGAUCAAAACGACCAUUUCCUUUCGAGUGUAAACGACCGGCAAGUGGAUAAAACGGCACAAGGACUUUGCUUAAUGACUCUUUCAAAGUGGUGGCGAUUUUAGUGGGGGAGGUAAGCCAGUUUUUUGGGGGCUGGUAAAAGUAUAUUGUUGGCACGUGUGCUAUGAUUCCAAUCUGAUCCCAUUCGGAUAAUGGUAAACGGCCACACCAUGUUGGUUCCAUUGGUCUCACAUAGUAACAGCCUUUGAAUGCUACUGAUGUUGAUGUUGAAGAUGGCAUGUUUUAGAACACAAAGAUUGUCUCACCCUCUUUUUGACGUUCCACCCCAAAAAAGUGAUGACUUGUUUGCUUUAUUUAAUGUUGCUCUCACAAGUGUUUUCUAAAUUCAGUUUGUGAGAUUAAAAGUUCAUUAGAGAAAUCUUUAAAUAGUUGAAUUUGUAGGAAAAUAUGGAUAGAUUAAAUAAGAGUUUUGCUAACUAGUAGGACAUUGGUUAAGGAAUACAUUAAUAGAAUCUUUGCUUUGAAAAAUAUAAGUUUUUAGUUUUAUCUUAACAAUAAUUACACUUUCUUUUGAGACAAAUUUAUUUAGUUUUUUAACCAAUAUCUCAAGUACAUUCAUUGGUAUUCUCCAUAAAAUAAAAGAGGUCAUCCAUUACCACGUAAGAUGCAUGGAGUAUUUUAUAAUGGUACCAUUAUAAUGGAGUUUUCAAAAACAUAAAAAUGAUUUGCCUUAUUAUAAUGGUACCAUGAGGUAUUUUAAAAAAAAUUAUUCGGUACCACGAGGUGAUCAUGCAUGGAGUUUAAAAAACAAAUCGGUAUCAGGAGGUUAUGCAUGGAGUUUACCAUGACUUGCGCUUGACUCUUAGAUUCUUGGCAGUUGCAGAGUCUUAUAUUUAUAUCCAUGCACAUGCAAGAUGACACUUGACAGAUUAGAAUACAAGCUAGCUCCUAUAAAUAAUUCAGCAUGCAUAACACGAGAUAUGCCAAUCAAUGUAUUAAUUUUUAAGUAUUAUUAUUAUUUUUUUUUUUAUAGAUAGACGAAAUGGCAAAGUCAUUAUAAACUCACACACACAAGUGGAGGUACCGAGGUUCGAACCCCGGUCAUGGUAUCCGGCCUAACAAUUUCGACAUUUUAUCAGUUGAGCUAGGAGUUCUAGAUAAUUUUUAAGUAUUAUUAUUAUCAAUAAAUAAAUAACCGGUUGUAUAAUUCAAAUUAUACGUCCAGAGGAUUAUGUACCCCAUAAGAUAAUGCAUCCGAGAGGAUCACCAUAUAGAGGAUGCGAUGGUUCACUAGUUUAGUACAUAGUUGUUAUGAUGUAUAAUUUCAAAUUUAUUAUUUAUUUUUGUUAACAACCCUCUUUGAUUUCUAUUAUGAGAAAAAAAUUAUUUUUAGAUUCAUUGAACAACAAAAAAUUAUUUUCAGAUUCAUUGAACAAUUUAUGUAUCUAGGUUAUUAUAAUAUAGACUAAAUACAUAAGUUAUUCAAUGAAUCUGAGAUGACAACAACUUUUUUAAUGUUUGGAGUUUCCACUCGAUAAUAAUAAUUUAAUAAAUGAUUUUGCAUAUAAAAAGGCUCGAAAAAUAAAUUUACAUAAAAUUUGUUUUAGGAAAAAAAAUUAAAAUUUCUCAUUCUUAAAGUUUGUUUAGGCCUCAGUAUUGGAUGAGACGGAGUCCGAGAUUAACUCAAUCAUAUGGUUUACUUGUUAGUUAAGUAAUCAUAAUUAGUUAGCAUAACUGUCUCAAAAUAUAUGUAUAUGUUAUUGCAUUUGUAGAAUUACAACACUUACCACAUCUUCUUAUUAAUAGAUUUUACACAGUUUUAUUCAUUUUUAUCUCUCUCAUUCUUCGUCUAUUAUCAUCACCUCACAAAAUAGUAGUUAACUCUUCAAUCCAACAUAGUGGUGUCAUAGAGCUUAUACGAUCCAAGAAAGCGAAUCUUUCAUUGUGAGAAAGUUUCAGAGAUCAAGAAGAUAGCUGGAAGCGAAUUUGGGUUGGUCUGGUGAUGUUCGUUUGAAACUUUGAAGUGUGUUUUUUUUAAAGUGUCAUGUUCGAUUCUCUUCAAUGUCAAUACUAAUUAUCUGACCCAUACAUUUGUAAGUAGUUUUAUCAAAUAAAAAGGGGUUCUUGCAUUCCCUGUGUUUGUCUUCAAUAUUUCAGCCUGUGGAGAAGGUAUAAUGCUUGUAGGGUUGGUGACUUUUAGAAAUAUUUGUAUUGUUUGAUUGUGAUUAAGGUUGUUUCCGGAUAUCUAAUGUAUAGGGAAAUGGAAUGUGUUGUCUUUUUGUAAUUUGAAAAUAUACGAUGAAGCUUUUGAAACUAUUACCGGGAUGAGUCACGACCAGGUCGCUCUCUUUAAGACGUUUCGCGGCACUACCUGAAUUGUGCAAGGUAGACUAGCAACCGCGCCGUCUCCAGGAUAAAACAGCCCAGAUUCUUACUGUACGAUUAAAGGCUACACUGCCAGAAAUCGCUCGAGAAUGACACCUCGAUAUGGUACUUAGACCACUCUUCCGAAACCCACAAUAUGGUUCUUAGACCACUCUUCCGAAUCCCACAAUAUGGUUCUUAGACCACUCUUCCGAAGCCCACAAUUUUCCGAAGCCCACAGAAAGAGGAGGAGGAAAAGAACGAUUCGUCAACACAAAUCGCGGGAGAUGAGAAGGGGAGAAAACCAGAGAAGAGUAUUCGAUUCUCAGUUUUGGAGUGAAGAAUACUAUUCCCGAGCUCUCAAUUUAUAAGGAGGAUUUCUACUAGAGUGUGUGAUCUACCCGAUGUGGGACAUAAAAUUUUCAAUUCACACUUUACACUAGUUUCUCCAUCCUUAUGUUUACAUGCCAAAGGCUCCACAAACUCACUAGUAUACUCCAAGUUUUUUCAUUAUACACUAGUGUUCCAACAAUCCCCCACUUGAAUUCAAAAUUGGUUUCGAAAGUUACGUUUUAAACGUUUCUUAAAGAUUGCUAGUAAACAAAGGUGUCGCCAACAACUUGAACCUUUGCAUAGUGAGUAGUAUUCUGAUUAACAAGAGUUGCUUACAGCAUUGAACUCUAUCUCAGACAUAGGACCCACACACAACCUUUUCUUAGGUGUUUUCUAAAAAGUCCGUGCGUUAAUGGCCUUGCACGUCUAUCCCAGUUUUAACGAAUGCUCUAGGAAUUCUGCCUCGAAAUUCCAUAAGAACCGGCCUCAGUUCUACAUACGUAUAGGUGAGUCUAUCAGAAGUACUCCUGUAGCUAUGUACUUCACUCCAUAAGGAGUAUAGAUCUCAUUAAGAGUUUCUAUUAUCUCAACCUUCGGUCACUGCAGGAUCAUGCGUUCUCAUAGCAUGUUCUAUCACUUGUGAUUUGUUAUUACCCAUUGAACCUAGUUCUUGGGAUCUCCAGUCAUUUAGGUCGGGUUUCCAUCACUUAUGAUCAAUAGGCAUUAGUCCCAUCCUACUGGAUGUAUUUGCGACUUUCUCUCUGUUUAGUCCUUUCGUCAAAGGAUCAGCUAAGUUUUCAUUUGUUCGUACGAAAUCUACUCUUACCGUUCCGUUCGAAAGAUAUUCUCUUAUCGUGCUGUGUUUUCGUCUUAUCUGUCGUCUCUUACCAUUGUAAUAACGAUUCUCAAUCUUUGCGAUAGCCGCGGUACUAUCACAAUGAAUUAACACAGCUGGUAACGGUCUCUCCCACAAAGGGAUUUCAGAUAGCAAGCAUCUUAGCCAACUUGCUUCUUCACUAGCAGCAGCUAGUGCUAUCAUCUCAGAUUCCAUUGUGGACUGAGCCAGAAUGGUCUGUUUCUUGGAUUUCCAGGAAACAGCUCCUCCAGCAAUGCUAAAUAUAUAGCCACUGGUCGCUUUGGAAUCAUCUGAUAAGUUGUUCCAAUCUGCGUCACUGUAUCCUUCAAGCACUGCAGGAUAUCUCUGAUAAUGCAGUCCUAGAGUCAUGGUCUUCUUCAAGUAUCUCAUGACUCUUUCGAUAGCUUGCCAAUGCUCCAUGCUUGGCCUGCUCGUAAACUUGCAUAAUAGUCCCACGGCGUAGCUGAUGUCGGGUCUAGUACAAUCAGUGGCAUAUCUGAGACUGCCAAUGAUGCUCGCAUAUUCAGUUUGUCUAACACUAUCUCCAGUGUUCUUAAAUAGCUUCACACUUGGGUCACAAGGUGUGCUCGCAGGUUUACAAUAGAAGUAAUUAUAUUUCCUUAAGAUCUUCUCAACGUAGUGAGAUUGAUUCAAGGAAAUUCCAUUAUCAGUUCUAGUAAUCUUGAUUCCAAGAAUUACAUCUGCCUUUCCUAGGUCUUUCAUAUCAAAGUUGUGGCACAACAAUGAUUUCACAUCUUUAAUGGCAUUCAGGUUUGAACCAAAUAUGAGUAAGUCGUCUACGUAUAGACAUAUGAUCGUGCAAGUGUUAUUUUCGUACUUGGAAUAAAUACACUUGUCGCUUUCAUUCACCUUAAACUCAUUCUCAAUCAUAAGAUUGUCGAAUUUCUCAUGCCAUUGUUUCGGUGCUUGUUUUAGACCAUACAAAGAUUUGUCUAACUUACAAACUUUGUUCUCUUGUCCAUGGAUUACGAAACCUUCAGGUUGGUCCAUGUAGAUUUCUUCUUCUAAUUCACCGUUUAAAAAAGCAGUUUUUACAUCCAUUUGGUGUACUAUCAAAUUGUGGAUAGCCGCCAAUGAGAUUAGUACCCUAAUGGAAGUGAUUCUAGUUACAGGUGAAUAUGUGUCAAAGAAAUCUACAUUUUCUCUUUGUCUAAAACCUUUGGCUACAAGGCGUGCCUUGUAUUUGUCGAUUGACCCAUCAGGUUUUAGUUUCUUUUUCAAAAUCCACUUACAACCUAUAGUCUUACAUCCAGGAGGCAAGUCAGUUAGGUGCCAAGUUUCGUUGGACAUUAGAGAAUCCAUUUCAUCAUUUAUAGCUUCUUGCCAUAAAUCAGCGUCAAUUGAAGACAAAGCUUCCUUGAUGCUUGAUGGAUCCUCCUCUAUUGUAUAUGCCACAUAUUCGGGGCCAUAUUCUUUAGCAAUUCUUGCUCUCUUACCUCUACCAGGUUCUAUAACAUCUCUUUCGAUGUUUUCAUUGCUUGUUAUGAUUUCAGAAGGUUGAUCAAGAACUGAGUUAUCGGUGCCCCCACUAUUACCCCCACUGUCUCCUGACUUAAAGGGAAAUUUAUUUUCAUAGAAGUCAACAUCAUUUGAUUCUAUGAUCGUUUUAGAUUUCAGGUCGUAAAACCUAUAGGCUUUACUAUUUAAGGCAUACCCAAUGAAUGCACAUUCAUAGGCUCUACUUGCUAGUUUGACUCUUUUGGGGUCUGGUUUUCUUACAUAGGCUAGACAGCCCCAUGUUCUAAAAUAAGACAAGUUUGGUUGUCUUUUCUUCAAAAUUUCAUAUGGAGAAAUUUUGUUCUUUGUUUUGGGUACUCUGUUUAGCACAUAGCAAACAGUCAAUAAAAUUUCUCCCCACCAAUGAGGCGCUGCUCCGGAAUUAAGCAUUGUUGCAACUACUAAUUCGGUAAAGGUUCUAUUUUUUCUUUCCGCUUUACCGUUCAUUUCAGGAGAAUAAGGAGCAGUUGUUUCAUGAAUAAUUCCGAGUUCUUUAUAAUACUCAUUGAAUAUAUGUGAUCCAUAUUCAGUACCUCUGUCACUUCUAAAACGCUUGAUUCUAAUAUUGAAUUGAUUUUCAAUUUCUUUAACAUACUGUUUAAAUAUAUCAAGCGCUUCAUUUUUAUUUCUCAUUAAAUACACAUGUGUGUAAUCCGAGCAAUCAUCUAUAAAAGUGAUGAAAUAUCUUUUUCCAUUUCUAGUCAAGUUUCCAUCUAAUUCGCAUAAAUCAGAAUGAAUUAAUUCAAAAGGUUCAGUUAUUCUGGUUACUGAUUUAUGUGAUUCUUUAUUUAUUUUUGCUUGACUACAAAAUUGACAUUUUUCAAAAUCGUUUAAAGAUAUUUUAGGAAUUAAUCCUAAACCGCUCAUAUUUGAAAUAAUUCUUUUGUUAACGUGACAGAGUCUAGAAUGCCAAAUAUUAAAAUCACACAACAUAUAAGCAGAAGAAGAAAUUUUAUUCAUAUCAAUGUUCAACUUAAACAUGCCAUCAGUGGCGUACCCUUUCCCAACAAAAAUACCAUUCUUAGUGAUGGUGUACAAAUCAGCCCCUAUGCUUUGAGUAAACCCAGCCUUAUUUAAAAGAAAACCUGAAACUAAAUUCUUCCUAAUCUUAGGAGUGUGCAGCACAUCCUUCAGUAUCAGAGUCUUUUCAGAGGUGAACUUCAGCUCUAUAUCUCCGAUUCCAACAACAUCAGUGGAGUGGGAGUCUCCCAACAACACCUUCUGAUCAUCACAAGCAGUAUAUGUUUUGAACAUAUCUCUAUCAUAGCAGACAUGGCGAGAAGCACCAGUGUCCACCCACCAGCCAUCAGAACCUGCAAUCAUAUUGAUCUCAGUAAUCAUAGCCACGUAGGGCUCAUCAGGUGCAGCAUCAGUAGCCAUGUGAGCCUGUGCUGGUCGGUUGGUUCUGUUUCUGCACUUGCGUGCCAUAUGAUCUGCUUGCCCACAAUUGUAACAGUUGAAAGGUGGAGCAGCAUCAUUCUUUGGUGGCUGUUGAAUCUGGGGUCUUGAAUUGUUCCCAGUCUUAUUCCUGUUGGAAUUCUUAUUCAUAGGGCGGUUCUGAUUCUUAAAUGGUUUGCCAGCAGGCUUCAGAACAGCACCUACAAAUUUCUUUUUAGUGUUGUUGUUAGAAACAACAAACACCUCUUCAUUCUGUUCCUGCUUUCUCGCUUCUUCUUCAAUACGAAGGCGAGUGAUCAGACUUUCAAGAGAGAACUCCUUAGUUUUGUGUCUAAGAAGACUCUUGAAGUCCUUCCAGGCAGGAGGCAGCUUAUCAAUAAUCACAGCUAUUUGGAAUUGUUCGGGAAGUGCCAUCCCUUCAGCUAUGAUCUCGUGAGCAAUUUGUUGCAGCUCAUGUGAUUGUGCCUCAACGGACUUAUCAUCACUCAUUUUGAAAUCCAGAUAGCGGCUUACGGCGUAUUUCUUAACACCAGCCUCUUCAGUAUCAUACUUCUUCUGAAGUGCUUCCCAUAGUUGUUUAGCAGUAUCACAGAGUCUAUAAUAAUCAUAUAGAGGGUCUGUGAGUCUAUUAAGAAUAUAAUUCUUACAGAGGUAGUCAUUUUCCUUUCAUAGAGCAAUGGCUAGCUGUUUAUCUGGGUCAACUUUCUCAGGUUCAGCUUUCUCAGCAGCAGUAGGGUCUGCCGCCUUACCGUUUAUCUGGGUCAACUUUGUAAUUUGAAAAUAUACGAUGAAGCUUUUGAAACUAUUACCGGGAUGAGUCACGACCAGGUCGCUCUCUUUAAGACGUUUCGCGGCACUACCUGAAUUGUGCAAGGUAGACUAGCAACCGCGCCGUCUCCAGGAUAAAACAGCCCAGAUUCUUACUGUACGAUUAAAGGCUGCACUGCCAGAAAUCGCUCGAGAAUGACACCUCGAUAUGGUACUUAGACCACUCUUCCGAAACCCACAAUAUGGUUCUUAGACCACUCUUCCGAAUCCCACAAUAUGGUUCUUAGACCACUCUUCCGAAGCCCACAAUUUUCCGAAGCCCACAGAAAGAGGAGGAGGAAAAGAACGAUUCGUCAACACAAAUCGCGGGAGAUGAGAAGGGGAGAAAACCAGAGAAGAGUAUUCGAUUCUCAGUUUUGGAGUGAAGAAUACUAUUCCCGAGCUCUCAAUUUAUAAGGAGGAUUUCUACUAGAGUGUGUGAUCUACCCGAUGUGGGACAUAAAAUUUUCAAUUCACACUUUACACUAGUUUCUCCAUCCUUAUGUUUACAUGCCAAAGGCUCCACAAACUCACUAGUAUACUCCAAGUUUUUUCAUUAUACACUAGUGUUCCAACAGAAUGGUUUGUAGUAAAGUAACGUAGAGUGAAAAGUCAAAGCAUAAAAAACUCAUGAACUUCUUGAUUGACUUGCAAAUUUGGUGUCCUCUUUGAUUUUUACAUUGUUAGUUAAAUCUUCAAGCUUAAGAUUCGCUCUUUUUUCUCUUACAUUUUGGUUAGUAAUUUGCAAUAAUUGUUUAUUUGUUAGAAGUAUCAUAAUCAACAUCAACGGAGUCCACUGACUACUCUCAAUCUCUCAGGCAGUUCCCCCUUUGAUUUCCCAGUUCCCACACAUGUAACGAUCCACAAUCUACUAUCAAUUUAUCCAACAAAGAAGCCAGAAGACAAUAGUUCAACGGGUUACAUUCAAAAUUUAUUUUUUUAUUUUUUGAUCCAAACUAGAAAUACGGAUCCUUAGGAUAAGUUGCUAGAAACCUUGAUGUUUUAAAAAAUCCAUGUUUACAAUAUUUACAUUUCUUUUCCUAUGUGACAUGCAUAGAGGCACAGAUGGGAAGAAACACGAAAAUUGUUACAUCAACUACAAUGACAUGUUGGAAGAGCAAUAUGUUAUCCUCUCCUGGUCUACACUUUUGAAUAUUAUAGUUGCAGAUUUUGUUUUUAUACAAGAGCAUCGUAGAACUUGUAUAAAUCUUGAAAAUUAUGCUUAUGCAAUUUUGAAAGUAUUUGAUCAUUAUGGUUUCUAGAUCCAUGAAUGUCAUGUCUCCUAGAUAUAUCAAUGUUGUGUUUACAAGGAUUGGUUUUGCCAUCGAAAGCGGCGCAACUUGUGGCUCACUUGCUUUCUAUUCAUGUGUAAGUAAUAUUUGAUAUAUAAUAUAGGUUUAAAUGUGUCAUAUUGGUCCCUGCACUUUCAUCAGAUUUUGACAUUGGUCCCUGCAAUUUUUUUUAUUGGCAUUGGUCCCUGCACUUUGUAAAAAUAUUGGUAUUGGUCCCUCUGUUAACUUUCUGUUAAAAAAAAAACACAAAACCAACAGAGUGUCACGUGGCCCAAUCAUUUCACGCCACGUGGCACCAAUAUCAAUAUUUUUACAAAUGCAAGGACCAAUACCAAUAUUUUUACAAAGUGCAGGGACCAAUACCAAUAGUUUUGUGUUUUUUUUAACAGAAAGUUAAUAGAGGGACCAAUACCAAUAUUUUUACAAAGUGCAGGGACCAAUUCCAAACAAAAAAAAUGUAGGGACCAAUGCCAAAAUCUGAUGAAAGUGCAAGGACUAAAGGUAUAUUUAAACCUAUAAUAUAUUAUAUUCACUUCGGCAUAUUUCAAUGAAUAAUUUUCACUGUGUUUUCACAAAAAGUGUUUUCUAAAGAUAAUAUGCGAUAGCGCUUAUUUACAAAAGGUCCAUGAAGUACAAAUACGGACACAGACACCAGAUACGACAUCAAAUACAACACAUACGCUUACAUGCCGACACCACUAAUAAUCUGAUAUAAUCACAUAAUUUUAUGUAAUUAUAUAUGUCGAUAUCGAACACGACACAUGUCCGAUACCGAGACACGCCUAAUCCGUGUUUCAUAGCAAAAAAAUGUUGUCUAUAAGGAAGGAUAAAACGACGCUUAUGUUAUGAUGAAAGUGUGUCGAAUGUUUAUCUAUAACAAUGCUUUUCAAAGGAAGAGUUGUUGAAAAGGGGUCCAUAACACUGUUUUUCACUUUAAAAAGUGAUGUCUAAACUGAUAACAGUGUAGGAAUAGCGCUUAAAAAAAAUAUUUAAGGCCAAAAAAAUGUGUUAUCUAAGGUCAUUUUUGGCGUAGUGAGGGAAAUGAAGAUUAGAUUGGUUAAGUGGUUUGGGAGAGAGAUGUGAGGACAGUCAACUUAAACCUUACUGACGCAGGGGAUUGUUUGUGUGGGGGGAGAGUAUUUUUUGACAAAAACAAAACGAUAAUCAUUUAUUCAAAUUAAUAGAAUAUAUCAAAUAUAAUCACAUAUUUAACAUCAUUAAAAAUAUAAAGGAUGAAUCUGCGAACAAACUCGAAACAUCCAAGUUAAUAACAACGAUAAAAUGCCUAUAAAUAAAAUGAUAAAAUAAAAAUAAUUGAAAUACAUGUACAUCCGGUUCUCCACGAUUACAUGACACAUGUAUAUUCAAUCACAUUUCACCACUUAGAUAACUGUUUAGAUGUUUUAUGAACUAAUUUAACAAAGUGGCAUAAUAGUAGGAUAUGAUUGAUUGUGUGUAAAUUUUUUACAGUGUAUACUAUCAUUUAAUUAAUUGUGACAUUUAUGUUUGUAUUAAUAUAAAGUUCAAAAUUUUAUCUCGUAAGUAUAGCUCGUAUGGUAAAAGGUUAUAAGGAUAUUUGAUGUGUUGGGGCGAGUUCGAAUCGCAAUAUCCCUCUCCUCCAUUCUUAAUGUGUGAUUUUCCACUCAAUAAUUUGAAACGAAAAAAAAAAUAAAAACUCAAACUUUAAAAAGUACAUAUCUAUAAACAUCUUCCAUAAGGUCUCUUCUGACGACACUGUUGCAUGGAUACACCUCUUAAGGAUUUAUGCUUCCUCGAUGAAAUUGCAAAUUAAACAAAUGUACAACAACAAAAACCCAUCAUUAGAAUGUGUUCCAACCCAAAGGCAGUUUCCAUUUUUUGUGCCAAUAGAUAGAAACUCUUGGCCACAAUUUGUUAUCAAAACCAUAUUGAAAUGCUUGAUCUUCAUGUCCAUCAACAAUUAAAGGCAACCAAACAUAUCUAGAAUCUCUUAACUCACUUGGAUUCCAUCUAUCCGCCAUGAAGAUAAACAAACCAGGAAACCUAGUUAAUGGAAGCACAAAAGUACUUUGUGCAAGAAAAGUCGAAACUCUAAACAUUUUGUUUCCAGCAACACAUGGAUUUCCAAUUGUUUCCCAUGUCCCUAAGAUUGUCUCAGCUGAAUGAACAAGUGCUUCAUUUGGUGCCCAUCCAGUGCAACCUGAUGUAACCAUGUAAUAUGUUCCCUUGUGUUUGAACAUAGCCGGCGCUUCUCUUCGCUGACCGACGAAAAUUCUUUUCAUAACAGAUGUCACAUUGAGAUAAUCUUCAGUCAAGGGUCCAAUGUGCAUUACAUUGUUUUCUUCAGAUGAGUAUAUUAGAUAUGCAACAUUGUCUUCAUCUUUGAAAAGUGUCAUGUCCCUGCUUUGAUAUCGAUGAGGUCUUUGGCUCCCGAGGUAUUUGAAUGGACCGGUAGGAGUAUCACUGAAUGCUAUGCCAACGGUAGCUUUGGCGUAAUUGGCGUUGUCGAUAUGCAUCCACAUCACAUACUUUCUUGUUUUUUCAUUGUAAAUAACUUUUGGUCUCUCAAGCACAUUGGACUUGUGUAGAUCAUGUGUUUUAUCUGUUUUCUCUGCUGCUAAUGCAAUGCCCUCUUUUUUCCAAGUCCAUAGAUCCUUAGAAGAAUAGCAACCAACUCCUAUAAUGUCCACCUAAUGGGGAGACAUUGUAAGAUAUAUACUAGAGUUUUGGCCAAAACAGUAUUUGCAUUUGAUACAACCUGAAAUGACUCUUACAUUUGCUAAUUUAUGUUCUCAUUUCAAGAACCACAUUAGUCAUAUGAAACAAGUACAAUUUCUCUGCCAAGACAUAGGAAUUGCUCGAUUGGAAUGGAUUAGAAGCAUAACUAAGGCAUCUCAUCAGGAAUAGUAAAAAGAUGAAUUAAACAUGUCUAGAUCAUAGCUAGCUUGGGGCACAGAAGGGUUCAAUGCAGAUAACAAAUAAAAUUGUGCAUCUAUAUUCUAGUGGAUUUUUUCUUAUAUAGAAAACAUAUUAUUGCUUAGUAAAAGAUUCAACAAUGAGAAACUUUGACUUGGAUGAAAAGAACAUUUAAUAUGGGAAAAAGCUAUUAGACUCCUACAGCCAACUGGUAGGAAUGGAUACUUAGCCCUGAUUGAAUAAACAACUUAAUUAAGCACUUGCGCUAUAACCAUUUAUCAUAAGAGCUUAUGUAUAACCUAUUUCUGUAACAAAAGGUAAAAUGUAAGUUAUAAGGAAUUUUCAUAAACUAUCCUGAAGAGCUUAUAAAAAUAAGUAAGAUUAAAAAGCUUAUAGACAUGUCAUGGCUAUUUCCAUGAGUUCUCUCGAGUAGGCUGACUAGUACUUAUGUCAACAGAUAAGUUCAAAUAAGUCAAUUUCGACAAAAACUUACUUAAUACAGUUAAAACAACAAAUCAUUCAUUGUUCAGUUAAUGAAAGUGACUUACCCGAGCAGGUCCUUUGUUAUUAUGAAGGUAAGUAGGGCCAUCUUUAUAUUCACCAUACCAAUAAUAAGUACUUGAAUUUUCAUCAUAUAGAAUGCACCCUCCAUGAGCUUGAAUAGGAUUUCCAUCAGUAUCCAACCAAAUUUUCCCAGGGUAGUAGUAAUUAUAACUAUCAUUCUUUCCUUUCCCUAUAGUCUUCAUUGGAUCAAUUGUUUUAUGAGGAAAGAAAACAUGUCUAAGUGAUGAAUCUUGAUCCAAGAAUUCAUCAACCAAUGGUGUUAUUGAUUUGCUUUGAGGUGACCUCUUUUUGUUUGGUGGGGGGAUUUGGAAGUUCUCCUUUUCAACAUGUUGGAGUUGAUGGAAAUGAGAAGGAAGAGGAGGAGGAUGAAUGAUAUUCAAGGAGGUGUUAUUAUUGGAAUAUAGAUGAAGCAAAAGUAUGCAUCCUAAGAUUAACAAGGUCCAUAAUAUUACAAGUGAUAUAGAACAAUAUCUACUCCAACUACUGCAACGUAAAUUAGUAAUUGGUUUCUUGUAUAGAUUCUUCAUCCUCAUUUUUCUCAAGCUCUACUCUAUAUGUUCAAAAUAAUGAUGAAAAUUGUAAGUAAUGAAUGUAAGCAAAGCUAUAUGUGUAGCGUAUACUUGAUUGAAAAAUGAAAUAAUCAUUAGAAGACACACUCACCUGGAACUAUAUUGGAGAGAAUGAAUGAGUUGGUGGGGUAGUCAACUAUGGUUGCAAUUUGGAUUGCGGAUUGAUCUGCCCUCGGGUUUGAUGACAUUCACUUUGUAAUGAAAUAAAAGUAAUGUCCUUAUGAAGGGACCCUUUCGUCUUUUACUACUAUCGAAUCUGCUGAACUUUCCUUAGACUCACUUAGUUGCACAUUUUUGAGGGCAUGAGCGCAAUAUUCGUGUCCGUGGGUAUUUACUACUUUGAUUGAGUUUUGGUAUAAGUUUGAGCUUUCUCUGAUUUUAAAACACUGAUACAAGAUGCAUAACUGAGAUAUAGAUAUUAAUCAGAAUUCAUACUCAAACAUGUUCCGAAUGAAAAUUGAUAUUUUGGCUAUAUGUUAAGAUGCCAUUUUGUCAAAGGUUGAUAUGCAUGUUAUUUAGUUUGAUAAUUGUCAUGUUGUAAAAUAUGUCUUUGAUAUUUGAAGGAGCAAAUAAAUCAUUUGAUCGAGGUUGAGGAUAUGUAAAAGUGAGCAAAUGCAAUACAACAUUGCCCCCAAAGUUGGAAAAAACUUCUUUUUUUAUAAAAAUAUUAUUGACCGUAGGGACGGAGAUGUGUGGGGAGAUACCUGAAUCCGUCGAGGAUGGAAAUAAGAUUCAAUUUCUUAUACAUGUUCAGUAUGAAUAUGUAAUGAGCAUAUGAGAGUCGGGGACAAAGACGAGAAAAGUAAAACUCAUCUCCACCCCUCCACAUUAUCAUACCUAUAUUAUAGUUGUUUUUAUAAGCUAAUUCAAAUAGUUUAUAACUUAAAGUUUAUAAAUUAUCAUUUUUUUUUAUCUCAAUUCUCCAUUAUACUUCAAUAGUUAAUUUUAUGAAACUUUAUGAAUUAAGUGUAAGACCAUCUACAAUGGGGUCCUUCCCCUAUUUAGCAUCAUGUUAAAUAGACACCUCCAUUAUAAUAUCAAUAAAUAUGGUACUUAUAAAGAUGGAUGUUUGUAUAGGCACCUUCUCUCUCCUAUUACUCAUGGGUCUCAUGUGUACAAUUAAUACUUCAAUAUUUUAUUUUAUUUUGGUCAAGUAUACUUCAAUAUUUUAAAAUUAUAAUUAAAUUACUUCAAUAUUUUUCUAAUUUAUAAUUAUUUUUUAUUUUUAUAAUUAAAUUUUUCCUCUCCUAUUUUAAUGUUUGUUUUUUUAAUAAUUUAUAAGUAAAUUACUUUAAUAUUUUUUUUAAAUUACUUUAAUAUUUUAAAAUUAUAUAAUUAUGAAUGGGUAUAUAAAUUAUUGUUAAAAUUUAAUGAUAUAGAGUUAUCGUUGGGAUCCAAUUAAUAAUUAUUUUGAGGUGCUGAGUUGGAGAGAUUGGAUGCUUAUCAAAUAGUCCAUCCGUUUCAAAAUGAGUGUCGUUUUAGUCCAUUACACACAUAUUAAGGAAUGGAAUAAAGUAGUCAAAUGUCAUAGCAAUUUUACAAAAUUAUCCUAAUUAACUAUUGAUUUGUUUUAUAUUAAAGAAAAAAAUAAUAUUUUUAAAGCAGUGUAACAUAGUAUUAAUUGAAGGGUACAAUUGAAAAAAAAGAAGUUGUUAUUGCAUUGGAAACUGAAAGUAACAUUCAUUUUAAAACAAUUUUUUUUUUUUUGCUAAAAAAACAUUUAUUUCAAAACAGAGGAGAGUAUUAAUUAUAGAACGAAUGUACGGUCGGGAUCCGUUUAAGUACCCAAAUGGGAUGCUGCGUUGUAGAUGGCUUCUAAAUCAUGAUUUGUGAGCUAUAAACUUUGAGUAAUCCUGUAUCUUUUACUAAACAGCUUAUUUUAUUAUCUUGGAACCAACCAUGGCAUAACCGAAUUCCUCUCUUUCGCGGCUCUUUGGCCAUGGAAGCUCUGCACAUGAUACAGGGACACAUACUCCCACUUCGUCCCUUAUCACAAUUCCAACCAGACACCGACAAAAUUCGACGCAGCCUUAUUCAAAAAGGUGUCACUCCUACACCUAAAAUCAUUCACACUCUCCGCAAGAAACAAAUCCAAAAACACAACCGCAAACUCAAUCGACAAAACCAACUAAACCCACCACUCUCUAAAUCUCAAAAACAAACGUUAGAGGAGGAACAACACUUUCAGGAACUCAAACAUGAGUACAAACAAUUUACACAAAAUUUGGAGGAAAAUCAAGGAGGGAAUAAAGGUUUGUGUUUGAUUGGGAAGCCAUGGGAAGGGGUUGAAAAAGUUGAUUUUUUGGAGAGAAUUAAGGUGAAUUAUGAGCACAGAGGAGAGAAACUUAAGAGGGAGAGUUUGAUUGAGUUGAAGGAAAUGUUUCGUGAGAGAAAAAUGGAUGAAUUGAAAUGGGUUUUUGAGGAUGAUAUUGAAAUUAACGAGGUUUGGUUCGAUGAAAAUAACAAUGGGAAAAGGAAAAAGACGAGUAAGCGAAGUGAGGUUCAGGUUGUGAGGUUUCUUGUUGAUAGGUUUGUGUUCUGUUUUUCAUUUGCUGUCAAUUCUUUUGGGAGUUAGUUAGAAUGCAUUGUUGGUGUAAAAUUAUUUUACACAUUCAUCCAAUGACGUAUUGUCAUAUCAUUUAAUGUGGUUGAAAAAACAUGAGUAUCAUAUUCAUUAAUUGACAUGGAAACACAUCAUUGAGUGCAUGUGUAAAAUAAUUUUACAAUGUUAGUUUACGAAAAUUAAACUUGAUUGAUUUUUUUUUUUUGUGCAAGUUAUGGAGGGUUUUUUUGGUUUUUUUGUAGGUUGUGUGAUAAGGAAAUUAGGGCUAAGGAUUGGAAAUUUUCGAGGUUGAUGAAGCUGUCUGGAUUGUCUUUCACGGAGGGUCAGUUGAUGAUGAUUAUUGAAAUGCUUGGUGUUAAACGUUGUUGGAAGCAAGCUCUAUCUGUGGUUCAAUGGGUGUACAAUUCCAAGGAUCACAGAAAGUUUCAAAGCAGGUGAUUUGUUUCUGAAACAUAAAUUAUGUUUAGGGUAUUUUAGAUUUCAGACUGAGGAUUUCGGAUGGGAGGGUUUUGGAGAGCUAUGUUUAUAUUUUGGUAUAUAUUUAAGAUUUAAAAAAAUAUAUAUAUAUGAAGGAUUAACAUGAUCAGAUAAUAUUUCAAAUCAUAAAUUAGUCUACAUGAAUCAUAAUUAUGUUGUAGUGUCUUCUUGGAGGGAGGUAAAUGUAAAUCCCUUUGUGAGUGCUCUUGAGUCAUAAGGUCUUCCCUACGUUGGACUAGGACACCGUCCUCUCACACUAAAUUUUUUCAAUAAAAAAAAUUAUGUCUUAAUGAUUGGCAUUUUUGUUGUUUUUAGAUGCUUAGUGCUUUGCAUAUUUGGCUCUAUCUUAUGAUGAAAUUAAUAAUGAAUUUGUAGGUUUGUUUACACAAAACUUCUUGCAGUUCUUGGGAAGGCAAGAAGGCCGAAGGAAGCCCUUCAAAUUUUCAAUAUGAUGCUUGUAAGAAUCAAGUGCUUAGUUUGUUUUUCCAUGUGUUGGACUUGUCUUUAAUUUUUGUAUGUCGCUGGGUUGAUUUACUUUCAACUUGUUCAGGGAAAUAUUCGUGUAUAUCCUGAUAUGGCUGCAUAUCACAGCAUUGCUGUUACACUUGGUCAAGCUGGUCUUCUGAAAGAAUUGCUGAAUAUCGUGGAAUGCAUGAGGCAGAAACCUGAAACGUUAAAAUAUAUGUAUCGCAAGAACUGGGAUCCAACUCUUGAACCUGAUGUGGUUAUAUAUAAUGCCGUGAGAAAGCAACUAAAUAUCUUUCAUAUAAUAAUAACUUUCUAAUGAAUGCAAUUUUGCAGACUGAUUAAAGUAUUGAUUUUCUUCAAUUACUAUUAGGUACUUAAUGCUUGUGUUCCAUCAAAGCAGUGGAAAGGUGUGUCAUGGGUUUUUCAGCAAAUGAGGAAAAGUAGCCUGAAACCUAACGGAGCAACUUAUGGACUUGCAAUGGAGGUAAUUGCACAAUUACCACAUCUGACGCUGAGUAAUUUAUCUUGAAAAAAUUAGAUUUAUAUAACUUUGUGUCGCUAACAAAAAAUAAAAGGUGGUAGAAUAUAAGCUGUUUUUGGGGAAACUGUCUCGAAAGAUCUAUUUGACUGAUUUGCUAUGGUAAUACUUUCUUCAAAAUGUGAUCAAUGCUAUCUGCUCUCUAUGAUAGCAUUAUAUACUGAAUAGGAUAACCAUGCUUGAAUGGCGGCUAAGAUUUUCAUUUUAUUUACUAAUUGAUGAGCUUAUUUUAAGUUUUAUUCUAUUUGAGUCUUUAUGUAUGAACGGAAAAAUUGAUUCUUGAAGGAAACUAGAAAAGGCUGUUACCUCCAUAUUUUAUUACCUUUAAAGCAUGCUUGUAUUCAAGUCUUACAGGUGAUGCUUGUUAUAAGGUAAUGCUGCAAUCGGGCAACUACGACCUUGUCCAUGAGUUAUUUGAAAAGAUGCAGAGAAAUGGGGAAGUUCCAGAAGCCCUUACAUACAAAGGUGGUGUUUUAAAUCUUUCAUACCAUUUGCAACUGAUAUUUGGCAUCUGAUGGCCUAAUAUAUACUUUAUCUCUUCCUCAGUGAUGGUAAGAACUUUCUGGAAGGAAGGUAAAGUUGAUGAAGCUGUGAAAGCUGUCAGGGACAUGGAAAGAAGAGGCGUUAUGGGAACAGCCAGUGUUUAUUAUGAGCUAGCAUGUUGCCUUUGCAACUGUGGGAGAUGGCAAGAUGCUACUCUGGAGGCACUUUUCUUACUUUUUUAAUUGAAUGCCCAAAUUUGACCUGAAAAAUCUGAUGGCGGACUCGUUACUUCCCUAGAACUUUUAAGGCUAGAAUCUGCCCUUGUUCCCUAAGGAACCAUUGAUGUUGGCUACAUUAAGACAUAGACAAAUGACAUGUUAGACCUUGAGGAGGACUAAAGUGGCCGGCAUUUGUAGUUUCUUGGGGAAGAAUAUAUACAUUGCCAAAUAUUUUAGGGGUGUAUUUAGUGAUUUACUAUUUAUUUUUGCACUAAUGUGGUUAAAUGAGCGUGUAGCUAUGUGUAAGCCCUUAUUAAAAUGUAUAUUUUUCCUUGAAAUAUGGUGGCAGGUUGAGAAGAUAAAAAGACUUCCUCAUGCUAAACCUUUGGAGGUUACUUUCACCGGCAUGAUUAGGUCAUCCAUGGAUGGUGGGCACAUUGAUGAUUGCAUAUGUAUAUUUGAAUAUAUGCAAGAUCACUGUGCUCCUAAUGUAGGGACCGUAAAUACCAUGCUGAAAGUUUACAGCCAGAAUGACAUGUUUUCUACGGCUAAAGUUUUAUUCGAGGAAGUUAAGGUUGCAAAGUCAGAUUUACGACCAGAUGCAUACACAUAUAACUUGAUGUUGGAAGCGUCUUCCCGUGGACACCAGUGGGAAUACUUUGAGCAUGUGUACAAAGAGAUGAUUCUUUCGGGUUAUCAUUUGGAUCAAAAUAAACACUUGCCAUUACUUGUUAAAGCUUCAAGGGCUGGCAAGGUAGAUAAUAUACUUGUUAUUUAUAUAAGGUCUCAGUGUUUAUUUUAUAUUUCUGCUCAUAGUAUUAUAUCCUAUAAAAAUUGUUACAUCCAAACUAUGCUUACACGCGUGCAUACAUUUCAUCUGUCAACACACUAGUGAUGAAAAAAGACAAUCUAUUAUUUGGUGAUAGUGCAAUUUUGAUCAUUAUUUUGUACUGUUUCCAAGUGUAUGUAUAAAGCUCGUAUGCUUAGUCCAGCACAAACGCAAAUUUAUUUAGACUUGUGCUUGUGAUCUUGAUAGAAACCUUUGCAUUAGUUCUUGCCUUAUCUUUUAGAUUUCUCAAUUGUUGGAUGAUUUUCAGAAUCAGUUUAAUCCAACUGUGUUUUCUUACUUGUUAGUUGUUACUGGUGGCCACGGUACCACAAAAACACCCUUUACUUUUUAACUUAAUACAUCUAUUUUCUAAAUAUUGAAUUUGACGGCAUGUUAUGGUUUCAAUGCAGUUGCAUUUACUGGAGCAUGCAUUUGACAUGGUUCUUGAAGCUGGAGAAAUCCCUCACCAUCUUUUCUUUUUUGAAUUGGUGAUUCAAGCUAUAGCUCAACAUAAUUACGAACGAGCCAUCAUCUUACUCAGCACCAUGGCUCAUGCGCCAUACCGAGUAACAGAAAAGCAAUGGACAGAGCUGUUUAAAGAAAACGAAGACAGAAUCAAUCAUGAAAAUCUGAAGCGGUUGUUGGAUGAUCUUGGUAACUGUAAUGUUGUAUCAGAAGCAACCAUCUCGAAUUUAUCAAGGUCAUUGCAUGAUCUAUGUGGAUUAGGUUCAUCGAGAAACAUCUCAAGUAUCAUCCCUUUUAGAAGUGAAAAUGUUGAUUGUCUGAAUGAGACAAUUAAUGGUGGUGAAAAUGGAAAAGCGCCAAAUUUUUCAGGGAGAAUGAUGAUUGAAGGUGCUGAAUCUGGGAAUGAUAUUCUUUUUGGUGGUGAUCAAGCUGAACCUGAUAUGUUCACAUUUAACGAUGAUCAAGUCGACAGAGUAAACAAUAAUGAUGUGGUGGUUUGCAGGCCACAAAACCGUGUUAUUGAAGAUAAAUCAAGUUUUUGUGUUGAUAGACCGGAAUUUCUUGAUCGUUUGACACUUGACAAGUCUUCAGAUGAUUCAGAGGAUGAGCUAUCAGAUGAUGAAAGUUAUGAAGACGAUGAUGAUGGUGAUAAAGAAGUGAUUGAUAAGCCUUCAGCAUAUCAAAUAUUGGAAGCGUGGAAGGAAAUGAGAGAGGAGGAUAAGAGUUUGUUACACUCUGAAAUUGAUUGUGGCUAGUCAUUGCAAGUUGUUUUAGUUUGAAAUAUGCUAGCUGAACAAGGAAAUUACAUGGACGAGCUUAUUUUGAUAUCUGCAAUAAUGUUGUAUUGUAAGUGAUUGGAUAAGGAGGACUCAACUAAAACGUGUAAAGUUCAAAAUGAUUUCUUUUACUCAAGGUCAAAAUGUUAAAAAGCAUAUUAUUUUAGUAAUUUUUCUCUGCAUCUCAUAAUUUUUUGCCCGGAAGAUAUUCAAGUAUAAUCCAUGUAAUCCAAACAAAACAUAUUUUUUUCUGCUUGGAUGUGUUUCCAAACAAAACAUGGAUUUUUCAUUAUUAGGAUUUUAUUUGCAAAAUCAUGUGUGCCUUCACAGAUAUGUGGGGUGAUUAAUGUUAGCUAGAGCGCUGUGUAUAUUUACAACACAGGCAAAAUCAAACAAAGUUUACAUAACAAUACUCAAAUCCUCUUCCCUGAACAACGAUUCUUCCUCUAUUGUAAUCAUAUACACAACUGUUAAAAAAAUUACUAUUGGUCUAAAGGUUUUCCUAAAUUGCAUCAAUAUCUAACUUGUUCAUAAAGUACUGACCAUUUUAUAAAAUUGUACCAAGCAAAUGCCUCUAAACUUUAUCUGUGCACAUACAUCUCGGCAAAAGACAAAAUGAGCUUUGGUAUGUGUGUAAUUGUAAACAUAACCUUGACAAAUCUCAAAAGCAAGUCAAUAUAUUGUGUAGCAAGAGUUAUGUAACAAUAUCUUAGAACAAGCAAUGUAAACAUGGCCGCAUGUGCCAAUCGAAAUUGCAAUUGAAGGACUAAUGAAAAAUUGCUAUCUCUCAUUAGAACGAUUAAUAGCGUUCCAUUGCAUCGGUCUUCCUUGGUACUUUGUAGUGUUCCCUCGUUGUCUUCUUUUAAAAUAAUAAAAAGGAAAAGGUAAAAUAAAAGCUAUCGCUAACUCCUGAUAAAAUGUUUCAUGAAUCGUUCCGCAUAUUCCAGAUUUACAAGUCGAAAGUUAUGUACAUCUACAAAAAGAAUUGGCAGUAGGCGCAGCAGCAGAACCAUUAUCUCAAGCCAGCUUGGCCAAUGAUCAACAAGCGAAAAUCCACGACAUCUGCACAAUUCACAAACACUGAAUAAUCUUAAUCAAAAGAACUAAUAGAAACUACUACUACAUAGCAUCAAAAAAUAAAUAAAAAAUAAAAAAACAGCACUAAUUAAUAAAACUAAACUAAUCACUUGCAGAAAAAUCAGUGGCCACCUACAGAUCAAAAUCUAAUCCAGUAACGGGAACAAAAGCAAAAUAUAUAAGCAUGUCAAGAUUCUAAUAAAGCGACUGACUGAGGAAGCUACCAAAUAUGAAGCAUUUUGCAUUUGAGUGCCUUCAUCGCAGCUUUUGCAAAGACUUGAGCGGCCUCAGCUUCAGCUUCUGCAAUCUCCGCCUCCCUAGCUGCUGCUUCGGCCUGUGCAAUGGCAACUUCUGCCUCUGCAACUGCUUUUGCAGCUGCAGCAGCCGCCUCUUGAGCUGACAUCCCCCUCACUUUUGAUAGCUCUGCCUCAAUUUGGGAUUUUGAAAGGAUGUUGACAUCACACAUCUUCUCCACCUCCGGAGAAUCUUUGGACCUCGCUUCCACAAGCAUCAGAGAAGAGCUUCCUCUUUUCUCAGAGACUGCUGAACUUGGCAUAAUUUUGUACUUAUGCUUUUCCUGUCAACGUAUAUGUCAUUGCCAUGAUAAACUUAUCACAUACCGAAUUUUGUUUAUUAGUUGGGACAAUCUAUUAAUUCAAAUAAAACUUAUUUCUCUUGCUAAAGAAAAUGCUGAUAUCACGUUACUACUGCAAAAGGAAACACGUAUCUUAAUUUUUUUGACGAAAAACGCGUCUAAACAUGUUGUUAUAACCAAUUUAUUUAUCAUUGUCAACCAUUUUCUGUUGAUUACUUCCAGCAAGAUCAAAUGAUUUAUUAUAGUAAUUCUGUCAUAGAUGAAACACUUUAGUCUUUAAGGCCUUCAAAUAUUAUCCAGAUCAUUGACCAUGUCUAUUACAAAGGUUUACACAUAGAGCUUAAUGUAACAAUGACAAUCACAACAGCAAACAAGUUUUAUUCCACUAAGUGGGGUCGGCUACAUGGAUCAAACGACGCCGUAAUGUUCUAUCAUAUAUCAUAUCCCUAUCCAACUCAUUGAUCUCUAGAUCUUUCUUAACAGUUUUUCUUAUAGUUUUUCUAAGUCUUUAUUUGCCUCUAGUGAUUUGACUACCCUUCAUCUGAUCUACUACUAUAGAAUAUACAAGUCUUCUCUCGGCAUGCCCAAACCACAUAAGCCAAGUUUCUACCAUCUUUUUUACGAUAGGUGCUACCCCAAUUCUCUCUCUCUCUCUCUAAUGUUGUAUUUCUAAUUUACCACACAUCCAACUGAUUAUAAAAUUACCUGAACUAUUUUGCCACUUGUCACCAUCUGCUGCAAUUUUGCUGACAAUAACUUUCUAAGAUUUGGUGGACACUGAUAUUUUUCCUAUAGAGAUGAAAUGAAAAGUUUCAGAAUUACUUUCAAUGCAACGACGGGGUUAAGUAUGUAAACAAGCAUUGUAUUGCUAAUAGUGGCUGAAUUGACUAUACACUAAUGCUCCAAGCCUAAAUCACAGGUAACUUUUAAAGAUAAGAUAUGCAGCAAAUGCAUGGUAUGAUGCUAUGACUGAUUGCAUUAUGCUUUUUUCGGUGUACCAUUGUAAAGAGGGGGAAAUAACAGGUUGUUAAUUGCCAAGUGAGACUGCACAUAAAAGCUUAAACACACACACACAACGCGAUAUAGAAAUACCUCUAUGUAAGAAGCAAUGGCAGCCUUGUCAGAACCCUUUGGCUCCUUCAUAUUGACAAUAGCCUCUAAUACAUUAUUAUCUCCCAACCUGCCAUCAUUAAGACAUAAAGUGACAUAUGUCAAGAUUAAGAUGCAGCUUAGCAUGUAUUAAAUUGUGGUAUUUUCUUAUCACAAGCAUACAAGGAGUGCACGUAGACAGAGAAUCUCCAGAUAUAAUUAAAAAUAAGUAAAUAAAUAAAAGUAUGAGUCAUAUAACUUCAUUCAAACGCAAUGAACCAUUGCACAGUUAACAAGGUCUAUGAUCUUUCUAUUCUUUCUUUUUUUUUUCCUUCCCUUACUCUUUAUAGGUAACAAUUAAUAAACCUUUUGUCCCCUUAUAUCUUCAACAUGCUUACAGCAAAACUGCUAUGAGGUACUACAAAAAAUGAAGAAUCGCCAGAUACCUCACAAAGGUACUAUAAAAUGAAGGAUCACAAGAUAACUCACAUAGAAAAUAACAAAAAAUUCAGAUUCAAAUUAGGCUAUUUAUCGAUUCAUUUGUGAAAAUUUGGUAAACUAGCACACAAAUUUAUGCAAUACUAGACCUUAUUACUCAUAAGGGGUGUAACAUUUACACUCUGCAAUCUUUAGAUGUUAUUCAAGAUCAAAAUCACAAACCAAGCACCACAAUCAUGGAGAUAAUUUCUUUUUACUAGAUAAUAAUGGCAGAUGUAUUUAACUGAAAGUUCUUGAACCUUGAUACUUGUUCUUUUGAAUUAGGAGAUUGCAAUGUUCCACUACAAAUUGUUAGGGGCUUAGGAGAUUGAAAUGUUCCACCAGAAAUUGUCAGGGGCUUAAUAUCGAGAAAGUCUUCACGUUGAACUACUUUACCCAAGGCCAAUUGGUUAUUGUCAGUUUUGGGGGCUGGGGGACUGUUUUUAAGGGCAAGUUUUGCCUUCUGCCGGGAUCCCCAUAUUGCUGUGACAUUUAUAUUCCUCCAUUUAUCCUGUUCACAAUUCAAAGCAUACAAAUUAGUUCACCAAAAGUAUGCAAUAGCUUUAUCAAUUUGAUCAAAGAAAAAUUAUCUAUCUUUAUGUAUUUCUACUAGGCUGUGUUGAAAAGACUUACCUUGAGAUCUACAUUCGAACGCGUACGCAAAAUGGAACUGAACUCGGGAUCCAUAAGUAUUGUGCGCCAUUUUCCAGCCCCGUGUUUGACUACUCCAGCUUUCAGUGCUGCUUCUUCUUCUGCAGUCCAUUUCUGCUUAGGAGCACCCAUGGAAGGAAAUCCGACAGUUUUUUUGUGACAGUUUAAUCUUUGCUUCUAGGGUUGAGGAAAGCUUGGAAUUUCAGUACUCCCCUUCUCUAUAUGUGCAUCUUUGCAUUAAAAAAAAACUUUACAAUUAGUAGUUGACCAACAAUAAACAUCAAAAUGAAAAGAAAAGAAAAAGUCAAAAUGUGACUCUUCUAUGUUUAUAAUAACCAAUAAAUAUAAUUAAGUAAAUAUUACUCAUCCCAAACAUUGACCUUAGUUCCAAAUUCACUUCAAUCACAUCCACCAACAACCCAACCCAAUGUUAACCGAUAUAGCACCAACACGUCAGAUUGAAGGUGUAUCUGGUGUCUAACAUGUGCAAUACGAACACAUGUUGUUACUUUCAAUUACUUCUAUUUCUCAGAGUAUAGGUGUCGCCGCGUCGGUGUUGUGUUGGUGCUUCAUAAAUGUAAAAACAAGAGAAGAGAAGAUGUUAGGAACCCAAGAAUUGGAUUCCUAAGAAAGAACACUUUUAUUAAGAAAAAAUAGGAAAGAAUAGGGAGAUAAAUCUCUCCUUCAAGGGAUUCCCCUUCACAAUAGAGUUACUACUCGAUUCACACUGUUUACAAUAUUCAAUAAUGAUCAACUCUACAUUGUUUCUCCUAUUUAUACAAAUAGUCCUAUAACAACCUCAACUAACCAACUAACUACUCCCUCCUUCCUAAAUUAAGUGACCCAUUUGGUCAUUUCACACAUAUUAAGAAAAAUGUAUACUAAGUGAAUGAGAGAGAAAAAUGGUUUUGAAUGUUUUUGUCAAGUAUUGGUGCAUUUACCAUUAUCAUAGAUGCAAAAAAGAAUAUAUUAAAUUGGGAGUGAUGACAGUAGUAUUAAUUAGAGUUAUAAUUGAAAAAAAAGUAAUUAAUAUUGCAUUGAGAACUGAAAUGGGUCAGUUAUUUUAGGACAAUAUUUUUUUUACAAAAGAGUCACUUAUUACUGGACAAAGGGAGUAACAACCCUAUAACAAUCCCAGCUAACUAACUUCUAUAAGACUAUAACAACUUUUAACCAUCAAUCUAAAUAAUCACCAUUCUAUAUCUAUAUCCUAUGUUUGAGAGUUGGUUUUUGGUUUUGGAGGUUUUUAGAGGGCAGGGGUUUGGAGGGCUACGUCUAUAUCAAAUAUGUAUGAAAAUAUAGACAUAGCCCUCCCCCUUCAAAACCCUCCAAAAACCAACUCGCAAACACACCCUUACAUAACAACUCCACAGAUUCAAGCAACCAAUAAUUUGUAAUAUUUGGCUGGCAAAGAGUAACCUAAGUUAUAACAUUGUAAUAUGCAUAUAGAACAUUUUUACAAUCAGUAUUGAAAAAUGCAAUUAGCCCUUUAUGAAAAUAAAGGUAGAAAUUUGAACACAACCUGGAAAAACCUACAAUUAUGCAUUGCAUCAAAAUGCAAACGUUAGGGAUUUUAAUUUCUCAUUUUUAAAUUUCAUAAAUCAAUCAAACAAAAAUUGCAUUGAAAAAUGAAAAGCUUUUCCCUUUAAGCUCACCCAUUAAGAAAAAAACAACAUUGAGUUAGAAAAUCAGAAACACAUUCAAAACAACAAAACCAGCCACAUGCAUUCAAGUGGGGAAGAGAAAGAACAGAUUAUACUUCUAACCAACAAAAAAAAAAGGCAAAAAUUGAAACUUUCUUUGAGGGAAAACGAAAGGGUCAAAAAAUUAUAGAAGAAUCGGUUAGGUGUGUACCUAAUCACUGGGCGAUGAAGAGAAUUGCGAAAAGUUGAAGCAUUUGAGGAACAGAAAUCGAAAAAUCCGAAUGAAUUUGCAAAACGGCAGAGAAAGAGAAAGAAUGUGUUCUAUUCAACCCAAUUGUGUGUCUUCAUUUUGUUUUAUCAACUUAACCUCUGAAAAUAUUCUAUACCCUUGUCAUUUAUUCCGAAUAUAAUUUAUCCAAAUUGCAAGAAUGCCCUCUAAUAUCUCUUAUUUGGUCAAAUAAUUUAUCGGAUAGGAUUCACUUUUUAAAAUGAAUAAACGUGUGUUCGGAUUUUAAACACCGACACUUACAUAUAAUAAUGAUUUGUCUUUAUCAACUGAUAUAUUUCAUAGAUAUAGAUCUCUUGUUAGUUACUCGUAUAAAAUUACAACUUAGUAAAUUGAUGAUAAAUUGAUAAAUAAGCAGGAAAAAAAAUUGAUUGCAAACGAUGAAACAUACACACACAUAACAUAGUCUACUAUCAGAGAAGAAAGACAAAGGAACAAGUGCUAGAGAGCUACAAAAAUGUAACGAUGAAACUGUGAUAAGAGUAACAAGUAGCAACACAUGAUGAAUAUUGAGAAGCUUACCUCUAUCCACUUUCUUUUUUUUUUUCAGUGAUUCAGGUAGCAAAAAAAUUCGUCUCCAUUAUUCUGAUUUUGUCUCAUAUAUUUAUACCCAAAAAUUAGUAUAAAGUAGCUAGGAGGAAGAGGACAAAAAUGCAAAGUUGGUGAUUUUCAGAAAAUGUAGAGCAAUGAGCAAAGGUACAACGGCUCAAAAAGGGAAAAGAAAAGAGCAAUUGAAAAAAGAUAAAUUGGGAGGAGCCCUCAAGAGUCAAGAGGAAGGAUACGAUGCAUAUACUUUGCCAUAGUUUUUUAUCUUUGUUUUUUCUUUCUCAACUAGUGAGACAGUUUUUCUGUAUUUUGUUUUCAUUUUAUAUCUUUCCUAUUUUUGUCAUUUUUAUUUUUAUAUUAUAACUCUGUUUUAUCAUGAGAUUAUUAUUAAUACAAGAAACAGAGUAUUUUGAAUUUUAAUUUGUGACCUUGAGCUUGUAAUCCAAAAUCUUGUAUUUUUAUUGUACUUAAGUUGAAUCAAAACAAGAGACUUGUAUAAUAAAAUUAAUCCAAUGAAUGUUAUUUAUUUUAUGACUGAAAUCUAAUGAGUGUUAUUAUUUAUCAAUUUUUAUAAGAGAACAAAAUAGAUUAAUAUAAAAAAAUGAACAAAGUUAGGGUAUUACAAACUUGAAAUAAACUAAAAAUAACAGCAAAACAAAAGCAAAGAAACACAACGAUAAAAACACUAGCAAAUACAUUAGAUCUUAAACUGGUUGGCGAUGAAGUGACCAAAAUACAAAGAUAUCAUAGUGACUUUCGAUGGGGGCGUUAGACGACCAAUUUUGCAAGUGAGGUCGCAAUCAGUGGGGAAAGAUUUAGAGGCCGUGAUGCCUAAGGCAUGUUUACAUAGGCAUAAGUGAAUUCUUUUGUUGGUACGAGAACCUUUAAGACCAAGGAAAAACUUGAGAUUACCUACGUCUUUGAUGCAAAAGGAUGAAUAGAAAAGACUUUUAAUAACAUUGAUUUAUGUGGAGUUCAUUGUGAGAACAAUGUCGUCUACGUAAACUAGCAGAAUAGUGAAGGAAUGAGAAGAUGAUUUGAUUAACAAGGAGUGAUCAUAUUCUGAAUGAUGGUAUCCAAUAAUGAUAAUUGCAGAAGACAAUUUAAUAAACCAUUGCCUACUUGCUUGACAUAGACCAAAAGGGGGUUUGUUGAGACAACAUGCUUGAUUAGAAGAGGUAGGCAUGAGACCUGAUGCCAACUCCAUCCAAUUGUUGAAGAAUCCUUCCUUUAGCAACUACAAUGGAAAGUAAAAGACAUACAAUAGUUAUUUUAGCAACAAGUGAGAAGGUAUCAAGAGAGUUUACCCCUUCUUGUCGAGUGUAGUCUUUGACCAUAAGGAAUGUUUUAAAGCGUUCUAUAGUGCCAUUAACUUUAUGUUUGAUACGAUACUCCCAUUUGCAACCAAUCACAACUUUAUCUUUAGAUAAGGCGGUUAGUGACCAAGCAUUUUUAGUUGUAAUGGCUCGAAGUUUGUUGGUCAUGGCAUUAAUCCCUUUUUGUAAUUUGAUAGCCUACUUAUAGGUUUGCGUUCAAUAGCAUUGGAAAUGGAAAAUGUGUAAUGAAGAUUAGAUAGAAAUAAUUUAUGAUAAGAUAGUACAAAGUGUAAAAGAUACAUCAAAUUGGGUGUAUAAGAGGAUAGUUGAGUUUCACGAUGACAAUGAAAAUCUUAGAGACAGUUAAGAGCCUUUAUAGUUUUAGUGGAUCGUCUGAGUUUGGUUGUGUCAAAAGUUAGUUUUUGGUAAGGAUUGAGAAUAUUUUACGAUGAAAGGUCACAAGUUAUGGUAGGUCUGAAGUUCAAGGAUUAGAGAUGGGUUUAGUGUAAUUUGUUUUGGUGCAUUAUGCAGAAUCAACAAGGUCAUUGAACAGAAAAAUUGAAUAAUCUUGGAUUUGUACAAUCAAUACUAAGAAAAAUAAUCAAUAAUUUCAACAUAAGCAAAAGUAGAUUCAUGAAAAAAUAGCAUUUCUUGUAAUGAAAACUUAUCUAGUAGAUAGAUCAAAGACAAGAUAACCUUUUGUACCAAAUUUGAAUCUCAAGAAGAUCCAUUUUAUUGCUCGUGGAUCAAUUUUAGUACAAUGUUGUUCCAAGGUAGAAACAGAAAAGUCAGAGGUUUAUCAUACACCAUUUCAAAAGGAGUCUGAUUUUGCAAAAUAGGAAUGGGUAAUAUAUUGAUUAGAUAAACAACAUGAGUCAUUGCAUAAAGAUCAUAAAGCAAUUCGAAAGGAGUUUUAUGUUAUCAUAGUCGUUGUCUUUCGCGGAUGAACUACUCCGUUGUUUUUUUUAUUUUUCUUGAUUAAGACCAUUUUCUUCUUGUGGGCCUUCAUAUUAUACAUGGUGUUAUCUAGUGUUUGUUCUUUAUGACAAUGUCAUCGAGGCGGUGACGCGUCAUGGUUUUUGGGACCUUCUACUUCGUGUCUUCUUGGAGAUGGAAAACACCGAUAAAGGAAACUUUUGUAUCAGUUGACUUGCCUAUUGAAUGGUGAAUUUCUAGUUUAUGGAUCCACCAUGUUAGACAUUAGAGUCACCAUGUUAGACAUUUUGUAACCGGCAUAAUAAUGGGAUCCUAAUGCAUUGGUAAAUCUUACUGAGGGCUCCACAGUGGGCGUCAAUGUUCACGCGUGAACACACAAAAUGGAUCAUCAAAGUCGAUGAUGUAAUCUUCACAUCUCUAGUCAUACGCUCCUUCUUCAGGCGAGGAAGGUGUACUUGCAAAGACACCAUGAUGCCAAAGUAAGAUAAGACAUACCUUGACACGAAUAUGAAAACGGAUAACAAGUCAUCAUACUUAGGGGUGAACCCCUUAUUUAUAUAUUAUAUGCACUCAUAUACACUUAAUCUUGUUACUAUUUUCACUCUAGUGAUUGUUGAGGUCGUUACUAGAUAUGUGUUGUUUGUCACCGUAAAAAAUUAUCAAGAUAGCCACUUACACAUAUUUAUUUGAUAUACGCUCCUUGGUGUUAGAAGCAUGUCAGUGCUUAUAAACUCCUUAUAUGUUGGUGUGUUAGUUUUUUGGGAUGACAUUGGGGUUGUUUUCAGUUUCUACACUAUGUCAUUUUGUUAUGCUAAAAUGGACACAUCAUAAAUUCUCUUCAUUCAUACUUCACAAUCGGGUGUAUUUUCUCUUUUUAAAGUCGAUUUCCUUAGUGGAUAAUCCAUAAUGUUUUAGUUUGUCUUCUAAGGCCCGUAUCAUUACAAGUUAUAUAUGACAUAUUACACUUGUUGUGCAUUCCAAUGAUUUUAAGGCCAGCAAAGACCGACCUAGAACUUUAGAAAAAGAUGAAUAAUUAAUUGAUCAUGAAAUAUCAUAUUUUAGUUAAAUUUAGAAUCACUAACAUAUUUGUUAGUUAUAUACUUUUUUAUGUUAUUUAUUAUCAACCUAUUAACAAUACACAAUCCUUCAUUCAUACAAAGACGUUCUUUUAAUAUGCUCCCUUCAGACUCUAUUAUAAACAAAAAAUGAUUUUUUAGAUUUUUUGAAUAACUAAUAUAUUCGGUUUGUAAUAUAAAUCAAAUAUAUUAGUUAUACAAGGAAUUUAAAAAGUGAAAUGUUGAUCGGAGAGAGUUAUAUUAUGGUUAUAGUAAUUUUAAUAUAUUAUAAUAAUGUUUAAUAUAUAUUAUUGCUACCAUUUAAAAUUUUAAAAAGCACUCUUAAGAAAGGGAAAAUUUGUAAAAUGUAAAAGUAAAAGGGCCAAGCUAAAAAUUUAUCGGAACAAAAGCGAACGAGAAAGGCUCGGGAGGUUCAUUUUGUCUUUGGCACCAUCCUCCGCAGAAUCAAAAUUCCCAUCAAACGAUGACGAACAUCCUGCUACGCACGGCGAGUCGCGGUGGUUCCCUACGCGCCACCCUCAUCCGCCGGUUCUCCACUGAUGCAUUGGUUGAGUCCAAACCCGGCGAGAUCGGUUUGGUUUCUGGAAUCCCACAAGAACACCUUCGUAGAAGGGUAUUAUGCUUUAAAUUUUUCGUUUUUUUUUUUUCUUCCGGUUUUUCAUUCCCCAAUUUUAUUAUAUUUGUUUCAUUAUUAUGGUAGAAUAAAAGUUUUUAUUUUUUAUAUGUAGUAUAAUUGUUUUAGAUUCAAUUGAAGUUUUGUUUUGUUGAAAUUUUGCAAAAUAAUUGAUGCAUCAUUAGAUCCUAUGUAAUGGACUUAGCUUAACCGGCAAUGCCGAUAUUGUCAGGCUGGACACCUUCACCCGGGUUCCAAGCCGGGACUUUGCAGUUGUCUGCGUGAGUUUUAGGUGGUGUUUAUCACUUCAUUUAAAGACAAAAAAAUAAUUGACCUGUUAAACACCUGUUAACAAUUGAAAUUCAAUUAGGCGUUUAGCUUAUACUUGCAAUGUGAUGGCAGGUUUUGAUUUACUCACCUGCUAGAACUGCUGGUCAACAAGGAUCUGGGAAUGUUGGAAGAUGGAGGAUCAACUUCUUAUCAACCCAGAAGUAAAUUCUCUCUGUUUAUCAUUUUUCUUUCACUGCUUGUUUAGAUAUUGUUUUACUAGUUUUAGAACUCGAAUUAUUUAUUAUUUUUCCCUAACAAGUUUGAUGUUUCUGCGCUGGAUAUCUGUUGUCUGGAUUAGGAUUCUCUCAUGUAGGAAAAACACUAGGAAAUAAUGUGGAAUAUCUAUAUCAUUGAAAUAUAAUGGGUGAAGAGUUUUGAAAUUUAUAAUAAUGAAGAGUUGAGAUUUGAAACUUAAGAAAAUUUGAGAGAAAAAAAAUGGAGAGGAUGCAUUUCCCUGUUGUCCAUAUAUCUCGAUUUUUGACAAAUUUCUUAUCGAAAUUCAUUCAUAAAAGCGGAACUUAUGCUAUCAUUGACAUUACAUUUCCUGCACAUGUGGAAAUUUUCAGAGUUUUAAUCACUAUGUUAUUUUACAUAUGUUAUGAUUCUUCCUGGGCAUCUCUAAGUAGUUUAAGGAGUUGCUAGUUGUUUCAGUAUAAUAUCCUGAAUUUAUACUUUAAUUCUUUAACUGAUCUUAUUGUUAAAUUUGUAAUACCUAAUAAUAGUUUAAUUUGUACUGUGAACUAAUAUGUCUAUAGGUGGGAAAAUCCACUGAUGGGGUGGACAUCCACCGGAGACCCAUAUUCCCAUGUUGGUGAUUCUGCGUUGGAUUUUGAUACUGAAGAAGCGGCAAAGGAAUUUGCAGAGAGACAUGGUUGGGAAUACGUGGUAUGUUUUUGCCAUUCAAACAUAGGUCACAUAAAAUUUUAUGUUUUUCUAAGCCUUCAAAGUGCUCCAGUUAUGAUUCAUAAUUUCAUACUUGUGCUUAUUAAAGUAAACCAUUAUCAGAUGGAUUGGUUCACCUUCUCUUGCUCAUGUCUCGCCUAGGAUAUUAACUUAAAAUCACAAUCUAUAGAAUGAGGGUUUCAAUAUUGUCCGAGCAGUCUAACUUACAAGAAUCAGCAUAUCUUGCUUCUCAACUGAUAUGAAGAGUUUAUCAUUGAACUGUGGCUACUGUGUUUGUUAGUCAUUUAAUUUCGUUUAAAAUUUCAAGUAUUAGGCUGCUAAAUAAAAAAGUUCAAUUUAUAAGUCUAUUAUUUUCUGCAUGAGAUGAAGCCAGAUGCGCAAGCCUGCAUCUGUAACAGAUAUGGCCAGAUUGCAUCUGGAAUAGAAACAGAUGAGGGAUAGACUUGACCUGAGAUGGGUUUAAACUACUUCCAGGACUAGGACUGGUAAGCUCAAGCUGCAUCUAGAACAUAAGUUGGGAGUUGGUUUGCAUUCAAAUAACGACAAGGUAGAGCAUGUCUUGGACAAAGACUGAGCUCAUUCUGCAUCUAGGACUAGGAUGAGACUACAGCACUUAUGAAACAAAAGCCGAGGUUAGAGAGUGCCUGGGACGAGGAUUUAAGCUUGAGACCUUAUAACUUUCUCAUGUCAAUGCUAUGCUAGUAAUAGAAAAGACAGAAAUGCUAAAUACAAACGCGCAGACACUCACUUUUUAGCACACGCCUGUAUACACUGCGACGACCUUAUAACUUGUUAACUGGCUUAACCAGUUGGUGUAUUUUUAAUUUUUGUAUGACUUUGUUCCUGGAAAAAAGAGGCCAACGGUUGCUCGGGGUCUUUAGUCAUCCAUGUGUGACUGCAGGUCCUUGGACUCUAGAUCCCCACCUUUCUAGGUUCAACUUCUUUCCCAUUCUAUUCCAAAAAUAAAAUAAAAAAUCAACUGGGUUAUUGCUUCAGCAGAGCUACAACCCAUAACCAUAACUCCUUUAAAAACUACCAACCCCACCUAAGAUCCUCACUACCCAAAUCAAAUCCAAUCCAUGAAGAAGCCCCACCAUCACCAGGAGAGGAAUCCACGAAAGAAACACCCAUCUAAGAAAUUCGAAACAAUGAUUCCCAUUGUGGAAGUAGCAGAGGUUGUUUCUUCAGCAGGUCCUUGUACUCUUAAGCCACUCAAAGAUUUUCAAUUUAUGAAACCAUCGGAAUUGAUGCAAAUUGGCUUUGUCUUUGGUUUAUGCAACCUGUUAAUUUUUUUGUUAAUUUUAUAAUUAUUUGAUCUUACGUUGCAAAUUUGAACUUGAGUGGUUGUUGAUGGUGGUUUUAAUUAGAAAGAAUGGUGGAUAGUGGUGGUGGUUGGAUGGAGAAGACCCUUCAAAUUGCUACUGCUUCGUAACUGUGAAAUCCAAAGUAAAAAAAAUAAAAAUGUUAUGCGAAACUGAGUAACAAGUGGCCAAAUAAAUUGUUUGAAAUAUGGAUGACGUGGUCCAAUUAAUAAGAGUGUGAUCACGAGAGUUUGUUUUAGCAUUUGACGCCAGCAUUGCUCUAGAAAAGAAUGAACUGGACGAAUAACUUUACUGUAUGACUUCUGUGCAAUAGAUGUGAAGUGUUUUAAUCUAAGUAAUAGUUGUGCUUUAAGUUAUUUUCGGAUAAAGCAGAGGCUAGAUAAAUUGUAAGAUGGGAAGACUAAAGAUCUCAAUUGGUUGUGACUUCAAACAACCAGACGACAAUCGCUAGCCUAAACGAAGAAUGAGAUUGUAAACCUCCAAAGUGGAAUGAGGUCACAAAUAACUGUGUCUUCUAAGCCUUCAAAGUGCUUUAGUUAUGAUUCAUAACUGUUCAUAUUAAAGUAAACUAUUAUCAAGUGGAUUGGUUCACAUUCUCUUGCUCGAGACUCAGUUAGGAUAUUAACUUAAGAGAACUUCUACUGUGCACAAGCUAGUUUGGUUGUGCUUGGUACACAAUUUUAUUUAUUUAUUUAUUUAAUUUUUUUUUUACGAUUGAAUGAUAUAGAGGCUCACGAAAUCUAUCAUAAACUCAUCACACUGGAUUUUCUUCUCACGUACUCCCACCUCCUCAAAUGUUUGCCCCACUUGAUAACAUCUGAGUCCUUGAUAUUUGUCCAUCAUCCUCCUCGUCCCUUUUUGCAUCUUCUUCAGACAGACUCAUAACUUCAUGCCCAAAUCCUAAAACACGUUGCUCACAAAAAAUAUCACUUCUUCACAGUGAAACUAGUUCAAAUAGAGGAAACUGAGGAAGUGAGGGAGGGUCAUGUUUCUCCAACAAUUCAUCCUCAACAGAAAUUUAAAUGGUGUUUUUCUCACAAUUUACACCCUGAAACUAAAUUUCAAACCCAUUGACUGAAAGUGGGGAGACUCGAUUACAUUAAUCCCGCUUUAACAGAACCCAUUGAAGUGAGAAGGAAAGUUUGACUGGGGAGGUAAAAUGGAUGUCAGAGAUAAAGAAAAAACUCUGGUAGGAUAGGAAGAGAGAAAAAGAUUCAUUGUAGAGAGUGGACUAUUAAAUAUGAUGGAUUUCUUUGAUCCGAUGGUAAAUAUAUAUUAGGCAUGAUGCAACACUUAUUGUACUUGUGCAUGUUAGAAUUGGCCUUAACCUGAAAUCACAGUCUAUAGAACUGGGAUCAGCAGACCUUGUUUCUCAGAUGAUUGGGGGAGUUUAUUAUUGAACUGUGCUUGUCAGUCAUUUAAUUUUUUUUCAAUUUUCAAGCAUUAGGCUUCUCAACAGAAAAGCCCACUUGGUAAGUCUCUAUAUGUAGUUUUGUGAAUGAGAUGAAGCUGGACUGCAUCUGGAGCAGAUAUGACUCGAUGCAUUUGGAAUAGAAUUAUAGAAACGGGCGGGGGAUUGAGGGUCUAGACUGCAUCCAGGGCUCGAACUUGUAAGUUCAAGCUGCAUCUAGAGCAUAAGUUUGGGGUUGGUUUGCAUUCAAAUAAAGACAAGGCAGAGCAUGGAGGAGAUGCCAGUGAAGAUUAGGCACUGAAGUAAUGACUAAUAACCCAUUAUAUGAUGCAUGAAGGAUGGUAAUGCAUUGAUACCAUGUUGAAAUUAUAAGGAUUUAGGUACAAAAGGAAAGAAAGAACAGAAGCUGAAGACUCUGAAACUGAUUGAUUUGUUGUGAUAAGAUGCAGUAGAUGACACUUAAUUCUAAUUAAAUAAGAAAACAAAAUUAUGAAAUAUACAACAUAUGGAAACCGUUUCUAACAGAUUAUCCAUGAUAUGCUAACAGCGGUUAUUGUUAUUGUUGGUGUUGUGUUCUUUAUUAACAAAUGCGUUGAUCUUGUUGCAGGUCAAGAAGCACCACACACCAUUGCUGAAGGUUUGAACAUCAUUCACCGUUUUCAUUGUGAUUUUAGUAAUUUAAAUGAUAGUGGCAUUAUUAUCAGUUCCUUUCACCACUUCUUUUGUGCCUGCUUUGCACCCUUAUUGAUAAUAAUCGUUUAACUCGUGGUUUCAGGUUAAGUUAUACGCAGACAACUUUAAAUGGAAGGGUCCACCCAAGGCUGCUGAAGCUGAACAGUGAUUUACUGCUUGUGUUGUUCAUGUGUUUAAUCUUCACGAGUUUCUUAGUGAAGCAGUUUUCUCUGCAUCUUUUCGUGUGAAAGAAAAGGUCAAAAUGUGUAUUUCUGAUUAAAAUAAAUGGGACUCUGACUUGCCAUUGCCUUAGCUUUCCUUGUGAUGUAGAUAACUAUUCACCUGCAUCUAUUGAUGAUUAAUUUGGACCCUAGGAACUUCCUUGAUUAUAUGCAGUCCCCCCGGAAACGAGUAAUAAUUUUUAUAGGCUUUAUGAAAUACACUCGACAGCCUGAACUUAAUGAAUUUAACCAGCAAGAGACACUUGCAUUCACAUUAGUUACUCUUAUUUUUAUGUAUGUGUGCAGAUAUGUUGUUUAUAAACAAUCUGUUCUGUUACAUAUGGAUAAGCUUGUCUAUAUCCUAUAAUACGUCAUUGCAAGUUUUUUCGUCGUUGUUCAAGAUUGCGAAUAUAUAUUAAGCAAGAGGAGUUUAAUUGCGAGAGAUGAGAGUUAAAUCGUAAUCUAAAUAUUAAAGAUUCAGAUGAAAUUUGUAUAUUGAAAAUACAGUUUUUUCUCAUACAUGGCAAUUAUUCUUCCUCGGCGUUGCACCAAUCCAGUUACACUCCCUCGUGCACAACAAAAAGGUUGAGUAUUAUAAAAGUAAGCUGAGGAAAAAUGAUUAUAUGUAAGAUAAUUUGUCAAGAAACAGUGUAAUGGUGCAUCCGAAAUUAUUCCACCAUAAAAAAUGAAUCCAACCAAUCUUUUUCAUAUCUUAACUUUGCUCGUUUGUGCUGCAUAUGUUUCAGUAGAAAAUCAAAAGCACAUUAAAUUUCAUAACUUAGAGAUGAAUUGACUAGUAUAAAAAAAUCCAUUAUCCCAUAUUAAUUUUCAUAGUUUGAUCCACAAGGAAUGAUUUUUUUUUUUUAAAUGAAUACUGUUGAUACCACAAAAUGACCUUGUACAAGAACUCAAGAAGUCAAAUUUGAAAGAAAAAAAAAGCAACAGUGAAACACUCGAAAGAGAGGAUGCAAAAAGGAACGAGGGUGUUGAAAGAUGACGAUAAUUAUUAACAUUAACAUUUAAAUAUCAUGUAAGAUAUCUAUACUCGGUAGUUUCAAAGAUCUGGCAAAAUACUCUUCCAAACAAGUGUUUGAAUAUGAAAUUAAAAGUUGGUCUAAUAACUCUUCAAAAAAAAAGUUGGUCUAAUGAAUCCCUUGCUUGCCAUAUUUAUUUACCACAAAAAACUAGAACCAAACACUAUCGUCUAUAUUCCUUAGACUCCAACUCAGCAUCAUUAAGCAUGCCUUGUUUAUGAUGGAGAAAUUCCAUAAGUCAAGCAAAUUAACCAACCAACUAGCUUGUUUUGGCAACAUCAAGCUAUUUUACUUAAUAAGUUCAAUUAGUUUGAGUUAAGGGAUAAUAAGUUGAAGAUUCUAAAUUUAAACCCGAACAAAUGAGAUCCUGAAUCUUUUUAUUUGUUGUUCUCCUUAGGAGUUAAAGUAUUCAUAAUAGACAACUUACAUAAAAAUCUGCAUUUUUUCUUAACACACAAUAGUAACCAGAAGGGACCUUAGACAACUUACAUCUUCGUUGAGGAUGACGGUGGAAUGGUUGUUAUCGUUACACUUAAUAAGUCUCUCAAUAGAUGCGCCAUUCGAGAUUGAAGGGAAGCAAGUGGAGAAUGUUUCAUCCAUAUGUUCGAGGUGAGGUGAGGUGAGUGAUGAACAAGUUUUUAUUAUUCAAUCAUAUAAGAUUUUGAUGACACCAAAUCUACAAGACUAUAACAACAAAAAUAAAGGAAUGAGCUUCCCUUCACACUAGUCUUAAGUCAAUCAUAGUCAUUCUAGUUACGUGAAUAAUGCACAUAAUACACCUUUAAUAAAAACUUAUUAAAGGCGCAUCUAUAAUGGAUACUUACUUCCAAGUGGCCUCUUGGUUUGCGGUAUAUGCCUCAACUUUGAGGUCCUUGGUUCAAAGGUUGGGUAUCAAGAUGCAUUUGUAAUGGAUUAUAAAAAAGUGAUUUUUCCCUUAAAAAAAAAAAAGCGAUUUUGAUACUUAAUUAUUGAGUAAAUAGUCAAUUUCCCUCAGAAAUUGUAAGUUUCGUCAAUUACUCUCUCGAAAUUAACAAAACUUCAAUCACCCUCCUGAAAUUGCACAACGUUAAUCAAUUUACCCAUCCAUCAAAUUUUUCUGUUAACUGUUUACGGUUAUGAUCAAAUACCCCCCUGAAAUUUUGCACUUAUGUGCAAAAUGCCCCCUAAAUGUAAAAAUUUAGAUUUUUUUCUUACCAAAAAUCAUACAUUUAGUUCUUCAAGUAGUAUAUUGUACCUAUUGUCAUAAAAAUUUUAUUCACAAGAAAAUGAAUGAAUAUACGCCAAAGAAAUCAUGGUUUUGUCAUGUGGAGCCUUUUCAUUCGUAUUUCAUAUUUAUCAACAAGGACCAAAAUAAUUUUUUUACAAAGAAGGUAAAACUAAAAAUCAAACAUUAAAAAGAUAUCAAGCUGUUGAAAUAAACAAAGACAAGAAUGCCAUAGCAGUAGAAAAUUGAUAUCUAUCACAUAACUUUGUAGUACCAUGUGAUUUACCGGCUUCAUGCAGAAGGUCUAUGACAUAAUCUAUUUAACAUGUUGCAGCUAAUAGAUAUGAUAUUUCCUGCAUUAUAAAAAUUAUAUCAUUAAUUAAGUUGCAAAUUCACAAACCUAAGCUUUGUUUCUUCUUCCUUCUGCAGAUAUUAACCUAUGAAUUUUCUUUAUGGACACACAAUUAUCAAAGACUUGUGUACUUUAUGACUGCAUACUCUAACAUAAUUACCAACUUGUGUAAAAAAAAAGUCUUCUAUAUAUGUAUAUAUUUAAAACACAUGAGAGUAACAUAUCUUCCAUAAAGAUUUAUAUGACCAAUAGCUGCAUAAACAUACAUUCCAUAUAGAUUUAUAUGAUCAACAAUUGUUAAUUUGUUUGCCUUUAAUAUCUUUUGAGUUAAGGAUAAAAAUAUAUAUAAAUUUUCAAGUUUAUGGGGCAUUUUGCACAUAAGUGCAAAAUUUUAGGGGGGUAUUUGAUCAUAACCGUAAACAGUUAACAAAAAAAUUUGACGGAGGGGGUAAAUUGAUUAACGUUAUGCAAUUUCAGGGGGUAAUUGAAGUUUUGUUAAAUUCAGGAGGGUAAUUGACGAAACCUACAAUUUCAGGGGGAAAUUGACUAUUUACUCCUUAAUUAUUAUAAGGUCUAAUUAGUAUUUUAUUUUUUUCCUUACCAAAAUGUCUAAUUAUACAUAUGGUAAGAAAAAUUUAUUAAGGGCGAAUAAAGAAAAGUUAUUUGAUCCGUACCGCAUAAAAACAACCAAUAGGAACUAAACAACUAGAUUUCACAAUCCGCAACUCAUGCUAAGAUCGAAUCUUAACCGUUCAUUCAAAUCGAGAAAACACAACUCGCCACAUGACAAACCGUCAGAUCCUAACAGAGAAAGCACACGGAUAGUAUCUGGUAACCGUUGGAUCUCUUACCAACGCGCUAUAUAUAUACACCUUCACGUAUUCUUCUUUCAAAGUUUAGAAAGUUUCAGCUAACGAGUUUCCUCAAGAGAAGAAGAACAAAGCAAAAUUUACAGGUUCGUUUUUCUUUUUCAAAAUUUCUAGGAAAUUAGGGUUUAUAGCUUAUUUCGUUUUGAGCUUUAUUUUUCGUAUCAAUAUGAAUUGUUCUUAGGUUGAGUUUCUAUUUUCUUCUUCAAUUUAUGAAAUUAGGGUUUAUGAAUUUGGUUUCAUUGUUCGUUUUCUGAUUCAAUUCCAGCUAUUGUUCAAUUAUAUCUGCUAUUGACAAUUCACGUUGAACAUAGCUAUAAUCAAAUUAUUUCUGCUAUUGUUAGAUUUUUCUUCUCUAGUUUAUGCUAUUGUUCAAUUAUUUCUGGCCUAGGUUUCGAUAAUUUGCUUGUAAUUGCAUACAUUCAUAAUUGAUUAAGGAGAAAAAUAUGAUGAUUUGUUUCGUUGAUCUUGUGUUGUUUUGGUUUCUUAUAUCCAUGUUAUAGGAAAGAGAACUACAAUUAAAAUUAUGAUAGGGUAAUUCAUAUUAUUGCUAGGUUAAUUUGCUCAUUGUGAUUGUCAAUUAUUGAAGAUUAGGUUAAGCCAAGAUUUUAGGGGAAAAAUUUUGUGUUUUGUUUUUCUGUUUACUCAUAAUCUAAAAGCUGUUGUUGAUUGUGCUUAUGUAGAUGGCACGUACCAAGCAAACUGCUCGUAAGUCUACUGGUGGAAAGGCACCUAGGAAACCACUUGCAACCAAGGUGAGAUUUUGAAUCAUCAUAUUCAUAAUAUUGGUUGUUAUUUGUGUUAUGGUGAUUGAAUAUUUGGUUAAUUUUGUGUGUUUGUGUUUCCUUUAGGCUGCACGUAAGUCUGCACCCACUACUGGUGGGGUUAAGAAACCACAUCGUUACCGCCCUGGAACUGUUGCUCUUCGGUGAGUUUUUGGUGAAAUUUUCUCUAGGGUUAUGAUUCAAUGUGUUCUGUUUUUGUUAGUAAUUGUAUUGGGUUCUGUUUCUAAUGGUUGUUAUAUGAAUUGUUGUUUUAAACAGUGAGAUUAGGAAGUAUCAGAAGAGUACUGAGCUCUUGAUCAGGAAGCUCCCAUUCCAGAGGUUGGUUCGUGAAAUUGCUCAGGACUUCAAGGUAAUGUGUAAUUGCUGAUAUGCGAACUUGUGCUUUUGUUUUCAUAAUCAGCUUAGUUAAUAGUUUUGGUAGUUUUGGUUGUUUCUGAUAAUUUUGGUUCUUGUUUUUGCAGACUGACCUUCGUUUCCAGAGCCAUGCUGUGCUUGCAUUGCAAGAGGCUGCUGAAGCAUAUCUUGUUGGUCUCUUUGAGGACACUAACUUGUGUGCUAUCCAUGCCAAGCGAGUUACUAUUAUGCCCAAGGACAUCCAGUUGGCAAGGAGGAUCCGUGGUGAGCGCGCUUAAGGAGGAUGCUUUGCUUGGUGCUGUUUAGAUGGGUGGCUGCUGAUAGUGUUUUGUUAUUGGAAAUGAUUUAGUUUAUAGGGAAUUACCGUUCAUUCGUAGUUUGAUUAAUUGUGGUGAUAGAAAUAUACUGCUAUCUGAAUUUUAGUUUUUGGGAUGUAAUUUGCUUGCAAUGACUUUGGAUCUUUUAUAUGUUUCUCGUUUAUUUUGGGUAUGCAGCCGCCUUUGGAAUGUAAUGGACAACUAAUUGUUGCCAUCUAAUCUAGUAUUUCUAGCUUUUGUGCAUAUAUUCGCAAUUGUGAAUUAGCUACUUUCUUAAAACACGUGAAUUUGCUCUGCGAUGUAGCGACACUCUUCACAAAUACUACUAAUCUUAAAAUGUUUUCGUAAUGUUUAAAUGAUUUUGCUAUAAAUAGGUGAUUUUGCUAUAAAUAGGUGAUCGGAUAUCUCUAUUUAUCUUUUUAUAUAAAAGAGGGUAACCGUCUCUCAAUUAGGAAGAAACAUUUUUGUUAUAUUUUUUCAUUUCUAAAAUUCUCAAUGUAGUUUUGUUGACAUGCCCCUUCCGUGUCUAUUAUGCUAUGCUCUAAUAUUAUGUACGCCUGAAUUAACUGAAAUGCAAUAGUUACCCUUUAUCAAUUAUUGAGGGUUUAAUACUCAGACUAACUCUAGGUACAUGCAACCUUUAAUGGAUGUUUCAUUUGUAUACGUAUAAGACGUAUAAUGUACUCAACUCUAGGUAAAUGAGCCUCUGGUGGAUGUCUCGUUUGCAUAAAUUAUUUGUAAGACAUGAAUUGUGUACCAAAAGUUUUGUAUGCAAGUUAUGUUAUGAUUGGCUGUGAAACACAUUUGUAGCUUCCCAUGGAGAAUGCAUAGUAAGAAAAUUUACUCUGAAUUUGAGUUGAAGGUGUUGUCUGAUUGUAUGUGCCAAUUUGUCGAGGCAUCAUAAUAGUAUCAAAAUUUAGCCGCAUAUAUCAUAUAAUAUAUGAGUGGCAAUUCAAAGUCUAGAAUUGCACUCAAGAUGAUAAAAUCACUGAGGCAUCCAAACACUUGCAACAUUUAUGGGACAAAUAAUAUCCAUCAGUUCCUUUUGAGUUGAGUCAUCGAGGCAUCAUAAUAGUAUCAAAAUUUAGCCACAUAUAUCAUAUAAUAUAUGAGUAACAAUUCAAAGCCUAGAAUUGCACUCAAGAUGAUAAAAUCACUUAGGCAUCCAAACAAUUGCAACAUUUAUGGCACAAAUAAUAUCCAUAAAUUCCUUUCGAGUCAUCGAGGCAUCAUAAUAGUAUCAAAAUUUAGGCCCAUAUAUCAUAUAAUAUGAGUGACAAUUCAUAGUCUAGAAUUGCACAAGGCCGAGGCAUCCAAACAUUUUAACAGUUAUGGAACAAAUAAUAUCCAUUAAUUUCUUUCAGUCAUCGAGGCAUUUAUUAAUGUAUAAAAAUUCAUAUCAAUAUCACAUUUUAGGCAUCAAAAAACAAAUUUGCAACAUUUACGGGAUAAAUAAUAUCCAUCAAUUCCUUUCGGGUCAUUGAGACAUCAUAAUAGUUUCAAAGUUUAUGAGUGACAAUUCAUAGUCUAGACUUGCACUCAAGAUCAUAAAAUCACCAAAGCAUCCCAAAAUUGAAUUGUUCACAGUGUUUCCUUUAGGGUCAUCGAGGCAUCCAAGCACUUGUAACAUUUUUAAAACAAACAAUAUCCAUUAAUUUAUUUUCGGUCAUCGAGGCAUUUAUGAAUGAAUAAAUAUUCAUAUCAAUAUCACAUUUAAGGCAACAAGGCAUAAUGUUUGCUUUAGAGUCAUCGAGGCAUCCAAACACUUGCAACAUUUACAGGACAAAUAAUAUCCAUCAAUUCCUUUCGGGUCAUCGAGACAUUAUAAUAGUAUCAAAAUUUACGCCCAUAUAUCAUAUAAUAUGAGUGACAAUUCAUAGUCUAGAAUUGCACUCAAGAUGAUAAAAUCACAGAGGCAUCCAAACAGUUAACAUUUAUUGGAAAAAUAAUAUCCAUCAAUUCAUUUCAGGUCAUCGAGGCAUCAUAAUAGUUUCAAAAUUUAGCCACAUAUAUCAUAUAAUAUAUGAGUGACAAUUCAUAUUCUAAAAUUGCACUCAAGAUGAUAAAAUCACCGAGGCACCCAAACACUUGCAACAUUUAUGGGACAAAUAAUAUCCAUCAGUUCCUUUCGAGUUGAGUCAUGGAGGCAUCAUAAUAGUAUCAAAAUUUAGCCGCAUAUAUCAUAUAAUAUAUGGGUGACAAAUAAUAUCCAUCAAUUCCUUUCGAGUCAUCGAGGCAUCAUAAUAGUAUCAAAAUUUAGGCCCAUAUAUCAUAUAAUAUGAGUGACAAUUCAUAGUCUAGAAUUGCACAAGGCCGAGGCAUCCAAACACUUUAACAGUUAUGGAACAAAUAAUAUCCAUUAAUUCCUUUCGGUCAUCGAGACAUUUAUUAAUGUAUAAAAAUUCAUAUCAAUAUCACAUUUUAGGCAUCGAGGCAUAAUGUUUGCUUUAGGGUCACCGAUGCAUCAUAAUACACACUUGCAACAUUUACGGGACAAAUAAUAUCCAUCAAUUCCUUUCGGGUCAUUGAGGCAUCAUAAUAGUUUUAAAGUUUAUGAGUGACAAUUCAUAGUCUAGACUUGCACUCAAGAUCAUAAAAUCACCAAAGCAUCCCAAUAUUUACAAAAUUGAAUUGUUCAUAGUGUUUCCUUUAGGGUCAUCGAGGCAUCCAAACACUUGCAACAUUUUUAAAACAAACAAUAUCCAUUAAUUUCUUAUGGGUCAUCGAGGCAUUAUGAAUGAAUAAAAAUUCAUAUCAAUAGAACAUUUAAGGCAACAAGGCAUACUGUUUGCUUUAGGGUCAUCGAGACAUCCAAACACUUGCAACAUUUACGGGAGAAAUAAUAUCCAUCAAUUCCUUUCGGGUCAUCGAGGCAUCAUAAUAGUAUCAAAAUUUAAGCCCUAUAUCAUAUAAUAUGAGUGACAAUUCAUAGUCUAAAAUUGCACUCAAGAUGAUAAAAUCACUGAGGCAUCCAAACAUAACAUUUAUUGGAAAAAUAAUAUCCAUCAAUUCCUUUCGGGUCAUCGAGACAUCAUAAUAGUUUCAAAAUUUAGCCGCAUAUAUCAUAUAAUAUAUGAGUGACAAUUCAUAUUCUAGAAUUGCACUCAAGAUAAUAAAAUCACCGAGGCAUCCAAGCACUUGCAACAUUUAUGGGACAAAUAAUAUCCAUCAGUUCCUUUCGAGUUGAGUCAUCGAGGCAUCAUAAUAGUAUCAAAAUUUAGCCGCAUAUAUCAUAUAAUAUAUGAGUGACAAAUAAUAUCCAUCAAUUCCUUUCGAGUCAUCGAGGCAUCAUAAUAGUAUUAAAAUUUAGGCCUAUAUAUCAUAUAAUACGAGUGACAAUUCAUAGUCUAGAAUUGCACAAGGCUGAGGCAUCCAAACACUUAACAGUUAUGGGACAAAUAAUAUCCAUUAAGUCCUUUCGGUCAUCGAGGCAUUUAUUAAUGUAUAAAAAUUCAUAUCAAUAUCACAUUUUAGGCAUCGAGGCAUAAUGUUUGCUUUAGGGUCACAGAUGCAUCAAAAUACACACGUGCAACAUUUACGGGACAAAUAAUAUCCAUUAAUUCCUUUCGGGUCAUUGAGGCAUCAUAAUAGUUUUAAAGUUUAUGAAUGACAAUUCAUAGUCUAGACUUGCACUCAAGAUCAUAAAAUCACCAAAGCAUCCCAAUAUAUACAAAAUUGAAUUGUUCAUAGUGUUUCCUUUAGGGUCAUCCAGACAUCCAAGCACUUGAACCAUUUUUAAAACAAACAAUAUCCAUUAAUUUCUUUUGGGUCAUCGAGACAUUAUCAAUGAACAAAAAUUCAUAUCAAUAUCACAUUUAAGGCAACAAGGCAUAAUGUUUGCUUUAGGGUCAUCGAGCCAUCCAAACCCGUGCAACAUUUACGGGACAAAUAAUAUCGAUCAAUUCCAUUCGGGUCAUCGAGGCAUCAUAAUAGUAUCAAAAUUUAAGCCCAUAUAUCAUAUAAUAUGAGUGACAAUUCAUAGUCUAGAAUUGCACUCAAGAUGAUAAAAUCACAAAGGCAUCCAAACACUUAACAUUUAUUGGAAAAAUAAUAUCCAUCAAUUCAUUUCGGGUCAUCGAGGCAUCAUAAUAGUUUCAAAAUUUAGCCACAUAUAUCAUAUAAUAUAUGACUGACAAUUCAUAUUCUAGAAUUGCACUCAUGAUGAUAAAAUCGCCGAGGCACCCAAACACUUGCAACAUUUAUGGGACAAAUAAUAUCCAACAGUUCCUUUCGAGUUGAGUCAUCGAGGCAUCAUAAUAGUAUCAAAAUUUAGCCGUAUAUAUCAUAUAAUAUAUGAGUGAUAAAUAAUAUCCAUCAAUUCCUUUCGCGUCAUCGAGGCAUCAUAAUAGUAUCAAAAUUUAGGCCCAUAUAUCAUAUAAUAUGAGUGACAAUUCAUAGUCUAGAAUUGCACAAGGUCGAGGCAUCCAAACACUUAACAGUUAUGGGACAAAUAAUAUCCAUUAAGUCCUUUCGGUCAUUGAGGCAUUUAUUAAUGUAUAAAAAUUCAUAACAAUAUCACAUUUUAGGCAUCGAGGCAUAAUAUUUGCUUUAGGGUCACCGAUGCAUCAAAAUACAAACUUGCAACAUUUACGGGACAAAUAAUAUCCAUCAAUUCCUUUCGGGUCAUUGAGACAUCAUAAUAGUUUCAAAGUUUAUGAGUGACAAUUCAUAGUCUAGACUUGUACUCAAGAUCAUAAAAUCACCAAAGCAUCCCAAUAUUUACAAAAUUGAAUUGUUCACAGUGUUUCCUUUAGGGUCAUCGAGGCAUCCAAGCACUUGUAACAUUUUUAAAACAAACAAUAUCCAUUAAUUUCUUUUGGGUCAUCGAGGCAUUUAUGAAUGAAUAAAAAUUCAUAUCAAUAUCACAUUUAAGGCAAAAAGGCAUAAUGUUUGCUUUAGGGUCAUCGAGGCAUCCAAACACUUCCAACAUUUACGGGACAAAUAAUAUCCAUCAAUUCCUUUCGGGUCAUUGAGAUAUCAUAAUAGUAUCAAAAUUUAGCCGCAUAUAUCAUAUAACACAUGAGUGAAAUUUCAAAGUCUAGAAUUGCACUCAAGAUGAUAAAAUAACCAAGGCAACCAAACAUUUGCCACAUUUAUGGGACAAAUAAUAUCCAUCAAUUUCUUUCGGGUCAUCGAGGCAUCAUAAUAGUAUCAAAAUUUAGCCGCAUAUAUCAUAUAAUAUAUGAGUGACAAUUCAAAGUCUAGACUUGCACUCAAGAUGAUAAAAUCGCUGAGGCAUCCAAACACUUGCAACAUUUAUGGGACAAAUAUUAUCCAUCAAUUCCUUUCGGGUCAUCGAGGCAUCAUAAUAGUAUCAAAAUUUAGCAGCAUAUAUCAUAUAAUAUAUGAGUGACAAUUCAAAGUCUAGAAUUGCACUCAAGAUGAUAAAAUCACUGAGGCAUCCAAACAAUGGCAACAUUUAUGGGACAAAUAAUAAUCAUCAAUUCAUUUCGAGGCAUCAUAAUAGUAUCAAAAUUUAGGCUCAUAUAUCAUAUAAUAUGAGUGACAAUUCAUAGUCUAGAAUUGCACAAGGCCGAGACAUCCAAACACUUAACAGUUAUGAGACAAAUAAUAUCCAUUAAUUCCUUUCGGUCAUCGAGACAUUUAUUAAUCUAUAAAAAUUCAUAUCAAUAUCACAUUUUAGGCAUCGAGGCAUAAUGUUUGCUUUAGGGUCACUGAUGCAUCAAAAUACACACUUGCAACAUUUACGGGACAAAUAAUAUCCAUUAAUUCCUUUCGGGUCAUUGAGGCAUCAUAAUAGUUUUAAAGUUUAUGAGUGACAAUUCAUAGUCUAGACUUGCACUCAUGAUCAUAAAAUCACCAAAGCAUCCCAACAUUUACAAAAUUGAAUUGUUCAUAGUGUUUCCUGUAGGGUCAUCGAGGCAUCCAAACACUUGCAACAUUUUUAAAACAAACAAUAUCCAUUAAUUUCUUUUGGGUCAUCGGGCAUUAUGAAUGAAUAAAAAUUCAUAUCAAUAUCACAUUGAAGGCAACAAGGCAUAAUGUUUGCUUUAGGGUCAUCGAGGCAUCCAAACACUUGCAACAUUUACGGGACAAAUAAUUAAUAUCCAUCAAUUCUUUUCGGGUCAUUGAAGCAUCAUAAUAGUAUCAAAAUUUAGCCGCAUAUAUCAUAUAAUACAUGAGUGAAAUUUCAAAGUCUAUAAUUGCACUCAAGAUGAUAAAAUCACCGAGGCAUCCAAACACUUACAACAUUUAUGGGACAAAUAUUAUCCAUCAAUUCCUUUAUGGUCAUCGAGGCAUCAUAAUAGUAUCAAAAAUUAGGCCAAUAUAUCAUAUAAUAUGAGUGACAAUUCAAUAGUCUAGAAUUGCACUCAAGAUGAUAAAAUCACUGAGGCAUCCAAACACUUAACAUUUAUGGGACAAAUAAUAUCCUUCAAUUUCUUUCGGGUCAUCGAGACAUCAUAAUAGUAUCAAAAUUUAGCCGCAUAUAUCAUAUAAUAUAUGAGUGACAAUUCAAAGUCUAGAAUUGCACUCAAGAUGAUAAAAUCGCCGAGGUUACCAAACACUUGCAACAUUUAUGGGACAAAUAAUAUCCAUCAAUUCCUUUCGGGUCAUCGAGGCAUCAUAAUAGUAUCAAAAUUUGGCCCCAUAUAUAUAUAAAUAUGAGUGACAAUUCAAAGUCUAGAAUUGCACUCAAGAUGAUAAAAUCAUUGAGGCAUCCAAACACAUGCAACAUUUAUGGGAGAAAUAAUAUCCAUCAAUUCCUUUCGGGUCAUCGAGGGAUCAUAAUAGUAUCAAAAUUUAGGCCAAUUGAACUCCAUGAUUAAUCUGUGACUUAAGUUAUUAGAUCCAUAAAAGGUUCUAUGUGGAUAGGUUUAUUGUCUCAAGUUUGUGUUUGAAAUGCAAGAAACGUGCAAAGUUGAAUAAAUUGUAAAGAUAUAAGAACAUCAGUACUAAUGAUAAAAAAUGCAUAAAGGUGACAAGGAAAUGGUAUUCAAACUUGCAACAACCAAUUUUGUCAACGUAUGCGUUCUCUUGUAGAUAAAUUUACAAAACAAAAAUAACUCUUUAACUUGAAGAGCCAAUCACCUAUUUAUAGCAAAAUCAUGUAUGACAUAUGUCUUUCUAACUACUGAAAACCUUCUUUUACAUGUUUGCCCUUGCCUUUGAAUUGAAACUCUUGAUGGCUUUUACGCUUAUUUGUAUUUGUUGUAACCAACUCCUAAACCUCUCUUACAUGCUUCUGAUAAAGAAGUUUUUUUUUUUUUUUGAAAGAGAUAAAGAAGUUAUUUGGAUGUGAAUGACUUAUGCAUUGUUUGGGUCUGCAUUUAAAGCUAAAUUAUCGCGUCCGUAGGCAAUUUUGCCAUGAAAAUAGGAAGCUACAAAAUAUAGCAUCACAUUAACGCAUGAUCGGUGCACAUUUAGACGUGAAAACAAAAACAUACUCAGAUACUUAAAAUACCAUUAAAUAAGUCACCUUUUCGAGCACGGCUCUGACGAUCUUCGAGAAUGUCCUUUGAGUGUAAAUGCCACGUUAAAACAACACCUUUAUUUUUGAGUGUGCAAUUUCCAAGUAUAUUUCAAAUGCUCUUUGUUUGUCUAAACAACUGACUCGAAACUAACAUGCAAAUUUCACCUAGUAGUAUAACAAUGAGCACCACAUUAUUUAACAUGUCCACGAUAUAUGUGCUGAUGUGAACUUUUGCAUGUCUAAUAGUAAUAACAACCAUGUGGUAAGUGAAAGUGAUGAAUAUGUGAAUGAUUUAUCGUAUGGGAAACUAAAUUGAAUGAACUAUGAAAAGACAUUUUCUAGAAACACGAUAACCCAAACAUCGUUGUUUGUGGUCUUGUCCAGUGUUGCCCCUAUUAAUAGAAACAAUAUGUACCGUCAGAUCGUAACUGAGAAAGCACACGGAUAGUGUCUCGUAGCCGUUGGAUCUCUACCGACACGCUAUAUAUAUACGCCUUCACUUCUUCGCCUUUCGAAGUUUCAUAUUCUUUUCUCCAAAUUUCAGCUAACGAGUUUCUGAAGAGAAGAAGAAAGCGAAAAUUUCCAGGUUCGUUAUUUUUCUUCUGAAUUUACGAAAUCAGGGUUUAUAGCUUUUGUGUUUUUGAUCUUAAGCUUCCAUUUUUGUCUGAAUUUGAACUUAUUUUAGAUUUCGUUUUCAUUUUUCAUCUCCAAUUUACGAAAUUAGGGUUUACGAAUUCGGUAUACGUAUCUGGUUUCAUGUUUUUCUUCCUUUCUAAUUCGAAUGUUUAUUAUGUUGCAUUUUAUAUUAGAAUAAAUGAAUGCUAUUGUUCAAUAUCUUUUUAUCAAAAUUGUUUCUGGUUUCAUAUAUUCAUGUUUGAUUAUGGAGGAGAAGAAACCAAAAAAUUGUAUUUUUGUUACAUUCAUCCAUGUUUUAGGAAAAAGAAGUAGCAAUUGAAGCUCAGUUAGGCUAAUUUAUCUUAUUUUUAGGUUGAUUUGCUUGUGAUUAUUUGUUGAAGAUUAAGUUUUAGUUAUUAGGUUAAGCUAUGAUUUUAGGGGAAAUUGUUCUGAUUAUCUUGUUUGGGUUUUAAGUAGAUGGCACGUACCAAGCAAACUGCUCGUAAGUCAACAGGUGGAAAGGCACCAAGGAAGCAACUUGCAACCAAGGUUUGCUUUUAGUUGAUUAUCAUUAGAAAGACAAUGAUUUUAAUCUGUAUUAAGGCUGUUGAAUCUUAUGUUAAUGUUAUCUUGUUUUUCUGUUACCUUUAGGCUGCACGUAAGUCUGCACCAACUACUGGUGGAGUUAAGAAGCCACAUCGUUACCGCCCAGGAACUGUUGCUCUUCGGUGAGUUUCUGUUGAAAAUUUUCUUUUAGGGUUGUAAUUCAAUGUGUUCUGUUCAGUUUUGAUUUCAAUUUGCUUUAAUUGAAUUGAAUUGGUUUGGUUUCUAAUAAUUUGUCAUUUGGAUUGGUAUUUUAAAACAGUGAGAUUAGGAAGUACCAGAAGAGUACUGAGCUCUUGAUCAGGAAGCUCCCCUUCCAGAGGUUGGUUCGUGAAAUUGCUCAGGACUUCAAGGUAAUGUGUAGUUAAAGUGUGAGAUAUUGUGUAUUUGUGUUCACAAUCAGUUUAGUUAAGGUUGUGGUUUCUAAUAAUUUUGGUUUCGGUUGCAGACUGACCUUCGUUUCCAGAGUCAUGCUGUGCUUGCAUUGCAAGAGGCUGCUGAGGCAUAUCUUGUUGGUCUCUUUGAGGACACUAACUUGUGCGCUAUCCAUGCCAAGCGAGUUACUAUUAUGCCCAAGGACAUCCAGUUGGCAAGGAGGAUCCGUGGCGAGCGUGCCUAAGGAGGAUGCUGCUUUUGGUGCUGUUUAGAUGGGUGGCUGCUGAUAGUGUUUUGUUAUUGGAAAUGAUUUAGUUUAUAGGGAAUUACCGUUCAUUCGUAGUUUGAUUAAUUGUGGUGAUAGAAAUAUACUGCUAUCUGAAUUUUAGUUUUCGGGAUGUAAUUUGCUUGCAAUGACUUUGGAUCUUUUAUAUGUUCUUGUUUUUACUGGGUAUGCAGCCACUCUGUAUUCUAUUUUGUGGACAACCUUUUGUUGCCAUCUAAUCUAGUAUUUCUAGCUUCUGUGCAUAUUCUUUUGGAAUUGGGAAUAAUUUUUUAAAACAAGUGAUCUGCUUUGAAGUAGCUAAAAGCCGAUCUAAAAUGCUGUUUGAUAAAUAAUUUAAAUGGCUG